rnacentral:lncRNA from 1 species
UGGGGAGCCAACCGACUUGGUUAGGCACCAGGAGGGGGUCGCCUGACCCCUCUAUGGUAGGUGGGCCCAGCCAGGGUCUUCUAGAAGGUGACCCUAGUUAUCAUGUGAAGUGGCUCCACCAUUUGUGAAAGAUUUGUCGUGUUGCUUGCUUACUUGUGGGCCCAUGGAUCUAUGUGCAAUGAUCUUUCACCACUAGAAGUUGAUCUGAGGGUGGAAAUGGACUCCAGGGGUCUCCACAUGGAUUGUACUUCAUAGCACACCUCUUGGUGGGACCAUAAUGGGGUCGCCCGACCCCCUCAUUAGGUCCUUCUAAGGUGCAUUUUCUUGUUUCCAGUAAUCAAAGGCUAAGAGUACAAGUGGAACCAGUUAUGGAUAAAAUAUGUUCAUGUUUUGCUAUUCUUCUGUGAGACCGAGGCAUGUUGACGGUGUUUUGAGUGUGAAUUUCUAUGGUACAUCCACCGUCAACAUGAUCCCCCAAGCUUAACCUUUACUCGUCCCAAGCAAACAAUCAAACUUAGCCUCGAUGGAUCAACUAUUGUUACUAUGCUCACAUUUCAAGAGUACCAUGUGUACAACAAAGUUCUUCUCUUUGAAUGAAAUAUUAGCUUAAAAACUCACCCAUAUUACCUUAGUCCUCUAUGGGGCUUAUGGCUUUUCCUUUGUCUUAGGCGGUUGAAAGAUAGAACGGUUUGACUUGAGCACUCAUUUUCUUAUUCAUAGCAAGUUUCAUACCGGAGGUUUUGUAAUAUUUUUUUUUCAAAUGAAAACUUAAUGUUCCUCAUAUGGUUCUCUCAAGUCACUCGAAUGGUGUAUGAUUCCUCACCUAGGCAUAUGAUAAGAAUUACCUUCCUUAGUUCUUCCUACUUCUAAAAAGCAUAUGUGGAGUUCAAGGUAGGGAUAAAGAAAGAUAGAAUACUCACUUUGCAUUUAUUGGGAAGUCAAAGCUUGGAUCCAAGAAGAGAAGUGUCAUACCCCUAGAUCAAGAUGUGCAAGUGUGUGGUAUAUAAUGAACUAGGUUGCUCCUUUAUUUGAUAAGAUAUCUCUCUAAUUUUUUUUCUAUUAAGACAUGGCUAGCUCUUUUUUUCUUUUCUUCUUUUUUCAUGGACCUUCAUGUGCCCAUAUGUAUAUAUAUGUUGCAUAGCCCUUUUGGUGUCUCAUCUAUUACACCAUAUUUGGAGAGGUAUUCUAAUACUUAAAGCAAGGAGCAAGUUAUUUGGUGGAAAUGGAAGACAUAUUUUUGCGUACUUCUAGUGUAGAAGCAGCAUGUAUAUAUGUGGUGUGUGUGUGAUCUUGAUCUUGGGAGCAUGAUAAGUCUCUUAAACAAGGGUCAACAAGACUUGACAACACUCAACACAAAUCAAAUAGCUUAUGUGGAAGGUUUAUAAACAUGUAGAGCAUAUAUGGCCGUGGUAGGAAUUUAUCAUCAGUGAGGAACAAUUAAGGUUUUGAUCAUUUUAAGAAUAAAUUCUCAGGUAUUGCAACAUGCUUAGAAAAAUACUAUAGCAGCUCUAAUCUCACUAUCUCAUAUCCCUCAACAACUUAGACUUAGUUUUAGCACUUGCAACCCACAAAGUUUUUGGGUUCAUGAUGGUUUAAGUGAGCUAAGUAAUACAUACUUGGAGAAAUGCUAGGCUGGAAACUAGGUACUAAGGAAAUAUUGACAGAGUAACUAUUCAUCAUUUCCAUGAGGAAGAUAAACAUACAUGAAGCAUAUGUGUUAAGCGAGAUAAGCAAAUAUUUUUUUGAUAUUUUCUUUUUUUGAAUGCACUAAGAUGAAUAACUAGAAUGCAAAAUGCUAAGAUAGAAUACUUACCUUAGUGGGGGAGAGGAUCUCCCCCAAGCUUGGCUUUUGCUCACUGUGGCGGCGGAUAAUGUUAGAACCAUCCGGCCCAUCAUUGUGCUUCCUCAGCUUGUAUUGCUUGUAGAAGUUGGGCAUUUUGUUGUGCCAGCUGCAGCAUUGCUUCUUAUUCAAUGUGCAUUGCACCCGUGUUGUUGAUGAGGUCGUCCAUCUCUGUCCUUUGGUGGCACCUUUCCCUGCCCCGUGGGUGAGGAGUGCGUUGUGGACGUGGAGGCCUUUCCAUGGACCCUCAUAUGUCCAUAGAGCUUGCCUCAUCGCCUUCUUCAACUUCAUCUCUUGCAGGAUUUGAGGGAGCACAUUGCUCCAUUUAAGCAGCUCGUGACAUUCCUCUUGUCAUUUGGCGUGGUCCUACAAUAUUUUGGCUACGUGACUCUUUGUCUAAUUUAAUGGUUAGCGUACGAAGCGCAUACAGUUGACAUUUCUCACAAGGGAGAGGAACUUCAACUGUAUAGCCCGAAUAAACCAUUUUAAGUCCAAACCUUGGACCUCUUUUGAGCACAUUAAUAUUAAUGAAGACAUCCUCAUUUAAAACAUCUCUAGCAGAGGUGAUGUACUCAAAGGUAUGUGGCUCUAGUGCAUCCGUUGAUUCGGCUAUACGAGUAAUGAAUGAUGUAAAGUAAACGGGUUUUCCAUACUCAAUGGAGUUGAGCCAAUAGUCCACUAGCAGUUUAACAGGUGAGACCUUAAUUUUGCAUACCAUUGCAUAGAGAAGUUUAAGUUCUUCAUCACUUAAGAUGUUACCUCUAGUUCUAAGAAAAAGAGUCAUACACAUCCACUAAUGAAGAAAACACAGGGUCAGGUUAUGGAUUUGGUGGGGUGUAAGAUUAGAGCAAUCGUUGGAACCAGAUAUUGCUUUCCAAAAGUCAUUUUUCUAAACCCGAUAGUGGCAUGGUCUAGAUCAAGUUCACAAUUGUGCUCACAUCCUAGGGUAGUGUUCAAGAUGCUCCAAGUUAAAUUACAUUUAUCCCUAAACAUGUGAAAGGCUACGCCAUUGAAUGUUAAUUGUAAAGUACACAAAAAAUCUUGGGUGAUCACUUCUAUGCCAAGUUCAGGAACCAUCCAAAAUCCUCCCCAACCAAUUGUGUUAAAAACAACAUUAAACUCUGCACUCAUACCUGUGUGGUCCAAGAGAACCGGAUCGAUGAUGCUUGUGCAGCGGAAACUGCUUGAUCGUAGGGUGUUGUAUUUCUGCAGCUCUUCUUGGGUUAGCAUGAGGCCGCUCCCGGGCUCUCUUACUCUUGGUGGAGGCUCAUAGAGUACCACUUGGUGGUGACUCUCUUCCUCAUCCCUCCUCUCAUGGGUUCCUUUGGUGUGGUGAGAGUUAUGGGAAGAGCUCUCACCCUUCUUGGACUUCUUAAACCGGGAGGUGAGUAACUUCUUCAUCUAGCUACACAAGUGAGACAAACCAAGCUCCUACUAUUCCUACUAUGCAAGGGAUAAAGGGCAAAUCUUUUUGGGUUUUUGUUUUGGGAUGCUACUACUAAGCUAAACAUUGAGAGAGAACUUGCAACAAGACAGAAGAGAAGAAUGCUUGUGAGCUCAGGAUAUUCUAAAUGGUUGGGUGUGGAGUUGAGCUCACAAUGCAUGGGUAUUUAUUGGGGGAGUGCCACACCCUGGUUUAAAAAAAUAAACCAGAGUCAUCAUAUGUGUGCCCAAGAAGUCCACACAUAUAACAAAAGAAUAGAAAUAUCAGAAACAAUGUUAUAUAUAGCGGAAAACAUAUUUAUAAUAACAGUUACAAACAUCGGGCCCAAUAUAGUUGUUAUGGUGCUUAAUCUGUAGACAGAGUAUGUGGAAACAGUAGCUAAACUUCUUUUGCUCCAUUCUUCUCAGGGACAGUUGACUGGGGGCUGUGUAUGCCAAGCACUUCUCAUAAGCUUCUAGAAAUCUCCAUGACAUCUUAACCUUCUUCUGAGCAGCACUUUGGUACGCAUUGGGGGUGUGGGGGAAAUAGCAAGGGUGAGUUCAUGUCGAACUCAACAAGUACAGGUAGAAAGUAUAAUGACAUGCAAGGCUUAAUCAAAGGAAAAGCUGACACUGUUUAACUGCAGAUGAGCUUUUAAGUUGGUAAACUUUUGUUACGAUUCUUAUAUUAAAACAACCUAUUACUAAAUAUGAGUGAAGCAUCCCAACCCUUAAUUAGAUGAAAGUAAAUUAAUAAUACUAUUACUCAUCAUUAUAAUUAUUAUUAUUGUUAAGAUCUCUGAGGUAGCAACCUCAAAUAGUAACUUGGGGUAGCAACCCCAUUAAGGUCAUGGGAUAGCAAUCCCAAUUAAGAACACAGGAUAGCAAUCCUGCCAACACGGAAUAGCCAUUCCGCCAAAGCACGAGGUAGCAACCUCAACCAAAUUUUGCCUCCAAGUUCCAUGUUAUUCCAAUUUGCUCAUCAUAUGAGAGUCUGGGCCACUCGUGACCGUGAGCAUGGCUGAUAUAUCAGUUUUACACUCUGCAGAGGUGUGCACUUUCACUCCAAGUCGUGAUUCCCAUUCGCCCGGGGUCGCGACUCCCCAAAACACUACCAAGGUAAGCAGGUAGGGAUUCACUACGAGACCUUUCACAGGUUCCGACUAAUAAGAUGCCACUCGUAAGUUUUUGCCGGGGCGCGCGGCAGCCGUGCCCAUAGCAAUGGGACCCCGAACUGACCGACCUCUUAAUAUGAAUACCCAAGCUACUUCCUUACGCCUACGUGGAAAGUAACACCCUACCAGCGGAGGUCCUGAUAAUUAGUCAAGCCACAGCCAUAUGGCUUGGAGCUGCACUGUAUGUCCCAGGGGGCCGCUCCAUGACUAAGUCCUUACGGAGAGCAGAGACGGGUACGCCCGGCAACCGAGCCAACCAACAGUACCCGCUCCCCCUUUCCUCAACAAACUACGAUGCUCACAAGCACCGCUACAUCUUCGUCACCGAAGUGACCAUUAUCCACCAUUGGAGCAUUAUUUAUCAUUGAAGAAUUCAUUAGGCAAGAUUAUUACUUUUAUUAUUAUAUAGAUUAGAUGAGCAGAGCAGCUAAGCAUAAGUACUGUUCACUAUUCUACCCAUAUAUAAAAUCCAGGAGUACAAGGAAUACAAUAGAAGGCUAGUCAGGUCCUUAGGGUUUGCAGUAUUAAGACACAUGCAGUUAAAGUGAAUAUAAUUAAAGUUCAUAGGUACAAUAUGAUCAAAGGGUGCCUGCACUUGCCUUUAUUCCCAGUGUAUAUCUGCUCAGAAUUCUUUGACUUCUUUCUUGUGAUCUUUAUCUUCUACUGCAACUGUUGGUCCUCAGCUCCUGGUCUUUACUGUUGACGAACCACACUUCUUCUACUCGAAGCAAACAAGCAACACAAAUAGACAAACAACAAUCACGACUAAGAUCAAACGACACUCAAAAGAAAAGCUUAGAAAGAGCGCACUAAACGACAUGGCUUGUUGCUAUGAUCGAGACAAUGCGAGAACGAUUAAGAACAGAGCUAUCGUUAAACAGACACGACUUUCAAGGUUUAAAGUGUAACGGAGAAGAGAACUAUACGCUGGUCGUAUUUUGUGAACACAGGUCAUGGAUUAUUCAAAGAAAUAUCUGAAAGUUGAGUUGACCAAAUUAUAAAGAAUUAUAAAGGUUAGGGUUAAAUGUUAGUCAUAUUCUAUUUAAUAAAUAAUUAUAUACCACUGAAGCCAAUCAAGCAUUUAUAGAAUAUAUGAAAGCAACUAAUCGAGUGAUUAUAUAUCAUGUUUAAACUAAUCAAGUUGUAAUUAAUAAAGAAACAUUAAGGUUGAUAUUAAUAACAUGGGCAUUUAUUUAUUUUCAAAAGAUCAAAAUUAUAAACAUAAUUUACUUUUAAUUCAAAAUGACUUUAGAUAGAUAUUACUAAAUUAUUUAUGUGCUUCAUGUUUAAAUAAGCAAAUUAUAAUUAAGAAAGUAUUUAAGUUCACAUUUGAUUAUAAAGAUGCCGAAGUGUAAUUCUAAGUUGUUUUUAAAUUAAUUAAAUAGAAAUGCAUUUAAAACAUUAAUCAGAUUAAUUAUACUUAUAAACAUGAGACAAUGAAAAUAGCAUUGCUAAUAUGUAGAUUACACCAACAUAGUCACAACGCAACGAGAAACAAAUUACAACCCUAGAUUGUUCUUUAAUUUAAAAGCUAUUUAAUAGAUAUUAAUUAAAUUAUAUUUAAAUCAAUAAAUUCAAGAAUAAGAUACAUGAUAAAUAUUUAUACUACUACGUAAAGCGCGGCGAUACGAAACUAACUCGACAAGAACGGGCUUAAUCGGAGUUAAAACGCGGAUUCUAUGGCUAAAACUAGGUCGGUGGCAAGAUAGUGAAUAAACAGAACUAUUUUUCGUAUUUUAAAUAAUUAAAACUGAAUUUUAAAAGCGUUUUGGACUAAAUCUUUAAAUACCAAUGGAUCCAGGGGCUAGAUUGCUAAAAAUAGGACUUAAACCUAAUUAUUUCCGAACUACUCAGAACUGCGGGUUAAUUUAGAAAAACCGCAGGGGCUUUUUCGCAAGAUGGCCAGGGUCAACCGGGUUUUGGCCGUGUUGACGGCCACGCGGCGCGGCGGGGUAGGUGGGGUGCAGGAGGCGCGCGCGGGGUGAGCCGCGCCCUAGGUUGGAGUGUGGGCGAGCUGGGCCAGGAGCGCGGGCGGCCCACGCGGCAAGAGUGAGGGGGGGAAGGGAGCUGGGCCGGGGAAGAGGGGGGACGGCCCAGGGAGAAAGAAAACCCUUUUUCUUUUUUUUUUAAAAAAAAUUGAUUUCUAAACUAUUUUACUAAACCAAUUUCAAAACCAUUUUGAAUUCCUAAUUUGAGAUUAUUUAGGAGCUUGUUUUCUUUAAUACUUUUGAAAACAAAGCACAUUUUCCUUAGAUCAUAUCUUUAAAUCAUUUUUCAACUCAAAAUGAAUUUAGUUUUCGAAUAGGACUUUUAGAUUUUUAUUUUUAUUUUUCUUUUCAAAAACCGAAAAGGGCCGAAACGGGCUCGAUAGAAAUUUUGAAAUUUAUUUUUUUACACAAGCCAAACAAAGCUAGGGCACAAAGCACACAAUAACAAAACAAAACACCCUUCACUUGUCUUUAUAAAAGUUUUAAAAUUCCAAAUUUUUCUCUUUUUAUAAUAACAACAAUUAAUAAAAUCUUGCAAUAUUUUAGAAAAAAUUUAAAUCCUUAUUUAAUUUAGUGUUUUUCAAAUAACAAUCCAAAAAUUAAAAAUUUUGGAGUGUUAUAGAUCUACCCCACUUAACAUAAAUCUCAUCCCGAGAUUUGAAGAAACUAGAGAGAAAGAUAAAGUAGAUCAUCAAAGUUGUUUUGAGACUUUCAAGACAUGAUCAAAGAAUUAAAUAUAGACAUAAAGGGUAGAGAGUAUGGUAAAGAUUGAAGACAAGGAAAGAUAAUCGUAUGAGAGAAGAAUUGAUCUUUGGAUCGUGUAUUAUGAUAAGGUGCAAGGGCAAGAAGCCAAUAUUAACAAGAGAUGAUACAUAGGAGAUGGAUAUAAUAUUGCUCACAAUUUCCUUGAUUCCGGGUAUGUAUAAGAUAGUAGACGAAAGGAUAAAGAAUUAGCAGAAGUUGACAAAGACUUAGAUUUUUUUUUAAGUCUUCACGCUUAAUCAUUUGUAGUCCUAUGAGACGUAGGAUCAAAGAUCGUCGAUUGGCAAACAUGAUAAGGGUUCAUCGCAAGAAUGAUAAAGAUUCUUAUAUAGUUCUCCAUGUCUUUCUGAUUAGAGAUUUUCGAGAGUGAUGAUCGUAGCGAAUGCUGCCCCACUUAGACCAAGUGUUUGCUCAUCUUCAAAACUCCUAUAUAAGAACACUCAUCUUGUCCGUAGAUAAUCUGCAAAGUUUUCCUUUGGAGGUUACUAGUUCGACAAUACACUGCACCUCUUAAGAUUUGAGGGACACGAAGAGAAACAAAAAGAUGAUUAGAAAGAAUAGAUUGAAAUAAUCUCAGGUAUCUCAAUAAAGGUGUGAGACUUAAACCAAAAGUCGAUAAGGUUAUCUAGUAGAAGGUUCUUGAACAGUAUCUAGAAAAGCAACCCAAGGGGUCUGCUAAGAUUGACCAUAUAUCGGUAUGGUUUUCAUUUGACUUUCAGGUUAUGGAUUUUGUCACGUGAUAGUCCAUCAUAUAUUCCAGGGUGAAAAAUAAGUCUUAUCUUAGGACCUCGGUUUCUUAAUGCCUUGCUUUGAUAGGUCAACAGGCAUCACACUUUCUAUGAUACUUGGUGCUUCUUUGUGGUCUCCAUAGAUGAGUUCUAAGCAGAUUUGACCUACUACUUGCAGUGUCGGGAGAAUGAUGCAAGAAAGAACUACACAAAGGAUGUUGACUCAUUCUAUAAGGAGUAUUUAAGAUCGCUUCAUAGGUAAGCACUACCACUUGAUGUUGGGACAACACUAGGUGCUUCGCCCAAGGUUCCGUCGGUUACCAUAAAAAGACUGAACAUCUGGUCAAACAACUCAUUACUCAUACUAGAAGCUUAAGAAUGAUAAGGUCUGAUGAAAUAGAUGUCUCACUUUACAAAGAGGAUUACAAGUUGCUUGAAUGCAAAAAAUCUUUAUAAGCUAAAAGGCAUAACUGACUUUAGAUUUCAUAGACCAUUAUUGACUAGCUCAAAACUAUCUGGGUCCCUUAAUAUAACUUGCUUCACAUAAGAUGUUGAGAAUAUAUCGCCUUUGUAUAAGGUCCACAUUUCUUUCAAACUGCCUCGUUGUCGAUACAAUCAUUACAUUAGUCCUUUAAACCUUGGGGUGAGGUCGAGGUGCCUUCAUACACAAACCUGUCUCCUGAUGGGGUGAUUAGGGAUACUGAGUGUUGGGUACAAUCAAUCUCUCCAUGACAAGCAGUUAACCAUCCUCUUCCAAGAACGACAUCAAUCUCCAUUGACUCUAGGACUAUAAGAUUUACCUCAAAAAUUACACAUUUUAUGUCGAGACAAACUUUUGGACACAUGUAGAUUGCUCUUAUUUUCCCUCUUGGUGAUUUGACCAGUAUGAGUCUCUUCAUUUCCAACAUAAGCAUCUUAGGAUCGGCAACACAUUUACUCGAGAUAAAAGAAUGUGAAGAACCUGAGUCGAACAAAACAGUGGCAGGAGUUGAGUUGACUAGAAUUGAUCCAAACACCACAUUUUGUGCUUCGCAAGCAGUACACAUAUCCACAUGGUUCAAUCUACCAUUAACAUAGUCACGAACUGGGUACUUCUUUGGACAAUGCUUCUUGUGAUGUCCCUCUUCGUGACACUGGUAACAAGCAUUGCUAACAGUUUUAACAUAGGUGCCAUCCUAACAUUGAGCUCCUUGAAUUGAUGUGCUAGGAGUAACUAAAGUGCUACUAACUUGUUGGUUCUGAGGGUUCACUUUCAAUGGAGUCUCUUCACUAUUUCGCUUCUUAGCUUGAUUACUUUUUCGAGGAUGAAGUUCUGUGUAGGUGACAGUCCAUCCAUCUAGGAAUAACUCUGGCAUAGCAAGUGUAGCUGAAGGGGCAUCUAACUCUUCAAGAUAUGAGUGUGUCUGAUGAGAGUUUGGAGCUAAAUCUAAUUGCCAUGUAGAACUCAGAUUUGGCUCAACACUUAACAGUGGCUCUAGGGAGAUUGCCUUCUUUUCUUGUUACCUUCAGUCUGUUGAUCCUAGGGUACUUCUACCUUUCCUUCGCUUGACUUUUUCUAAAGGCACGGUAAACCAUAAUAUCUGCAACAAUUACAUGGCUCUUGAAUCCCAAGCGCCUCAUUAAUACCAUCUGUUGACGGUCCUUGAGUAUCAAAUUUAAUUAUCAAAUAAACAAAGAAAAUGAUCCAAAUGAAAUCAACAUCUAGACUUAGGGUUUUAUCUAACAGAAUUCCACGAGUUUUGGUGUUUGUCUAUUUUUGCAGGGGGUUAUCAGGAAUACGGAAGAAAGGCCCACAUGUUAGGAUUACAUAGAGAUAUUAACGUGCCGCGCAAUUAUCUUACAUCUAGAAGACUCCAGAAGCCACGAGACCGAAGCGGAGGCGAAACGGGGCCAGAGGCAGGGCGCCCGCCCUCCUGCCCUGGGCGCCCGCCCCCUCCCUGAGUCCAAUCAGGACUCUGCUUCGUGGGAGAUCUCCACCGACAUAAAGGAUGAAUCUAAACCAUACAAUCUAUGUCGGUUUGAUCCAACGGCCCAUAUUCACUUGAAGGGACUAUAAAACCAGACCCCCUGGCCCCUGGAGGAGAGAGCCUCUCAACCCUAAUUCAUUGUUCUUCAAGGGAGAAGAAGCCUCUGAUCAAGAUUAGAGCCACCACAUCAAUUGGAUAUCUAGAUUAGCAUAGCUACAUAGGAUUAGAACUAGAAGGAGUCAAUCUUCGAUUGGUUUCCGGAUCUGUCAAGAGGAUUCUUGGUAAUUUUCUAAUUGUGCUUCUAAUUACUUUCUAAUUAUCUUUGUUCUUCAAUAUUAUGAAUAUGACUUUGUUCUACUUCAAUAUAUUGCUUAUGACUUUGCUCUACUUGCUUAUAUUCAAGAUUAUAUUGUUCUUAGUUUAUCAUAGUUAUGUACUUGGCUUAGUUAGAUUGGAUCUAUAUACAUGCUUAGGAUCGUAUAGCGUUUAUAAAUCGAAUCCAUGGGUAAAUGAUAGAUAUUGUGUAGGCGUGGUGCUUAUACCGUAUUUAUCUGCGAUUGUACCCGAUAUGCCAGAUCGUGGGGUGGUUCGUGAUAGUGACAGCUUCAUUGAUUCUUAUAUAGUCCCCCUCUUGUGUAUUGGGCGGGCAGAGCAACAUUAUUACAGGGGAGUGAUUGCUAUGUUUCUCAUAUUCCUUGCUAAUAUCACUAUGCAUGGGCGUAGUCUUGUAUCGCAAUGAUUGCUAAGUAUGCUUGCACUAACUAUGAUAUGCUAGACUAUAUAGUUAAGAAUAACUUAGGGAAUAUUCUUGUAGUUCGUUUUAAUACCAUGCUAAUGACUUUCUAGAGUAUCUAAUUGAGGUGCUUAUCAUAUUUAUUAUGUGGCUAGAUCAGAUUAGUUAUCCUUGUCACUAUUAUUAUUUCAUAUAUCUUUUAUGUGACACUUAUCCCUGUAUGAAGAGUUAGAUAAAUGUUCUCAAUUAUACAUGCAAUGAUAGAUGCUCAAUCUCAUAUUCUAUUCUGUAAUCAAUAUUGAUGAUUGCUAAUCCCUUCCCAGUGGUAAAAAUAUAAAUAACGAUACCUGGAAUACCUCUCGGUUAAAAUGCUACAUCGGUAUUAAUCUGUGCGCUUGCAGAUCCCAUUCAUUAUUUAUUUAGAAGAGCAAUUGCAUUUUUCAAUACCGCGUCUCUCAUGUCAUGCUGGGGAUGACAACUUGGCUUAAGUGGUAUGAGGGAUAGGUUUGGCAUUUUUGGCACCGUUACUAGAUUUAGAGAACUUAGUCUACUUUUGGUAAUGAUGUUAAGAAUACCCAACACCAUCUUUCCUAGUUUCCAUGUUCCUCCAGACUUCUACUAUUUGUCUCUUCAUUGCUCCUUCCUGAGUUUUGGUCAUUGUCUUCUCUGAAUGUAACUAAGAAUCUUUUUGUGGUCCCACUACACUUAGUACUUGAUCCUGUGUAAACAAAGGCUUCUCCUUGUUUACUAGUGACAAGGGUAACAUGGUUGGGUCUUUCUGACAUUUGAUGUAAGCUUCUUCUAUGUCACCUUGGAGAAGUAGAGCUUGUACAAUCAAAAGUUUCUAGAGUCUAGCCAUCUGAUCAGCUGCCAUCUUUAGGAUCUGAGCUUGCCAGGCUAUCACCUAUUCACCACUUAGUUGUGUUGUAGAAGGCAUUUGUUGACUCUGAUCACUGGUAUUAAUUCCUUUGACAUCAUCACUGGUGUCGAUCAUCUGACAUUAGGCAAUAGUAGAACGAGCUAGGGUAGUAUGGACAAAGAGCAUGAUAUGAAGUGAGAGAAAAUAGGUGGAGAGGAUCAAGAUUGACAAUAGAUGGAUAGGAUAAGAGAGAUUACUACCCCACUUAGCAAAGAUCGAGCUAACCCUCAAACAACUUCUUCUAGACCUCCUUCAAAACACUAGAACAAAGACAACACACAAACAACAAACCAAGCAAAACAAGCACGCAACACAUCAACGAUACUACACGUGCUUCUUCAACAGUGGUGGUCAUCCUAAAAGGUAGGUCUGAGAUGAUGAAGGGCCAUCGACAUUGGGAAAUAAAGCAAGUUUUGAAAACUUAAGUAAAACACCUAAUAAACAAAAGCCAAGGAGAUAAAUAGAAAUAGCUCAAAGGAAGCUAUUCAAGGAGGGGAUAUAACAUGACAAGGAUGAAGAAAUAGUCAGAAUCAAAUAGUCAAGGGACGAGAAAAUAGUUUUAUAUCAAAAUAAGCUUUAGAAAUCGACCAGUGCUAUCUAGGCAUACGUCCUAUAGUCAACAUUGCUCUGAUACCAUUCCUAUCACACCCUGGUUUAAAAAAAUAAACCAGAGUCAUCAUAUGUGUGCCCAGAAAGUCCACACAUAUAACAAAAGAAUAGAAAUAUCAGAAACAAUGUUAUAUAUAGUGGAAAACAUAUUUACAAUAACACUUACAAACAUCAGAGUAUGCGGAAAUAGUAGCUAAACUUCUUUGGCUCCAUUCUUCUCAGGGACGGUUGACUGGGGGCUCCGUAUGCCAAGCACUUCUCAUAAGCUUCUAGAAAUCUCCAUGACAUCUUAACCUUCUUCUGAGCAGCACUUUGCUACGCACUGGGGGUGUGGGGGAAAUAGCAAGGGUGAGUUCAUGUCGAACUCAACAAGUACAGGUGGAAAGUAUAAUGACAUACAAGGCUUAAUCAAAGGAAAAGGUGACACUGUUUAACUGCAGGUGAGCUUUUAAGUUGGUAAACUUUUAUUACGAUUCUUUUAUUAAAACAACCUAUUACUAAAUAUGAGUGAAGCAUCCCAACCCUUAAUUAGAUGAAAGUAAAUUAAUAAUAUUAUUACUCAUCUUUAUAAUUAUUGUUAUUGUUAAGAUCUCCGAGGUAGCAACCUCAAAUAGUAACUCGGGGUAGCAACCCCAUUAAGGUCAUGGGAUAGCAAUCCCAAUUAAGAACACAGGAUAGCAAUCCUGCCAACACGGAAUAGCCAUUCCGCCAAAGCAUGAGGUAGCAACCUCAACCAAAUUUUGCCUCCAAGUUCCAUGUUAUUCCAAUUUGCUCAUCAUAUGAGAGUCUGGGCCACUCGUGACCGUGAGCAUGGCUGAUAUAUCAGUUUUACACUCUGCAGAGGUGUGCACUUUCACUCCAAGUCGUGAUUCCCAUUCGCCCGGGGUCGCGACUCUCCAAAACACUACCAAGGUGAGCAGGCAGGGUUUCACUAUGGGAUCUUUCACGGGGUCCGACUAAUAGGAUGCCACUCGUAAGUUUUUGCCGAGGCGCGCGGCAGCCGUGCCCAUAGCAAUGGGACCCCGAACUGACCGACCUCUUAAUAUGAAUACCCAAGCUACUUCCUUACGCCUACCCAAAAAGUAACACCCUACCAGCGGAGGUCCUAAUAAUUAGUCAAGCUAGAGCCAUAUGGCUUGGAGCUGCACUGUAUGUCCCAGGGGGGCGCUCCAUGACUAAGUACUUAUGGAGAGCAGAGAUGGGUACGCCCGGCAACCGGGCCAACCAACAGUACCCGCUCCCCCUUUCCGCAACAAACCACGAUGCUCACAAGCACCACAACAUCUUCGUCACCGAAGUGACCAUUAUCCACCAUUGGAGCAUUAUUUAUCAUUGAAGAAUUCAUUAGGCAAGAUUAUUACUUUUAUUAUUAUAUAGAUUAGAUGAGCAGAGCAGCUAAGCAUAACUACUAUUCACUAUUCUACCCAUAUAUAAAACCGAGUACAAGGAAUACAAUAGAAGGCUAGUCAGGUCGUUAGGGUUUGCAGUAUUAAGACACAUGCAGUUAAAGUGAAUAUAAUUAAAGUUCAUAGGUACAAUAUGAUCAAAGGGUGCCUGCACUUGCCUUUAUUCCCAGUGUAUAUCUGCUCAGAAUUCUUUGACUUCUUUCUUGUGAUCUUUAUCUUCUACUGCAACUGUUGGUCCUCAGCUCCUGGUCUUCACUGUUGACGAACCACACUUCUUCUACUCGAAGCAAACAAGCAACACAAAUAGACAAACAACAAUCACGACUAAGAUCAAACGACACUCAAAAGAAAAGCUUAGAAAGAGCGCACUAAAGGACAUGGCUUGUUGCUAUGAUCGAGACAACGCGAGAACGAUUAAGAACAGAGCUAUCGUUAAACAGACACGACUUUCAAGGUUUAAAGUGUAACGGAGAAGAGAACUAUACGCUGGUCGUAUUUUGUGAACACAGGUCAUGGAUUAUUCAAAGAAAUAUCUGAAAGUUGAGUUGACCAAAUUAUAAAGAAUUAUAAAGGUUAGGGUUAAAUGUUAGUCAUAUUCUAUUUAAUUAAUAAUUAUAUACCACUGAAGCCAAUCAAGCAUUUAUAGAAUAUAUGAAAGCAACUAAUCGAGUGAUUAUAUAUCAUGUUUAAACUAAUCAAGUUGUAAUUAAUAAAGAAACAUUAAGGUUGAUAUUAAUAACAUGGGCAUUUAUUUAUUUUCAAAAGAUCAAAAUUAUAAACAUAAUUUACUUUUAAUUCAAAAUGACUUUAGAUAGAUAUUACUAAAUUAUUUAUGUGCUUCAUGUUUAAAUAAGCAAAUUAUAAUUAAGAAAGUAUUUAAGUUCACAUUUGAUUAUAAAGAUGCCGAAGUGUAAUUCUAAGUUGUUUUUAAAUUAAUUAAAUAGAAAUGCAUUUAAAACAUUAAUCAGAUUAAUUAUACUCAUAAACAUGAGACAAUGAAAAUAGCAUUGCUAAUAUGUAGAUUACACCAACAUAGUCACAACGCAACGAGAAACAAAUUACAACCCUAGAUUGUUCUUUAAUUUAAAAGCUAUUUAAUAGAUAUUAAUCAAAUUAUAUUUAAAUCAAUAAAUUCAAGAAUAAGAUACAUGAUAAAUAUUUAUACUACUACGUAAAGCGCAGCGAUACGAAACUAACUCGACAAGAACGGGCUUAAUCGGAGUUAAAACGCGGAUUCUAUGGCUAAAACUAGGUCGGUGGCAAGAUAGUGAAUAAACAGAACUAUUUUUCGUAUUUUAAAUAAUUAAAACUGAAUUUUAAAAGCGUUUUGGACUAAAUAUUUAAAUACCAAUGGAUCCAGGGGCUAGAUUGCUAAAAACAGGACUUAAACCUAAUUAUUUCCGAACUACUCAGAACUGCGGGUUAAUUUAGAAAAACCGCAGGGGCUUUUUCGCAAGAUGGCCAGGGUCAACCGAGUUUUGGCCGUGUUGACGGCCACGCGGCGCGGCGGGGUAGGUGGGGUGCAGGAGGCGCGCGCGGGGUGAGCCGCGCCCUAGGUUGGAGUGUGGGCGAGCUGGGCCAGGAGCGCUGGCGGCCCACGCGGCAAGAGUGAGGGGGGGAAGGGAGCUGGGCCGGGGAAGAGGGGGGACGGCCCAGGGAGAAAGAAAACCCUUUUUCUUUUUUUUUAAAAAAAAUUGAUUUCUAAACUAUUUUACUAAACCAAUUUCAAAACCAUUUUGAAUUCCUAAUUUGAGAUUAUUUAGGAGCUUGUUUUCUUUAAUACUUUUGAAAACAAAGCACAUUUUCCUUAGAUCAUAUCUUUAAAUCAUUUUUCAACUCAAAAUGAAUUUAGUUUUCGAAUAGGACUUUUAGAUUUUUAUUUUUAUUUUUCUUUUCAAAAACCGAAAAGGGCCGAAACGGGCUCGAUAGAAAUUUUGAAAUUUAUUUUUUUACACAAGCCAAACAAAGCUAUGGCACAAAGCACACAAUAACAAAACAAAACUCCCUUCACUUGUCUUUAUAAAAGUUUUAAAAUUCCAAAUUUUUCUCUUUUUAUAAUAACAACAAUUAAUAAAAUCUUGCAAUAUUUUAGAAAAAAUUUAAAUCCUUAUUUAAUUUAGUGUUUUUCAAAUAACAAUCCAAAAAUUAAAAAUUUUGGAGUGUUAUAGAUCUACCCCACUUAACAUAAAUCUCAUCCCGAGAUUUGAAGAAACUAGAGAGAAAGAUAAAGUAGAUCAUCAAAGUUGUUUUGAGACUUUCAAGACAUGAUCAAAGAAUUAAAUAUAGACAUAAAGGGUAGAGAGUAUGGUAAAGAUUGAAGACAAGGAAAGAUAAUCGUAUGAGAUAAGAAUUGAUCUUUGGAUCGUGUAUUAUGAUAAGGUGCAAGGGCAAGAAGCCAAUAUUAACAAGAGAUGAUACAUAGGAGAUGGAUAUAAUAUUGCUCACAAUUUCCUUGAUUCCGGGUAUGUAUAAGAUAGUAGACGAAAGGAUAAAGAAUUAGCAGAAGUUGACAAAGACUUAGAUGUUUUUUAAGUCUUCACGCUUAAUCAUUUGUAGUCCUAUGAGACGUAGGAUCAAAGAUCGUCGAUUGGCAAACAUGAUAAGGGUUCAUCGCAAGAAUGAUAAAGAUUCUUAUAUAGUUCUCCAUGUCUUUCUGAUUAGAGAUUUUCGAGAGUGAUGAUCGUAGCGAAUGCUGCCCCACUUAGACCAAGUGUUUGCUCAUCUUCAAAACUCCUAUAUAAGAACACUCAUCUUGUCCGUAGAUAAUCUGCAAAGUUUUCCUUUGGAGGUUACUAGUUCGACAAUACACUGCACCUCUUAAGAUUUGAGGGACACGAAGAGAAACAAAAAGAUGAUUAGAAAGAAUAGAUUGAAAUAAUCUCAGGUAUCUCAAUAAAGGUGUGAGACUUAAACCAAAAGUCGAUAAGGUUAUCUAGUAGAAGGUUCUUGAACAGUAUCUAGAAAAGCAACCCAAGGGGUCUGCUAAGAUUGACCAUAUAUCGGUAUGGUUUUCAUCUGACUUUCAGGUUAUGGAUUUUGUCACGUGAUAGUCCAUCAUAUAUUCUAGGGUGAAAAAUAAGUCUUAUCUUAGGACCUCGGUUUCUUAAUGCCUUGCUUUGAUAGGUCAACAGGCAUCACACUUUCUAUGAUACUUGGUGCUUCUUUGUGGUCUCCAUAGAUGAGUUCUAAGCAGAUUUGACCUACUACUUGCAGUGUCGGGAGAAUGAUGCAAGAAAGAACUACACAAAGGAUGUUGACUCAUUCUAUAAGGAGUAUUUAAGAUCGCUUCAUAGGUAAGCACUACCACUUGAUGUUGGGACAACACUAGGUGCUUCGCCCAAGGUUCCGUCGGUUACCAUAAAAAGACUGAACAUCUGGUCAAACAACUCAUUACUCAUACUAGAAGCUUAAGAAUGAUAAGGUCUGAUGAAAUAGAUGUCUCACUUUACAAAGAGGAUUACAAGUUGCUUGAAUGCAAAAAAUCUUUAUAAGCUAAAAGGCAUAACUGACUUUAGAUUUCAUAGACCAUUAUUGACUAGCUCAAAACUAUCUGGGUCCCUUAAUAUAACUUGCUUCACAUAAGAUGUUGAGAAUAUAUCGCCUUUGUAUAAGGUCCACAUUUCUUUCAAACUGCCUCGUUGUCGAUACAAUCAUUACAUUAGUCCUUUAAACCUUGGGGUGAGGUCGAGGUGCCUUCAUACACAAACCUGUCUCCUGAUGGGGUGAUUAGGGAUACUGAGUGUUGGGUACAAUCAAUCUCUCCAUGACAAGCAGUUAACCAUCCUCUUCCAAGAACGACAUCAAUCUCCAUUGACUCUAGGACUAUAAGAUUUACCUCAAAAAUUACACAUUUUAUGUCGAGACAAACUUUUGGACACAUGUAGGUUGCUCUUAUUUUCCCUCUUGGUGAUUUGACCAGUAUGAGUCUCUUCAUUUCCAACAUAAGCAUCUUAUGAUCGGCAACACAUUUACUCGAGAUAAAAGAAUGUGAAGAACCUGAGUCGAACAAAACAGUGGCAGGAGUUGAGUUGACUAGAAUUGAUCCAAACACCACAUUUUGUGCUUCGCAAGCAGUACACAUAUCCACAUGGUUCAAUCUACCAUUAACAUAGUCACGAACUGGGUACUUCUUUGGACAAUGCUUCUUGUGAUGUCCCUCUUCGUGACACUGGUAACAAGCAUUGCUAACAGUUUUAACAUAGGUGCCAUCCUAACAUUGAGCUCCUUGAAUUGAUGUGCUAGGAGUAACUAAAGUGCUACUAACUUGUUGGUUCUGAGGGUUCACUUUCAAUGGAGUCUCUUCACUAUUUCGCUUCUUAGCUUGAUUACUUUUUCGAGGAUGAAGUUCUGUGUAGGUGAUAGUCCAUCCAUCUAGGCAUAACUCUGGCAUAGCAAGUGUAGCUGAAGGGGCAUCUAACUCUUCAAGAUAUGAGUGUGUCUGAUGAGAGUUUGGAGCUAAAUCUAACUGCCAUGUAGAACUCAGAUUUGGCUCAACACUUAACAGUGGCUCUAGGGAGAUUGCCUUCUUUUCUUGUUACCUUCAGUCUGUUGAUCCUAGGGUACUUCUACCUUUCCUUCGCUUGACUUUUUCUAAAGGCACGGUAAACCAUAAUAUCUGCAACAAUUACAUGGCUCUUGAAUCCCAAGCGCCUCAUUAAUACCAUCUGUUGACGGUCCUUGAGUAUCAAAUUUAAUUAUCAAAUAAACAAAGAAAAUGAUCCAAAUGAAAUCAACAUCUAGACUUAGGGUUUUAUCUAACAGAAUUCCACGAGUUUUGGUGUUUGUCUAUUUUUGCAGGGGGUUAUCAGGAAAUACGGAAGAAAGGCCCACAUGUCAGGAUUACAUAGAGAUAUUAACGUGCCGCGCAAUUAUCUUACAUCUAGAAGACUCCAGAAGCCACGAGACCGAAGCAGAGGCGAAACGGGGCCAGAGGCAGGGCGCCCGCCCUCCUGCCCUGGGCGCCCGCCCCCUCCCUGAGUCCAAUCAGGACUCUGCUUCGUGGGAGAUCUCCACCGACCUAAAGGAUGAAUCUAAACCAUACAAUCUAUGUCGGUUUGAUCCAACGGCCCAUAUUCACUUGAAGGGACUAUAAAACCAGACCCCCUGGCCCCUGGAGGAGAGAGCCUCUCAACCCUAAUUCAUUGUUCUUCAAGGGAGAAGAAGCCUCUGAUCAAGAUUAGAGCCACCACAUCAAUUAGAUAUCUAGAUUAGCAUAGCUACAUAGGAUUAGAACUAGAAGGAGUCAAUCUUCGAUUGGUUUCCGGAUCUGUCAAGAGGAUUCUUGGUAAUUCUCUAAUUGUGCUUCUAAUUACUUUCUAAUUAUCUUUGUUCUUCAAUAUUAUGAAUAUGACUUUGUUCUACUUCAAUAUAUUGCUUAUGACUUUGCUCUACUUGCUUAUAUUCAAGAUUAUAUUGUUCUUAGUUUAUCAUAGUUAUGUACUUGGCUUAGUUAGAUUGGAUCCAUAUACAUGCUUUGGAUCGUAUAGCGUUUAUCCAUCGAAUCCAUGGGUAAAUGAUAGAUAUUGUGUAGGCGUGGUGCUUAUACCGUAUUUAUCUGCGAUUGUACCCGAUAUGCCAGAUCGUGGGGUGGUUCGUGAUAGUGACAGCUUCAUUGAUUCUUAUAUAGUCCCCCUCUUGUGUAUUGGGCUAGCAGAGCAACAUUAUUAUAGGGGAGUGAUUGCUAUGUUUCUCAUAUUCCUUGCUAAUAUCACUAUGCAUGGGCGUAGUCUUGUCUCACAAUGAUUGCUAAGUAUGCUUGCACUAACUAUGAUAAUGCUAGACUAUAUAGUUAAGAAUAACUUAGGGAAUAUUCUUGUAGUUCAUUCUAAUACCAUGCUAAUGACUUUCUAGAGUAUCUAAUUGAGGUGCUUAUCAUAUUUAUAUGUGGCUGAUCAGAUUAAUUACCUUUGUCACUAUUUAUUAUUUCAUAUAUCUUUUAGGUGACACUUAUCCUUGUAUGAAGAGUUAGAUAAAUGUUCUCAAUUAUACAUGCAAUGAUAGAUGCUCAAUCUCAUAUUCUAUUCUGUAAUCAAUAUUGAUGAUUGCUAAUCCCUUCCCAGUGGUAAAAAUAUAAAUAACGAUACCUGGAAUACCUCCCGGUUAAAAUGCUACAUCGGUAUUAAUCUGUGCGCUUGCAGAUCCCAUUCAUUAUUUAUUUAGAAGAGCAAUUGCAUUUUUCAAUACCGCGUCUCUCAUGUCAUGCUGGGGACGACAACUUGGCUUAAGUGGUAUGAGGGAUAGGUUUGGCAUUUUUGGCACCGUUACUAGAUUUAGAGAACUUAGUCUACUUUUGGUAAUGAUGUUAAGAAUACCCAACACCAUCUUUCCUAGUUUUCAUGUUCCUCCAGACUUCUACUAUUUGUCUCUUCAUUGCUCCUUCCUGAGUUUUGGUCAUUGUCUUCUCUGAAUGUAACUAAGAAUCUUUUUGUGGUCCCACUACACUUAGUACUUGAUCCUGUGUAAACAAAGGCUUCUCCUUGUUUACUAGUGACAAGGGUAACAUGGUUGGGUCUUUCUGACAUUUGAUGUAAGCUUCUUCUAUGUCACCUUGGAGAAGUAGAGCUUGUACAAUCAAAAGUUUCUAGAGUCUAGCCAUCUGAUCAGCUGCCAUCUUUAGGAUCUGAGCUUGCCAGGCUAUCACCUAUUCACCACUUAGUUGUGUUGUAGAAGGCAUUUGUUGACUCUGAUCACUGGUAUUAAUUCCUUUGACAUCAUCACUGGUGUCGAUCAUCUGACAUUAGGCAAUAGUAGAACGAGCUAGGGUACUAUGGACAAAGAGCAUGAUAUGAAGUGAGAGAAAAUACGUGGAGAGGAUCAAGAUUGACAAUAGAUGGAUAGGAUAAGAGAGAUUACUACCCCACUUAGCAAAGAUCGAGCUAACCCUCAAACAACUUCUUCUAGACCUCCUUCAAAACACUAGAACAAAGACAACACACAAACAACAAACCAAGCAAAACAAGCACGCAACACAUCAACGAUACUACACGUGCUUCUUCAACAGUGGUGGUCAUCCUAAAAGGUAGGUCUGAGACGAUGAAGGGCCAUCGACAUUGGGAAAUAAAGCAAGUUUUGAAAACUUAAGUAAAACACAUAAUAAACAAAAGCCAAGGAGAUAAAUAGAAAUAGCUCAAAGGAAGCUAUUCAAGGAGGGGAUACAACAUGACAAGUAUGAAGAAAUAGUCAGAAUCAAAUAGUCAAGGGACGAGAAAAUAGUUUUAUAUCAAAAUAAGCUUUAGAAAUCGACCAGUGCUAUCUAGGCAUACGUCCUACAGUCAACAUUGCUCUGAUACCAUUCCUAUCACACCCUGGUUUAAAAAAAUAAACCAGAGUCAUGAUAUGUGUGCCCAGGAAGUCCACACAUAUAACAAAAGAAUAGAAAUAUCAGAAACAAUGUUAUAUAUAGUGGAAAACAUAUUUACAAUAACACUUACAAACAUCAGAGUAUGCGGAAAUAGUAGCUAAACUUCUUUGGCUCCAUUCUUCUCAGGGACGGUUGACUGGGGGCUCCGUAUGCCAAGCACUUCUCAUAAGCUUCUAGAAAUCUCCAUGACAUCUUAACCUUCUUCUGAGCAGCACUUUGCUACGCACUGGGGGUGUGGGGGAAAUAGCAAGGGUGAGUUCAUGUCGAACUCAACAAGUACAGGUGGAAAGUAUAAUGACAUACAAGGCUUAAUCAAAGGAAAAGGUGACACUGUUUAACUGCAGGUGAGCUUUUAAGUUGGUAAACUAUUAUUACGAUUCUUUUAUUAAAACAACCUAUUACUAAAUAUGAGUGAAGGAUCCCAACCCUUAAUUAGAUGAAAGUAAAUUAAUAAUAUUAUUACUCAUCUUUAUAAUUAUUAUUAUUGUUAAGAUCUCCGAGGUAGCAACCUCAAAUAGUAACUCAGGGUAGCAACCCCAUUAAGGUCAUGGGAUAGCAAUCCCAAUUAAGAACACAGGAUAGCAAUCCUGCCAACACGGAAUAGCCAUUCCGCCAAAGCACGAGGUAGCAACCUCAACCAAAUUUUGCCUCCAAGUUCCAUGUUAUUCCAAUUUGCUCAUCAUAUGAGAGUCUGGGCCACUCGUGACCGUGAACAUGGCUGAUAUAUCAGUUUUACACUCUGCAGAGGUGUGCACUUUCACUCCAAGUCGUGAUUCCCAUUCGCCCGGGGUCGCGACUCCCCAAAACACUACCAAGGUGAGCAGGCAGGGUUUCACUACGAGACCUUUCACAGGGUCCGACUAAUAGGAUGUCACUCGUAAGUUUUUGCCGGGGCGCGCGGCAGCCGUGCCCAUAGCAAUGGGACCCCGAACUGACCGACCUCUUAAUAUGAAUACCCAAGCUACUUCCUUACGCCUACCCGAAAAGUAACACCCUACCAGCGGAGGUCCUAAUAAUUAGUCAAGCUAGAGCCAUAUGGCUUGGAGCUGCACUGUAUGUCCCAGGGGGGCGCUCCAUGACUAAGUACUUAUGGAGAGCAGAGAUGGGUACGCCUGGCAACCGGGCCAACCAACAGUACCCGCUCCCCCUUUCCGCAACAAACCACGAUGCUCACAGGCACCACAACAUCUUCGUCACCGAAGUGACCAUUAUCCACCAUUGGAGCAUUAUUUAUCAUUGAAGAAUUCAUUAGGCAAGAUUAUUACUUUUAUUAUUAUAUAGAUUAGAUGAGCAGAGCAGCUAAGCAUAACUACUAUUCACUAUUCUACCCAUAUAUAAAACCGAGUACAAGGAAUACAAUAGAAGGCUAGUCAGGUCGUUAGGGUUUGCAGUAUUAAGACACAUGCAGUUAAAGUGAAUAUAAUUAAAGUUCAUAGGUACAAUAUGAUCAAAGGGUGUCUGCACUUGCCUUUAUUCCCAGUGUAUAUCUGCUCAGAAUUCUUUGACUUCUUUCUUGUGAUCUUUAUCUUCUACUGCAACUGUUGGUCCUCAGCUCCUGGUCUUCACUGUUGACGAACCACACUUCUUCUACUCGAAGCAAACAAGCAACACAAAUAGACAAACAACAAUCACGACUAAGAUCAAACGACACUCAAAAGAAAAGCUUAGAAAGAGCGCACUAAACGACAUGGCUUGUUGCUAUGAUCGAGACAACGCGAGAACGAUUAAGAACAGAGCUAUCGUUAAACAGACAUGACUUUCAAGGUUUAAAGUGUAACGGAGAAGAGAACUAUACGCUGGUCGUAUUUUGUGAACACAGGUCUUCGAUUAUUCAAAGAAAUAUCUGAAAGUUGAGUUGACCAAAUUAUAAAGAAUUAUAAAGGUUAGGGUUAAAUGUUAGUCAUAUUCUAUUUAAUAAAUAAUUAUAUACCACUGAAGCCAAUCAAGCAUUUAUAGAAUAUAUGAAAGCAACUAAUCGAGUGAUUAUAUAUCAUGUUUAAACUAAUCAAGUUGUAAUUAAUAAAGAAACAUUAAGGUUGAUAUUAAUAACAUGGGCAUUUAUUUAUUUUCAAAAGAUCAAAAUUAUAAACAUAAUUUACUUUUAAUUCAAAAUGACUUUAGAUAGAUAUUACUAAAUUAUUUAUGUGCUUCAUGUUUAAAUAAGCAAAUUAUAAUUAAAAAAGUAUUUAAGUUCACAUUUGAUUAUAAAGAUGCCGAAGUGUAAUUCUAAGUUGUUUUUAAAUUAAUUAAAUAGAAAUGCAUUUAAAACAUUAAUCAGAUUAAUUAUACCCAUAAACAUGAGACAAUGAAAAUAGCAUUGCUAAUAUGUAGAUUACACCAACAUAGUCACAACGCAACGAGAAACAAAUUACAACCCUAGAUUGUUCUUUAAUUUAAAAGCUAUUUAAUAGAUAUUAAUCAAAUUAUAUUUAAAUCAAUAAAUUCAAGAAUAAGAUACAUGAUAAAUAUUUAUACUACUACGUAAAGCGCGGCGAUACGAAACUAACUCGACAAGAACGGGCUUAAUCGGAGUUAAAACGCGGAUUCUAUGGCUAAAACUAGGUCGGUGGCAAGAUAGUGAAUAAACAGAACUAUUUUUCGUAUUUUAAAUAAUUAAAACUGAAUUUUAAAAGCGUUUUGGACUAAAUCUUUAAAUACCAAUGGAUCCAGGGGCUAGAUUGCUAAAAACAGGACUUAAACCUAAUUAUUUCUGAACUACUCAGAACUGCGGGUUAAUUUAGAAAAACUGCAGGGGCUUUUUCGCAAGAUGGCCAGGGUCAACAGGGUUUUGGCCGCGUUGACGGCCACGCGGCGCGGCGGGGUAGGUGGGGUGCAGGAGGCGCGCGCGGGGUGAGCCGCGCCCUAGGUUGGAGCGUGGGCGAGCUGGGCCAGGAGCGCUGGCGGCCCACGCGGCAAGAGUGAGGGGGGGAAGGGAGGUGGGCCGGGGAAGAGGGGGGACGGCCCAGGGAGAAAGAAAACCCUUUUUCUUUUUUAAAAAAAAAAUGAUUUCUAAACUAUUUUACUAAACCAAUUUCAAAACCAUUUUGAAUUCCUAAUUUGAGAUUAUUUAGGAGCUUGUUUUCUUUAAUAUUUUUGAAAACAAAGCACAUUUUCCUUAGAUCAUAUCUUUAAAUCAUUUUUCAACUCAAAAUGAAUUUAGUUUUCGAAUAGGACUUUUAGAUUUUUAUUUUUAUUUUUCUUUUCAAAAACCGAAAAGGGCCGAAACGGGCUCGAUAGAAAUUUUGAAAUUUAUUUUUUUACACAAGCCAAACAAAGCUAGGGCACAAAGCACACAAUAACAAAACAAAACACCCUUCACUUGUCUUUAUAAAAGUUUUAAAAUUCCAAAUUUUUCUCUUUUUAUAAUAACAACAAUUAAUAAAAUCUUGCAAUAUUUUAGAAAAAAUUUAAAUCCUUAUUUAAUUUAGUGUUUUUCAAAUAAAAAUCCAAAAAUUAAAAUUUUUGGAGUGUUAUAGGGAGAAGGGCAAGUGGUGGAAACCCUAUGUAGGGAUCAACCGACCCCCCUCCUAGCACUUUAAUUCAAAAUUUGCUUUGGCCAGGGAAUCUUACAUCAAAGUAUGAAAUCACUUUUCAGAGAUGGUCCAAAGUGGGGUCGUCCGACCCCCACCCUAAGCCCUCUUUUGCUAGGUGUGGACCAAAGGGCUAGGUGUGGACCAAAAGUAGUGAUCUUUUUUAGAGAUUCCCUUGCCUAUGCUUAGUGAAAGAGAAAAGAUGAUAGGCUAAAGUGGAGACAUGUCAUAAGAUAUUCCCAUGGACCAUGGAGACACUAAAGCAUGCCUAUGUGACCACUUUGUAGGAGUUGAGCAUGGUGGCAUGGUCCCAACACUUUAAAGAUGAAAGCAACAUCUUAUGUUUAAAGUGAUAAAGCAAAGGACCAUUUCUUUUCAGACCUUGGUUAGAGUGGUAUGCAUAGGAUUUAUGUGUUAAGCAUCUGGGAGACAGUAGAGUGCAGGUGACCCAAUAUGGGGGUCAGGUGACCCCCCACUUUGGUCCUCCACUUGCACCCAAGUCCUGGCAUCAUAUAACUAUACUAAGCCAAGGUGAAAGAAUGGUCAGUGGGCCCAAUGGUAGGGUCAGGCAACCCCACUUUUGGUGGUCCAACUGCUCAAAAAUUAUUGCAAGUUGUUCUCAAGUAUUUAUUUAUUAGGGUUAAGUAUUUUGUCAAAAAUAAAAUAUGCAAGAUUAUAACUAAGAAUGCAAUUGAAAAGUGCAAGACAAGAAUGCAGAAAGCAAAUAUGAGAUAACUAUUUAUUUACAUUCCAGCAGGGGCUCCAUGUUUUAGGUCCAUAGAGCAGGACCUCUCCAUUUUGUUCAUGCUUUGGGUGCCUCGGAUGGUCCUAGAGAUGGGGACCGUGAUUGCACCUUUCUCCCGCCAUACUGGUUUGAUUUUGGCCUGUGGUUCAGCGGGUUCUUCCUUCUCUAGUUUGACUUUGUUGGCCGACUCACCUUUCUUAUUCCUUCGGCGCGGGUAAUAGCGAGGUUUGUUCUUCGGUGCCUUGUCCUUCACUUGCAUGUUAGUUUUAUAACCAUUGAAUGGACACUUUACCUUUGCUCCUAGGAAUUGAAGAUGAAUUUGGCCGGACCCCACAUAGAUGAUAAUGUUGGCUGUGUUAAGGAAGGGCCUUCCCAGGAUGAUAGGAUUAUCAGCUCCCAUGUCUAGGAUGAUGAAGUCGGCGGGGGCGUAUUUGUCUUGUACUUUGACUAGUAUGUCCCUUGCUAGUCCCUUAGGGAACCAGAUCGUUUGAUUGGCCAUCUGCAAUUGAACAAAUGUUGGGAGCAAAGGCCCCCCUAAUAGGUUCUCAUAAGUUACCUUGGCCAUGAUGUUAACACCUCAUCCAAGGUCGCAUAAGGUGUUGUGGAAGAUUUGUGGUCCAAUUUCACAGGUGUUGGUUGGGUGGCUUCGAUCGUCCUUCUUGGUGAUUAAUGGUUGGUCAAGGAGAUAACUCUAGUUUGACUGCAAUGGAGGCUUACUGAACCUCAUGUUUACUAAUUUAACACCUUCAAUUGGAUCCUCAGGUUUCCCUAGGAUCUUACCUUGCUCGAUGGAUGGGACACCUGCUGCUAGUUGAGCUAAUUGUGUUUCUAGCAUUUUAUUGAAGCUCAAUUGAUUUUUCACAGCAGAGUUAAAGCUAUCCAUUUUCUCACUUAAGUUUUCAAGAAUCUUAUCAUUAGCCAUCAUUUUCUUAUUUAUGCUAUCAUUUAUUUUGGACUAGCCUAAGACAAGAUCUUUAAAGAAGGUUGGUUACCAUAAGAAUUAUUGAAAUUAUUGUUGUAACUAUUUCCUUGGUUUUGGUAGAAGGGACGCGAGUUCCAUCCUUGUUGUUGUUGUUUGGGCCAGUACCCGUUGUUGUUGUUGUUGUUGUUGUUGAUGAUGAAGCUCACUUCCUCCUUUGUUUUGGGACAAUUAUUUCCCGAAUGAUCUUCUCCUCCACAUACUUCGCACCAUGGACCAGCUUCGACGACUCGUGCGGUUGCGUAGGGUUGAAUGACCUCUUGUUCCUUCUUGGAACCUUUUUCUACCUUUUUCAUCAAGAGGUCCAUUUUAGCGGAGAGCAUGUCCACCUCAUUGAGGGCGUGGACACCUCUCUUCUUGGGCUGGAGGCGUUCCUCAUUCCAUUCUUGAUUUGUAACCAUCUUCUCUAUGAGGUCUUUGGCAUCCAUGACGUUGUGUUGCAAGAAUGCGCCUCCAGUAGCAGCAUCAAGGUGACUCUGGGCCAAACCGGUUAGGCCAUGGUAGAAACCUUGAAUGAGGAGCCAUUCCUCUAUCCCAUGAUGAGGACAGGCACGAAUGUACUCCUAGAUAUGUUCCCAUGCUUUGGGGUUUGUCUCAUUAGCUUGUUGUUGGAAGCUGGAGAUCUUUCCACAAAGGGCGCUGGUUUUGCCCAUCGGGAAGAACUUCUUGAGAAAUGCAUUGGCGCACUUCUCCCAUGUGGUGACCUCACUUUUGUUGGUAUAGAACCAUUGCUUCACCUUUAUCAAUAGCAAGAAUGGGAAAAGGCUGAGAUGGAUGGCGUCUGCAGAAACAUUCUUGAUAGUGAAGGUACCACACAACUCCAGGAAGUGUUGGAGUUGGGCGUUGACGUCCUCAUGUGGCUUCCCAGAGAAAGGGUUGACUUGCACCAUGUUGAUGAGUGUUGGCUUAAACUCAAAAGUUGCAUCACCCAAGUUAAGCUGUGGACCCAAGGCAACAUAGUCAGCUGACGAUGUAGAGUACUCAGAGAUGGUCUUUUGGGCCAUAACCUCCUUGAAAAUUGGUGCAGAACCUCCUUCCUCGAAUAGAUUUAGGAUCGAGAUGAACCUUUGAGGUUGAGCUUGAUGGCGUCUAACUAUCCUCAACAACUGCUCAGGAUCUUCAACAAAAUAUGAUGGCAGUUGGAAACCACUCAUUCACCUUCUAGUUCCACGAUAACAAGAAACAAGAUAGGUGCGGGGUAAGCCCCUACACUAAUUGAUAACUAGACCGAUAGUAGACUCUGGAUUCACUUUUAUUAAAAUUCCUAGGCUGACGCUUUCCCCGGCAAUGGCGCUAGAAAUGCUUGUUGGCAAAUCUUAGCAUCGUCACUAGAUGUUAGCAACGAUGCAAGAAAUGCCAGGUGGGUACUUCUUGUGUCUAUUGGAUUGUUCCGCAAGCGCACAGAAUAUACCGAUGUAGCACUUCACCGAGGAUGAGUAUUCCAAGGUAUCUUUAUUUAUUUUAUCCCAAGAGAAAGCAAUGCUAGGAAUAUUUAAAAAGAGAAGAGAUAUCCUUAUGUCUACUAUGAUCUACUAUCGACUAGUGAAGAAGGAGGGUAAGUGAUUGAUAGGAAGGGUAGAUAAGUAAGGUAGCAAAGAAUCUAAGCUAAAGAUAACUGGUAGAGUGUUAGCUAGGUGGGAGGACAACGAGUGAGUAAAGGACUCCUAUGUAUCCUACUUUACUUCUUUGUACUUGAUCCUAAUAGAUAGCUGACUCAACUAGACUAAUGCCAUACUCCUUGUGUGAGGGGGAUAGCCAAGAAAAUAGGAGAUAGAACCCCUGCUAAAGCAACUAUACUCUUAUGGACGCCUAGCAUUUUAAGAACUAGUUUGUACGUGAGGAGAUCCUAAUGCCGAGCACGACCUGUCACGUCCUACCAGUGCGCUCCUACCGUCCGUCCAAACCAACGACUAUCAAAGGUGAUCCUUAGUUUAAGCACCGCACUUACACUAACUCUCACGACUCUAACUACGGCGCAGAUAGCUCAAGCUCCUAUGCAAGAUAGGACGAUGAAACACACACAAGGAGUUGGUUAUAGGAAACCAAUCAACCUAAGUCAACUAAUAUUACUAAGACAAGCACACAACAAGGCUAUAGUAACUAUAGACUUGUACUAAGUAAAUACUUAAGUAAAUACUAAGUAAAGUAAAGGAAGAAUAAUAUAUUGAUAAAAGUAAACUCUUACAAAAGAGGAAAGGUAUAAGAGCUAUACCAGACUCUCUAGAAGACGACUCCAGAGACCCUGAGCUUCGCUCGACUUGACUCUAACUCCCACUCUAGACUAACUACUACUACACUACUUGAUCCUUGAAGGAUUGAGAGACUUAAUGCUCUUCUAGGGAUGCCUCUCAAGGGUGGAGGCAACCUCUAUUUAUAGAGGAGGGAGAGGGGGUGCCACAUCAGUGAUCCGUCUGCUUCAUGCCUCUCCACCCUUAAAUGAACCGACUUAGUAACCGCCAUAGAUGGAGGGCCAUGGUAAUUUGGACAUGUGGAAGUUGUGCUUGAGUCAGUGGGGAGCCAACCGACUUGGUUAGGCACCAGGAGGGGGUCGCCUGACCCCUCUAUGGUAGGUGGGCCCAGCCAGGGUCUUCUAGAAGGUGACCCUAGUUAUCAUGUGAAGUGGCUCCACCAUUUGUGAAAGAUUUGUCAUGUUGCUUGCUUACUUGUGGGCCCAUGGAUCUAUGUGCAAUGAUCUUUCACCACUAGAAGUUGAUCUGAGGGUGGAAAUGGACUCCAGGGGUCUCCACAUGGAUUGUACUUCAUAGCACACCUCUUGGUGGGACCAUAAUGGGGUCGCCCGACCCCCUCAUUAGGUCCUUCUAAGGUGCAUUUUCUUGUUUCCAGUAAUCAAAGGCUAAGAGUACAAGUGGAACCAGUUAUGGAUAAAAUAUGUUCAUGUUUUGCUAUUCUUCUGUGAGACCGAGGCAUGUUGACGGUGUUUUGAGUGUGAAUUUCUAUGGUACAUCCACUGUCAACAUGAUCCCCCAAGCUUAACCUUUACUCGUCCCAAGCAAACAAUCAAACUUAGCCUCGAUGGAUCAACUAUUGUUACUAUGCUCACAUUUCAAGAGUACCAUGUGUACAACAAAGUUCUUCUCUUUGAAUGAAAUAUUAGCUUAAAAACUCACCCAUAUUACCUUAGUCCUCUAUGGGGCUUAUGGCUUUUCCUUUGUCUUAGGCGGUUGAAAGAUAGAACGGUUUGACUUGAGCACUCAUUUUCUUAUUCAUAGCAAGUUUCAUACCGGAGGUUUUGUAAUAUUUUUUUUCAAAUGAAAACUUAAUGUUCCUCAUAUGGUUCUCUCAAGUCACUCGAAUGGUGUAUGAUUCCUCACCUAGGCAUAUGAUAAGAAUUACCUUCCUUAGUUCUUCCUACUUCUAAAAAGCAUAUGUGGAGUUCAAGGUAGGGAUAAAGAAAGAUAGAAUACUCACUUUGCAUUUAUUGGGAAGUCAAAGCUUGGAUCCAAGAAGAGAAGUGUCAUACCCCUAGAUCAAGAUGUGCAAGUGUGUGGUAUAUAAUGAACUAGGUUGCUCCUUUAUUUGAUAAGAUAUCUCUCUAUAUUUUUUUUUCUAUUAAGACAUGGCUAGCUCUUUUUUUUCUUUUCUUCUUUUUUCAUGGACCUUCAUGUGCCCAUAUGUAUAUAUAUGUUGCAUAGCCCUUUUGGUGUCUCAUCUAUUACACCAUAUUUGGAGAGGUAUUCUAAUACUUAAAGCAAGGAGCAAGUUAUUUGGUGGAAAUGGAAGACAUAUUUUUGCGUACUUCUAGUGUAGAAGCAGCAUGUAUAUAUGUGGUGUGUGUGUGAUCUUGAUCUUGGGAGCAUGAUAAGUCUCUUAAACAAGGGUCAACAAGACUUGACAACACUCAACACAAAUCAAAUAGCUUAUGUGGAAGGUUUAUAAACAUGUAGAGCAUAUAUGGCCGUGGUAGGAAUUUAUCAUUAGUGAGGAACAAUUAAGGUUUUGAUCAUUUUAAGAAUAAAUUCUCAGGUAUUGCAACAUGCUUAGAACAAUACUAUAGCAGCUCUAAUCUCACUAUCUCAUAUCCCUCAACAACUUAGACUUAGUUUUAGCACUUGCAACCCACAAAGUUUUUGGGUUCAUGAUGGUUUAAGUGAGCUAAGUAAUACAUACUUGGAGAAAUGCUAGGCUGUAAACUAGGUACUAAGGAAAUAUUGACAGAGUAACUAUUCAUCAUUUCCAUAAGGAAGAUAAACAUACAUGAAGCAUAUGUGUUAAGCGAGAUAAGCAAAUAUUUUUUUGAUAUUUUCUUUUUUUGAAUGCACUAAGAUGAAUAACUAGAAUGCAAAAUGCUAAGAUAGAAUACUUACCUUAGUGGGGGAGAGGAUCUCCCCCAAGCUUGGCUUUUGCUCACUGUGGUGGCGGAUAAUGUUGGAACCAUCCGGCCCAUCAUUGUGCUUCCUCAGCUUGUAUUGCUUGUAGAAGUUGGGCAUUUUGUUGUGCCAGCUGCAGCAUUGCUUCUUAUUCAAUGUGCAUUGCACCCGUGUUGUUGAUGAGGUCGUCCAUCUCUGUCCUUUGGUGGCACCUUUCCCUGCCCCGUGGGUGAGGAGUGCGUUGUGGACGUGGAGGCCUUUCCAUGGACCCUCAUAUGUCCAUAGAGCUUGCCUCAUCGCCUUCUUCAACUUCAUCUCCUGCAGGAUUUGAGGGAGCACAUUGCUCCAUUUAAGCAGCUCGUGACAUUCCUCUUGUCAUUUGGCGUGGUCCUACAAUAUUUUGGCUACGUGACUCUUUGUCUAAUUUAAUGGUUAGCGUACGAAGCGCAUACAGUUGACAUUUCUCACAAGGGAGAGGAACUUCAACUGUAUAGCCCGAAUAAACCAUUUUAAGUCCAAACCUUGGACCUCUUUUGAGCACAUUAAUAUUAAUGAAGACAUCCUCAUUUAAAACAUCUCUAGCAGAGGUGAUGUACUCAAAGGUAUGUGGCUCUAGUGCAUCCGUUGAUUCGGCUAUACGAGUAAUGAAUGAUGUAAAGUAAAUGGGUUUUCCAUACUCAAUGGAGUUGAGCCAAUAGUCCACUAGCAGUUUAACAGGUGAGACCUUAAUUUUGCAUACCAUUGCAUAGAGAAGUUUAAGUUCUUCAUCACUUAAGAUGUUACCUCUAGUUCUAAGAAAAAGAGUCAUACACAUCCACUAAUGAAGAAAACACAGGGUCAGGUUAUGGAUUUGGUGGGGUGUAAGAUUAGAGCAAUCGUUGGAACCAGAUAUUGCUUUCCAAAAGUCAUUUUUCUAAACCCGAUAGUGGCAUGGUCUAGAUCAAGUUCACAAUUGUGCUCACAUCCUAGGGUAGUGUUCAAGAUGCUCCAAGUUAAAUUACAUUUUUCCCUAAACAUGUGAAAGGCUACGCCAUUGAAUGUUAAUUGUAAAGUACACAAAAAAUCUUGGGUGAUCACUUCUAUGCCAAGUUCAGGAACCAUCCAAAAUCCUCCCCAACCAAUUGUGUUAAAAACAACAUUAAACUCUGCACUCAUACCUGUGUGGUCCAAGAGAACCGGAUCGAUGAUGCUUGUGCAGCGGAAACUGCUUGAUCGUAGGGUGUUGUAUUUCUGUAGCUCUUCUUGGGUUAGCAUGAGGCCGCUCCCGGGCUCUCUUACUCUUGGUGGAGGCUCAUAGAGUACCACUUGGUGGUGACUCUCUUCCUCAUCCCUCCUCUCAUGGGUUCCUUUGGUGUGGUGAGAGUUAUGGGAAGAGCUCUCACCCUUCUUGGACUUCUUAAACCGGGAGGUGAGUAACUUCUUCAUCUAGCUACACAAGUGAGACAAACCAAGCUCCUACUAUUCCUACUAUGCAAGGGAUAAAGGGCAAAUCUUUUUGGGUUUUUGUUUUGGGAUGCUACUACUAAGCUAAACAUUGAGAGAGAACUUGCAACAAGACAGAAGAGAAGAAUGCUUGUGAGCUCAGGAUAUUCUAAAUGGUUGGGUGUGGAGUUGAGCUCACAAUGCAUGGGUAUUUAUUGGGGGAGUGCCACACCCUGGUUUAAAAAAAUAAACCAGAGUCAUCAUAUGUGUGCCCAAGAAGUCCACACAUAUAACAAAAGAAUAGAAAUAUCAGAAACAAUGUUAUAUAUAGCGGAAAACAUAUUUAUAAUAACAGUUACAAACAUCGGGCCCAAUAUAGUUGUUAUGGUGCUUAAUCUGUAGACAGAGUAUGUGGAAACAGUAGCUAAACUUCUUUGGCUCCAUUCUUCUCAGGGACGGUUGACUGGGGGCUGUGUAUGCCAAGCACUUCUCAUAAGCUUCUAGAAAUCUCCAUGACAUCUUAACCUUCUUCUGAGCAGCACUUUGCUACGCACUGGGGGUGUGGGGGAAAUAGCAAGGGUGAGUUCAUGUCGAACUCAACAAGUACAGGUAGAAAGUAUAAUGACAUGCAAUGCUUAAUCAAAGGAAAAGCUGACACUGUUUAACUGCAGGUGAGCUUUUAAGUUGGUAAACUUUUGUUACGAUUCUUAUAUUAAAACAACCUAUUACUAAAUAUGAGUGAAGCAUCCCAACCCUUAAUUAGAUGAAAGUAAAUUAAUAAUACUAUUACUCAUCAUUAUAAUUAUUAUUAUUGUUAAGAUCUCUGAGGUAGCAACCUCAAAUAGUAACUCGGGGUAGCAACCCCAUUAAGGUCAUGGGAUAGCAAUCCCAAUUAAGAACACAUGAUAGCAAACCUGCCAACACGGAAUAGCCAUUCCGCCAAAGCACGAGGUAGCAACCUCAACCAAAUUUUGCCUCCAAGUUCCAUGUUAUUCCAAUUUGCUCAUCAUGUGAGAGUCUGGGCCGCUCGUGACCGUGAGCACGGCUGAUAUAUCAGUUUUACACUCUGCAAAGGUGUGCACUUUCACUCCAAGUCGUGAUUCCCAUUCGCCCGGGGUCGCGACUCCCCAAAACACUACCAAGGUGAGCAGGUAGGGAUUCACUACGAGACCUUUCACAGGUUCCGACUAAUAAGAUGCCACUCGUAAGUUUUUGCCGGGGCGCGCAGCAGCCGUGCCCAUAGCAAUGGGACCCCGAACUGACCGACCUCUUAAUAUGAAUACCCAAGCUACUUCCUUAGGCCUACCUGGAAAGUAACACCCUACCAGCGGAGGUCCUGAUAAUUAGUCAUGCUAGAGCCAUAUGGCUUGGAGCUGCACUGUAUGUCCCAGGGGGCCGCUCCAUGACUAAGUCCUUACGGAGAGCAGAGACGGGUACGCCCGGCAACCGGGCCAACCAACAGUACCCGCUCCCCCUUUCCUCAACAAACUACGAUGCUCACAAGCACCGCUACAUCUUCAUCACCGAAGUGACCAUUAUCCACCAUUGGAGCAUUAUUUAUCAUUGAAGAAUUCAUUAGGCAAGAUUAUUACUUUUAUUAUUAUAUAGAUUAGAUGAGCAGAGCAGCUAAGCAUAACUACUGUUCACUAUUCUACCCAUAUAUAAAACCCAGGAGUACAAGGAAUACAAUAGAAGGCUAGUCAGGUCCUUAGGGUUUGCAGUAUUAAGACACAUGCAGUUAAAGUGAAUAUAAUUAAAGUUCAUAGAUACAAUAUGAUCAAAGGGUGCCUGCACUUGCCUUUAUUCCCAGUGUAUAUCUGCUCAGAAUUCUUUGACUUCUUUCUUGUGAUCUUUAUCUUCUACUGCAACUGUUGGUCCUCAGCUCCUGGUCUUCACUGUUGACGAACCACACUUCUUCUACUCGAAGCAAACAAGCAACACAAAUAGACAAACAACAAUCACGACUAAGAUCAAACGACACUCAAAAGAAAAGCUUAGAAAGAGCGCACUAAACGACAUGGCUUGUUGCUAUGAUCGAGACAACGCGAGAACGAUUAAGAACAGAGCUAUCGUUAAACAGACACGACUUUCAAGGUUUAAAGUGUAACGGAGAAGAGAACUAUACGCUGGUCGUAUUUUGUGAACACAGGUCAUGGAUUAUUCAAAGAAAUAUCUGAAAGUUGAGUUGACCAAAUUAUAAAGAAUUAUAAAAGGUUAGGGUUAAAUGUUAGUCAUAUUCUAUUUAAUAAAUAAUUAUAUACCACUGAAGCCAAUCAAGCAUUUAUAGAAUAUAUGAAAGCAACUAAUCGAGUGAUUAUAUAUCAUGUUUAAACUAAUCAAGUUGUAAUUAAUAAAGAAACAUUAAGGUUGAUAUUAAUAACAUGGGCAUUUAUUUAUUUUCAAAAGAUCAAAAUUAUAAACAUAAUUUACUUUUAAUUCAAAAUGACUUUAGAUAGAUAUUACUAAAUUAUUUAUGUGCUUCAUGUUUAAAUAAGCAAAUUAUAAUUAAGAAAGUAUUUAAGUUCACAUUUGAUUAUAAAGAUGCCGAAGUGUAAUUCUAAGUUGUUUUUAAAUUAAUUAAAUAGAAAUGCAUUUAAAACAUUAAUCAGAUUAAUUAUACUCAUAAACAUGAGACAAUGAAAAUAGCAUUGCUAAUAUGUAGAUUACACCAACAUAGUCACAACGCAACGAGAAACAAAUUACAACCCUAGAUUGUUCUUUAAUUUAAAACCUAUUUAAUAGAUAUUAAUCAAAUUAUAUUUAAAUCAAUAAAUUCAAGAAUAAGAUACAUGAUAAAUAUUUAUACUACUACGUAAAGCGCGGCGAUACGAAACUAACUCGACAAGAACGGGCUUAAUCGGAGUUAAAACGCGGAUUCUAUGGCUAAAACUAGGUCGGUGGCAAGAUAGUGAAUAAACAGAACUAUUUUUCGUAUUUUAAAUAAUUAAAACUGAAUUUUAAAAGCGUUUUGGACUAAAUCUUUAAAUACCAAUGGAUCCAGGUGCUAGAUUGCUAAAAACAGGACUUAAACCUAAUUAUUUCCGAACUACUCAGAACUGCGGGUUAAUUUAGAAAAACCGCAGGGGCUUUUUCGCAAGAUGGCCAGGGUGAACCGGGUUUUGGCCACGCGGCGUGGCGGGGUAGGUGGAGUGCAGGAGGCGCGCGCGGGGUGAGCCGCGCCCUAGGUUGGAGCGUGGGCGAGCUGGGCCAGGAGCGCUGGCGGUCCACGCGGCAAGAGUGAGGGGGGGGGAAGGGAGCUGGGCCGGGGAAGAGGGGGGACGGCCCAGGGAGAAAGAAAACCCUUUUUCUUUUUUUUUUUAAAAAAAAUUGAUUUCUAAACUAUUUUACUAAACCAAUUUCAAAACCAUUUUGAAUUCCUAAUUUGAGAUUAUUUAGGAGCUUGUUUUCUUUAAUACUUUUGAAAACCAAGCACAUUUUCCUUAGAUCAUAUCUUUAAAUCAUUUUUCAACUCAAAAUGAAUUUAGUUUUCGAAUAUGACUUUUAGAUUUUUAUUUUUAUUUUUCUUUUCAAAAACCGAAAAGGGCCGAAACGGGCUCGAUAGAAAUUUUGAAAUUUAUUUUUUUACACAAGCCAAACAAAGCUAGGGCACCAAGCACACAAUAACAAAACAAAACACCCUUCACUUGUCUUUAUAAAAGUUUUAAAAUUCCAAAUUUUUCACUUUUUAUAAUAACAACAAUUAAUAAAAUCUUGCAAUAUUUUAGAAAAAAUUUAAAUCCUUAUUUAAUUUAGUGUUUUUCAAAUAACAAUCCAAAAAUUAAAAAUUUUGGAGUGUUAUAGAUCUACCCCACUUAACAUAAAUCUCAUCCCGAGAUUUGAAGAAACUAGAGAGAAAGAUAAAGUAGAUCAUCAAAGUUGUUUCGAGACUUUCAAGACAUGAUCAAAGAAUUAAAUAUAGACAUAAAGGGUAGAGAGUAUGGUAAAGAUUGAAGACAAGGAAAGAUAAUCGUAUGAGAUAAGAAUUGAUCUUUGGAUCGUGUAUUAUGAUAAGGUGCAAGGGCAAGAAGCCAAUAUUAACAAGAGAUGAUACAUAGGAGAUGGAUAUAAUAUUGCUCACAAUUUCCUUGAUUCCGGGUAUGUAUAAGAUAGUAGACGAAAGGAUAAAGAAUUAGCAGAAGUUGACAAAGACUUAGAUUUUUUUUAAGUCUUCACGCUUAAUCAUUUGUAGUCCUAUGAGACGUAGGAUCAAAGAUCGUCGAUUGGCAAACAUGAUAAGGGUUCAUCGCAAGAAUGAUAAAGAUUCUUAUAUAGUUCUCCAUGUCUUUCUGAUUAGAGAUUUUCGAGAGUGAUGAUCGUAGCGAAUGCUGCCCCACUUAGACCAAGUGUUUGCUCAUCUUCAAAACUCCUAUAUAAGAACACUCAUCUUGUCCGUAGAUAAUCUGCAAAGUUUUCCUUUGGAGGUUACUAGUUCGACAAUACACUGCACCUCUUAAGAUUUGAGGGACACGAAGAGAAACAAAAAGAUGAUUAGAAAGAAUAGAUUGAAAUAAUCUCAGGUAUCUCAAUAAAGGUGUGAGACUUAAACCAAAAGUCGAUAAGGUUAUCUAGUAGAAGGUUCUUGAACAGUAUCUAGAAAAGCAACCCAAGGGGUCUGUUAAGAUCGACCAUAUAUCGGUAUGGUUUUCAUCUGACUUUCAGGUUAUGCAUUUUGUCACGUGAUAGUCCAUCAUAUAUUACAGGGUGAAAAAUAAGUCUUAUCUUAGGACCUCGGUUUCUUAAUGCCUUGCUUUGAUAGGUCAACAGACAUCACACUUUCUAUGAUACUUGGUGCUUCUUUGUGGUCUCCAUAGAUGAGUUCUAAGCAGAUUUGACCUACUACUUGCAGUGUUGGGAGAAUGAUGCAAGAAAGAACUACACAAAGGAUGUUGACUCAUUCUAUAAGGAGUAUUUAAGAUCGCUUCAUAGGUAAGCACUACCACUUGAUGUUGGGACAACACUAGGUGCUUCGCCCAAGGUUCCGUCGGUUACCAUAAAAAGACUGAACAUCUGGUCAAACAACUCAUUACUCAUACUAGAAGCUUAAGAAUGAUAAGGUCUGAUGAAAUAGAUGUCUCACUUUACAAAGAGGAUUACAAGUUGCCUGAAUGCAAAAAAUCUUUAUUAGCUAAAAGGCAUAACUGACUUUAGAUUUCAUAGACCAUUAUUGACUAGCUCAAAACUAUCUGGGUCCCUUAAUAUAACUUGCUUCACAUAAGAUGUUGAGAAUAUAUCGCCUUUGUAUAAGGUCCACAUUUCUUUCAAACUGCCUCGUUGUCGAUACAAUCAUUACAUGAGUCCUUUAAACCUUGGGGUGAGGUCGAGGUGCCUUCAUACACAAACCUGUCUCCUGAUGGGGUGAUUAGGGAUACUGAGUGUUGGGUACAAUCAAUCUCUCCAUGACAAGCAGUUAACCAUCCUCUUCCAAGAACGACAUCAAUCUCCAUUGACUCUAGGACUAUAAGAUUUACCUCAAAAAUUACACAUUUUAUGUCGAGACAAACUUUUGGACACAUGUAGGUUGCUCUUAUUUUCCCUCUUGGUGAUUUGACCAGUAUGAGUCUCUUCAUUUCCAACAUAAGCAUCUUAUGAUCGGCAACACAUUUACUCGAGAUAAAAGAAUGUGAAGAACCUGAGUCGAACAAAACAGUGGCAGGAGUUGAGUUGACUAGAAUUGAUCCAAACACCACAUUUUGUGCUUCGCAAGCAGUACACAUAUCCACAUGGUUCAAUCUACCAUUAACAUAGUCACGAACUGGGUACUUCUUUGGACAAUGCUUCUUGUGAUGUCCCUCUUCGUGACACUGGUAACAAGCAUUGCUAACAGUUUUAACAUAGGUGCCAUCCUAACAUUGAGCUCCUUGAAUUGAUGUGCUAGGAGUAACUAAAGUGCUACUAACUUGUUGGUUCUGAGGGUUCACUUUCAAUGGAGUCUCUUCACUAUUUCGCUUCUUAGCUUGAUUACUUUUUCGAGGAUGAAGUUCUAUGUAGGUGAUGGUCCAUCCAUCUAGGCAUAACUCUGGCAUAGCAAGUGUAGCUGAAGGGGCAUCUAACUCUUCAAGAUAUGAAUGUGUCUGAUGAGAGUUUGGAGCUAAAUCUAACUGCCAUGUAGAACUCAGAUUUGGCUCAACACUUAACAGUGGCUCUAGGGAGAUUGCCUUCUUUUCUUGUUACCUUCAGUCUGUUGAUCCUAGGGUACUUCUACCUUUCCUUCGCUUGACUUUUUCUAAAGGCACGGUAAACCAUAAUAUCUGCAACAAUUACAUGGCUCUUGAAUCCCAAGCGCCUCAUUAAUACCAUCUGUUGACGGUCCUUGAGUAUCAAAUUUAAUUAUCAAAUAAACAAAGAAAAGGAUCCAAAUGAAAUCAACAUCUAGACUUAGGGUUUUAUCUAACAGAAUUCCACGAGUUUUGGUGUUUGUCUAUUUUUGCAGGGGGUUAUCUGGAAAUACGGAAGAAAGGCCCACACGUCAGGAUUACAUGGAGAUAUUAACGUGUCGCGCAAUUAUCUUACAUCUAGAAGACUCCAGAAGCCACGAGACCGAAGCGGAGGCGAAUCGGGGCCAGAGGCAGGGCGCCCGCCCUCCUGCCCUGGGCGCCCGCCCCCUCCCUGAGUCCAAUCAGGACUCUGCUUCGUGGGAGAUCUCCACCGACCUAAAGGAUGAAUCUAAACCAUACAAUCUAUGUCGGUUUGAUCCAACGGCCCAUAUUCACUUGAAGGGACUAUAAAACUAGACCCCCUGGCCCCUGGAGGAGAGAGCCUCUCAACCCUAAUUCAUUGUUCUUCAAGGGAGAAGAAGUCUCUGAUCAAGAUUAGAGCCACCACAUCAAUUAGAUAUCUAGAUUAGCAUAGCUACAUAGGAUUGGAGUCAAUCUUCGAUUGGUUUCCGGAUCUAUCAAGAGGAUUCUUGGUAAUUCUCUAAUUGUGCUUCUAAUUACUUUCUAAUUAUCUUUGUUCUUCAAUAUUAUGAAUAUGACUUUGUUCUACUUCAAUAUAUUGCUUAUGACUUUGCUCUACUUGCUUAUAUUCAAGAUUAUAUUGUUCUUAGUUUAUCAUAGUUAUGUACUUGGCUUAGUUAGAUUGGAUCUAUAUACAUGCUUAGGAUCGUAUAGCGUUUAUCCAUCGAAUCCAUGGGUAAAUGAUAGAUAUUGUGUAGGCGUGAUGCUUAUACCGUAUUUAUCUGCGAUUGUACCCAAUAUGCCAGAUCGUGGGGUGGUUCAUGAUAGUGACAGCUUCAUUGAUUCUUAUAUAGUCCCCCUCUUGUGUAUUGGGCUGGCAGAGCAACAUUAUUACAGGGGAGUGAUUGCUAUGUUUCUCAUAUUCCUUGCUAAUAUCACUAUGCAUGGGCGUAGUCUUGUCUCGCAAUGAUUGCUAAGUAUGCUUGCACUAACUAUGAUAAUGCUAGACUAUAUAGUUAAGAAUAACUUAGGGAAUAUUCUUGUAGUUCGUUCUAAUACCAUGCUAAUGACUUUCUAGAGUAUCUAAUUGAGGUGCUUAUCAUAUUUAUAUGUGGCUGAUCAGAUUAAUUACCUUUGUCACUAUUCAUUAUUUCAUUAUUUAUUUAGAAGAGCAAUUGCAUUUUUCAAUACCGCGUCUCUCAUGUCAUGCUGGGGAUGACAACUUGGCUUAAGUGGUAUGAGGGAUAGGUUUGGCAUUUUUGGCACCGUUACUAGAUUUAGGGAACUUAGUCUACUUUUGGUAAUGAUGUUAAGAAUACCCAACACCAUCUUUCCUAGUUUCCAUGUUCCUCCAGACUUCUACUAUUUGUCUCUUCAUUGCUCCUUCCUGAGUUUUGGUCAUUGUCUUCUCUGAAUGUAACUGAGAAUCUUUUUGUGGUCCCACUACACUUAGUACUUGAUCCUGUGUAAACAAAGGCUUCUCCUUGUUUACUAGUGACAAGGGUAACAUGGUUGGGUCUUUCUGACAUUUGAUGUAAGCUUCUUCUAUGUCACCUUGGAGAAGUAGAGCUUGUACAAUCAAAAGUUUCUAGAGUCUGGCCAUCUGAUCAGCUACCAUCUUUAGGAUCUGAGCUUGCCAGGCUAUCACCUAUUCACCACUUAGUUGUGUUGUAGAAGGCAUUUGUUGACUCUGAUCACUGGUAUUAAUUCCUUUGACCAAGCAAAACAAGCACGCAACACAUCAACGAUACUACACGUGCUUCUUCAACAGUGGUGGUCAUCCUAAAAGGUAGGUCUGAGAUGAUGAAGGGCCAUCGACAUUGGGAAAUAAAGCAAGUUUUGAAAACUUAAGUAAAACACAUAAUAAACAAAAGCUAAGGAGAUAAAUAGAAAUAGCUCAAAGGAAGCUAUUCAAGGAGGGGAUACAACAUGACAAGGAUGAAGAAAUAGUCAAGGGACGAGAAAAUAGUUUUAUAUCAAAAUAAGCUUUAGAAAUCGACCAGUGCUAUCUAGGCAUACGUCCUACAGUCAACAUUGCUUUGAUACCAUUCCUAUCACACCCUGGUUUAAAAAAAUAAACCAGAGUCAUCAUAUGUGUGCCCAGGAAGUCCACACAUAUAACAAAAGAAUAGAAAUAUCAGAAACAAUGUUAUAUAUAGUGGAAAACAUAUUUACAAUAACACUUACAAACAUCAGAGUAUGCGGAAAUAGUAGCUAAACUUCUUUGGCUCCAUUCUUCUCAGGGACGGUUGAGUGGGGGCUCCGUAUGCCAAGCACUUCUCAUAAGCUUCUAGAAAUCUCCAUGACAUCUUAACCUUCUUCUGAGCAGCACUUUGCUACGCACUGGGGGUGUGGGGGAAAUAGCAAGGGUGAGUUCAUGUCGAACUCAACAAGUACAGGUGGAAAGUAUAAUGACAUACAAGGCUUAAUCAAAGGAAAAGGUGACACUGUUUAACUGCAGGUGAGCUUUUAAGUUGGUAAACUUUUAUUACGAUUCUUUUAUUAAAACAACCUAUUACUAAAUAUGAGUGAAGCAUCCCAACCCUUAAUUAGAUGAAAGUAAAUUAAUAAUAUUAUUACUCAUCUUUAUAAUUAUUAUUAUUGUUAAGAUCUCCGAGGUAGCAACCUCAAAUAGUAACUCGGGGUAGCAACCCCAUUAAGGUCAUGGGAUAGCAAUCCCAAUUAAGAACACAGGAUAGCAAUCCUGCCAACACGGAAUAGCCAUUCCGCCAAAGCACGAGGUAGCAACCUCAACCAAAUUUUGCCUCCAAGUUCCAUGUUAUUCCAAUUUGCUCAUCAUAUGAGAGUCUGGGCCACUCGUGACCGUGAGCAUGGCUGAUAUAUCAGUUUUACACUCUGUAGAGGUGUGCACUUUCACUCCAAGUCGUGAUUCCCAUUCGCCCGGGGUCGCGACUCCCCAAAACACUACCAAGGUGAGCACGCAGGGUUUCACUACGAGACCUUUCACGGGGUCCGACUAAUAGGAUGCCACUCGUAAGUUUUUGCCGGGGCGCGCGGCAGCCGUGCCCAUAGCAAUGGGACCCCGAACUGACCGACCUCUUAAUAUGAAUACCCAAGCUACUUCCUUACGCCUACCCGAAAAGUAACACCCUACCAGCGGAGGUCCUAAUAAUUAGUCAAGCUAGAGCCAUAUGGCUUGGAGCUGCACUGUAUGUCCCAGGGGGGCGCUCCAUGACUAAGUACUUACGGAGAGCAGAGAUGGGUACGCCCGGCAACCGGGCCAACCAACAGUACCCGCUCCCCCUUUCCGCAACAAACCACGAUGCUCACAAGCACCACAACAUCUUCGUCACCGAAGUGACCAUUAUCCACCAUUGGAGCAUUAUUUAUCAUUGAAGAAUUCAUUAGGCAAGAUUAUUACUUUUAUUAUUAUAUAGAUUAGAUGAGCAGAGCAGCUAAGCAUAACUACUAUUCACUAUUCUACCCAUAUAUAACACCGAGUACAAGGAAUACAAUAGAAGGCUAGUCAGGUCGUUAGGGUUUGCAGUAUUAAGACACAUGCAGUUAAAGUGAAUAUAAUUAAAGUUCAUAGGUACAAUAUGAUCAAAGGGUGCCUGCACUUGCCUUUAUUCCCAGUGUAUAUCUGCUCAGAAUUCUUUGACUUCUUUCUUGUGAUCUUUAUCUUCUACUGCAACUGUUGGUCCUCAGCUCCUGGUCUUUACUGUUGACGAACCACACUUCUUCUACUCGAAGCAAACAAGCAACACAAAUAGACAAACAACAAUCACGACUAAGAUCAAACGACACUCAAAAGAAAAGCUUAGAAAGAGCGCACUAAACGACAUGGCUUGUUGCUAUGAUUGAGACAACGCGAGAACGAUUAAGAACAGAGCUAUCGUUAAACAGACACGACUUUCAAGGUUUAAAGUGUAACGGAGAAGAGAACUAUACGCUAGUCGUAUUUUGUGAACACAGGUCAUGGAUUAUUCAAAGAAAUAUCUGAAAGUUGAGUUGACCAAAUUAUAAAGAAUUAUAAAGGUUAGGGUUAAGUGUUAGUCAUAUUCUAUUUAAUAAAUAAUUAUAUACCACUGAAGCCAAUCAAGCAUUUAUAGAAUAUAUGAAAGCAACUAAUCGAGUGAUUAUAUAUCAUGUUUAAACCAAUCAAGUUGUAAUUAAUAAAGAAACAUUAAGGUUGAUAUUAAUAACAUGGGCAUUUAUUUAUUUUCAAAAGAUCAAAAUUAUAAACAUAAUUUACUUUUAAUUCAAAAUGACUUUAGAUAGAUAUUACUAAAUUAUUUAUGUGCUUCAUGUUUAAAUAAGCAAAUUAUAAUUAAAAAAGUAUUUAAGUUCACAUUUGAUUAUAAAGAUGCUGAAGUGUAAUUCUAAGUUGUUUUUAAAUUAAUUAAAUAGAAAUGCAUUUAAAACAUUAAUCAGAUUAAUUAUACUCAUAAACAUGAGAGAAUGAAAAUAGCAUUGCUAAUAUGUAGAUUACACCAACAUAGUCACAACGCAACGAGAAACAAAUUACAACCCUAGAUUGUUCUUUAAUUUAAAAGCUAUUUAAUAGAUAUUAAUCAAAUUAUAUUUAAAUCAAUAAAUUCAAGAAUAAGAUACAUGAUAAAUAUUUAUACUACUACGUAAAGCGCGGCGAUACGAAACUAACUCGACAAGAACGGGCUUAAUCGGAGUUAAAACGCGGAUUCUAUGGCUAAAACUAGGUCGGUGGCAAGAUAGUGAAUAAACAGAACUAUUUUUCAUAUUUUAAAUAAUUAAAACUGAAUUUUAAAAGCGUUUUGGACUAAAUCUUUAAAUACCAAUGGAUCCAGGGGCUAGAUUGCUAAAAACAGGACUUAAACCUAAUUAUUUCUGAACUACUCAGAACUGCGGGUUAAUUUAGAAAAACCGCAGGGGCUUUUUCGCAAGAUGGCCAGGGUCAACAGGGUUUUGGCCGCGUUGACGGCCACGCGGCGCGGCGGGGUAGGUGGGGUGCAGGAGGCGCGCGCGGGGUGAGCCGCGCCCUAGGUUGGAGCGUGGGCGAGCUGGGCCAGGAGCGCUGGCGGCCCACGCGGCAAGAGUGAGGGGGGGAAGGGAGCUGGGCCGGGGAAGAGGGGGGACGGCCCAGGGAGAAAGAAAACCCUUUUUCUUUUUUUAAAAAAAUUGAUUUCUAAACUAUUUUACUAAACCAAUUUCAAAACCAUUUUGAAUUCCUAAUUUGAGAUUAUUUAGGAGCUUGUUUUCUUUAAUAUUUUUGAAAACAAAGCACAUUUUCCUUAGAUCAUAUCUUUAAAUCAUUUUUCAACUCAAAAUGAAUUUAGUUUUCGAAUAGGACUUUUAGAUUUUUAUUUUUAUUUUUCUUUUCAAAAACCGAAAAGGGCCGAAACGGGCUCGAUAGAAAUUUUGAAAUUUAUUUUUUUACACAAGCCAAACAAAGCUACGGCACAAAGCACACAAUAACAAAACAAAACACCCUUCACUUGUCUUUAUAAAAGUUUUAAAAUUCCAAAUUUUUCUCUUUUUAUAAUAACAACAAUUAAUAAAAUCUUGCAAUAUUUUAGAAAAAAUUUAAAUCCUUAUUUAAUUUAGUGUUUUUCAAAUAACAAUCCAAAAAUUAAAAAUUUUGGAGUGUUAUAGGGAGAAGGGCAAGUGGUGGAAACCCUAUGUAGGGAUCAACCGACCCCCCUCCUAGCACUUUAAUUCAAAAUUUGCUUUGGCCAGGGAAUCUUACAUCAAAGUAUGAAAUCACUUUUCAGAGAUGGUCCAAAGUGGGGUCGUCCGACCCCCACCCUAAGCCCUCUUUUGCUAGGUGUGGACCAAAGGGCUAGGUGUGGACCAAAAGUAGUGAUCUUUUUUAGAGAUUCCCUUGCCUAUGCUUAGUGAAAGAGAAAAGAUGAUAGGCUAAAGUGGAGACAUGUCAUAAGAUAUUCCCAUGGACCAUGGAGACACUAAAGCAUGCCUAUGUGACCACUUUGCAGGAGUUGAGCAUGGUGGCAUGGUCCCAACACUUUAAAGAUGAAAGCAACAUCUUAUGUUUAAAGUGAUAAAGCAAAGGACCAUUUCUUUUCAGACCUUGGUUAGAGUGGUAUGCAUAGGAUUUAUGUGUUAAGCAUCUGGGAGACAGUAGAGUGCAGGUGACCCAAUAUGGGGGUCAGGUGACCCCCCACUUUGGUCCUCCACUUGCACCCAAGUCCUGGCAUCAUAUCACUAUACUAAGCCAAGGCGAAAGAAUGGUCAGUGGGCCCAAUGGUGGGGUCAGGCAACCCCACUUUUGGUGGUCCAACUGCUCAAAAAUUAUUGCAAGUUGUUCUCAAGUAUUUAUUUAUUGGGGUUAAGUAUUUUGUCAAAAAUAAAAUAUGCAAGAUUAUAACUAAGAAUGCAAUUGAAAAGUGCAAGACAAGAAUGCAGAAAGCAAAUAUGAGAUAACUAUUUAUUUACAUUACCAGCAGGGGCUCCAUGUUUUAGGUCCAUAGAGCAGGACCUCUCCAUUUUGUUCAUGCUUUGGGUGCCUCGGAUGGUCCUAGAGAUGGGGACCGUGAUUGCACCUUUCUCCCGCCAUACUGGUUUGAUUUUGGCCUGUGGUUCAGCGGGUUCUUCCUUCUCUAGUUUGACUUUGUUGGCCGACUCACCUUUCUUAUUCCUUCGGCGCGGGUAAUAGCGAGGUUUGUUCUUCGGUGCCUUGUCCUUCACUUGCAUGUUAGUUUUAUAACCAUUGAAUGGACACUUUACCUUUGCUCCUAGGAAUUGAAGAUGAAUUUGGCCGGACCCCACAUAGAUGAUAAUGUUGGCUGUGUUAAGGAAGGGCCUUCCCAGGAUGAUAGGAUUAUCAGCUCCCAUGUCUAGGAUGAUGAAGUCGGCGGGGGCGUAUUUGUCUUGUACUUUGACUAGUAUGUCCCUUGCUAGUCCCUUAGGGAACCAGAUCGUUUGAUCGGCCAUCUGCAAUUGAACAAAUGUUGGGAGCAAAGGCCCCCCUAAUAGGUUCUCAUAAGUUACCUUGGCCAUGAUGUUAACACCUCAUCCAAGGUCGCAUAAGGUGUUGUGGAAGAUUUGUGGUCCAAUUUCACAGGUGUUGGUUGGGUGGCUUCGAUCGUCCUUCUUGGUGAUUAAUGGUUGGUCAAGGAGAUAACUCUAGUUUGACUGCAAUGGAGGCUUACUGAACCUCAUGUUUACUAAUUUAACACCUUCAAUUGGAUCCUCAGGUUUCCCUAGGAUCUUACCUUGCUCGAUGGAUGGGACACCUGCUGCUAGUUGAGCUAAUUGUGUUUCUAGCAUUUUAUUGAAGCUCAAUUGAUUUUUCACAGCAGAGUUAAAGCUAUCCAUUUUCUCACUUAAGUUUUCAAGAAUCUUAUCAUUAGCCAUCAUUUUCUUAUUUAUGCUAUCAUUUAUUUUGGACUAGCCUAAGACAAGAUCUUUAAAGAAGGUUGGUUACCAUAAGAAUUAUUGAAAUUAUUGUUGUAACUAUUUCCUUGGUUUUGGUAGAAGGGACGCGAGUUCCAUCCUUGUUGUUGUUGUUUGGGCUAGUACCCGUUGUUGUUGUUGUUGUUGUUGUUGUUGUUGAUGAUGAUGAAGCUCACUUCCUCCUUUGUUUUGGGACAAUUAUUUCCCGAAUGAUCUUCUCCUCCACAUACUUCGCACCAUGGACCAGCUUUGACGACUCGUGCGGUUGCGUAGGGUUGAAUGACCUCUUGUUCCUUCUUGGAACCUUUUUCUACCUUUUUCAUCAAGAGGUCCAUUUUAGCGGAGAGCAUGUCCACCUCAUUGAGGGCGUGGACACCUCUCUUCUUGGGCUGGAGGCGUUCCUCAUUCCAUUCUUGAUUUGUAACCAUCUUCUCUAUGAGGUCUUUGGCAUCCAUGACGUUGUGUUGCAAGAAUGCGCCUCCAGUAGCAGCAUCAAGGUGACUCUGGGCCAAACCGGUUAGGCCAUGGUAGAAACCUUGAUUGAGGAGCCAUUCCUCUAUCCCAUGAUGAGGACAGGCACGAAUGUACUCCUAGAUAUGUUCCUGUUGAUGCAAAACUGGUCUGUAAACACAAAGGGCUAAUACCCGAUUCAAACGUUAAGGCGUGCCAGCCGAUUUGACCUUGCUAUCGGCAAAGGUGAUAACUCGAAUACUUUAGUCCUGACAACAGCGAUGCGCCCGGAUGUCACGGCUAAGAGGUACUCACGCGGAACUUGAGAACACGCCGAGCUUAAGUCGACGAAUUCCUAAGAACUCGUAACAAAAGGAAAAAGUAUGACGAAGUCGUCGAAAAGUAAAUGCUGGAAUAUGAGUAAAAACGUGUGUUUGAUUUCUUGAUUGAUUUUUACAAGGCCCUAGGGUCUAUAUUUAUACCCUGCUCAAAGAGCUACAACCAGACAUGAUUAGAAUUCGAAUUCCAAAUUACACGGAAUCCGUAUACAAAACGAUGCAAAUAAUUAAGGAAAUAACAAAACUAUCCCUCGUGACAAACCGAAACUCCUCCAUAUAACGACCGACAGCUUCCAGACUCCUCCUUUGCAUCAUCGGCAGAUCCUUUGCCAUAGUCAUCGGCAUACUUUCUUAUCUAGCCAUCGGCACCAUAUUACUGCCUGUGGACUUAGUCACAUUCAACUUCUCCCUCAUCGGCAACCAUCCUCAUCGGCAACCCGCUUUGUAAACAUCGUACUGCCACCUUAUCCUGCCAUCCUAGACACGUGCCCAAAAAUGGUGUCAACACAUGCACCCCAGUUUCGGAGUAUAAAACUAUUAAUGCUCCGAAAUUCUCUGCAGUAAUGAUGCCUUCUCCCGCAAUUAAUGCUCCUAAUCUGGUAACCGACAACCUCAAUCUGGACAACUCUGAUCCUAAUCCUCCGUAGAUUCCUCGAAAUCCCCAACUUCCUAAACGGGCAUUUUUCUCAGUCGUACAUCGGCAACAAUACCGUUACAAAGAUCUGCCGAUGUUCCGACCAGGAUAUUCGCAAAAACGGUUACUUCCCCUCUAUCCGCCCAUCGGCAAUAUGACCGUUAUAGAAUAUCGCCGAUGGACCGACCAGGAGAUCUCGCACAGUAAAAUAUCUUCAGAUAAUGACCGCUUCCCGUCAAAUCACCUGCACAAUCCCUGGAUUACCGUGCGAACAGUUACCAUAUCCACCUGAGUACCCUCGGAUUUCUCGGAUGCGGCAAAGAGAUAAGUCGGAUUUGCCCUUGCCCAUCUUGUCCUAUAAAUAGUUCCUUCUUGGGUACUCCUUCCCUAUCACACCAUUCUACUACCCAACUUUACUUCUCCAGCGGCGGCGCCACCAAAAACUCCUAAGGUCUCCGACAAGUACCCCUCUUCAUCAACUCCGGCGCCUUCACACGCUUCCUUCGCAGCAAGAUGGCCAUCGGGUUCGUCGUCCCUGAGGUCAAAUCUCCACCCCGUCUCCUGUAUUUUUCUUCAUAUCCCUGUUCACUCGCAAUUCAUUUUACUGAACAUCUUCCUUUUCUUUCCUCUUUGUAUUUCUUUUUACGCCCAAAAUCACUAGGAAUUGUCCAACAAAAUUGUCAUCCCCACCGAUCAACCACACCUUCAAUGCCUCGGCCCUCUAGGGGACCCAGAUCCAACUGACCUUAUCAACGCAGAAACCAACAGGAUCCCCUUCAGAGCCGAAAAUUUUUCCUUAGAUCUGUGGAAGGACACCUUCCGCUCUUGGCCCAGCCCAACUGUAGGGUGGAAAGACUGGUUCUUGAGGGUCAGCAACUCUAAUGAAGUUCAGUGGGGUGAAAGGAAUCUAGCCCAAUGCAUUAGAUUGUCCAUUACCGAUAUGCAUAGGAACGAGUCACUGUUGAUAGCUGCAUCCUACUUUUGGUCAGACACUCUCAAUGCUUUUGCCUUUGGCCACGGCCCUGCUUCUCCUACUCUUGCCGAUGUAGCCAUGCUUACUGGUCUAGAUAUAUCUUCUGCCGAUAGCACCCACUUUUUUGAUACUGCCCCUAGUGCCAACGUGGAGACUCGUGCUAUCGGCGGUUGGUCGGGAUACAUUCAGAAGUACCGUGGGAAAGGAUCUGUCACCAUAAAGGAACAAACCACCUUUCUGAACAUGUGGCUAGACAAGUUUGUAUUCUGUGGUCGAUCGGCAGGACCGACUUCUGUCUACCUAUCGGCAGCAGAAAGACUGGCUAACGGUGGCCGAUUCCCUCUCGGCCGAUACUUGCUUGGCGCUGCUUACCACCUUCUCCAUCAAGUAGCCCAGAAACUUCUGCUCGGCCAAUCCAUUGGCAACUUGGGAGGCCCCUGGUGGUUUGUCAACAUGUGGCUCAAUCUGCAUCUGCACAAGCGUCUCAACUUCAACCUGUUCACACAGCGUUUCCCAGGAGAUAUAGCUGAAAACCAUGUAUUGGGUGAAGAGGAAUCGGCAACACGCGCCCCCUUGAACUUUGGUGAAGCUGUCAUAGUUCUGCCUGGUUCAGGGGGUAAUCCAGAUCAGAUCGGCCGAUUCUUCCAGUCUCUGUAUGAGGGUUUGACCAGAGACGAACGACCAUGGUUGGCUUAUGAUGACCCAGAUAGCAUGCUCCCUCUGACCUUCAAUCCAUUUGAUGAAGCUCUCGACAGGGAUAAUGAGGUGAUGAUGGCAAUUGUGACUCCCAGAAUCAUUCCAGUGAAUUUCUUUGGUAGCACAAAAACCUCCCCUCAAACUUACGAAUUUUACAAUCCAUCGGCAUUAGCUCGCCAGCUAGCUUUCGGCCAGUUGCCGAUUGCACUUCCUUAUGCCGAUGUGAUAAAACCCAGAGAAACUAUCAACAACCUUCUUGAGUGGACUCGAGCAGCCCAACUACCACCAAACGCCGAUAUAGAUGUAGAUCUGUCAGAAUGGGUCCCGACUGCUUUUAUCACUCAGGCAUACAAGUUAUGGUGGGCAGAAUGGAAAGAGCAUCUGUUCUGUAGAUCGGCACUUUCAUUCCGCGGCAUGAUUGACCCCGAAUACGAAGUUCCUGAUGACACUGUAAGUAAUUCAAACCAACGUUUCAUUUUCUCAAUAUUACCUCCAUCGGCAGCUUACCCUUGUAUUCCUUUUGCAGGUUGAUAAUAUUCCUCCGUUGGUUAGCAGGAGUGGCAGGCCGAUCGACUUGUUUCCAUCAGGCCCGAUUUCCUCAAUCGGCCACAAUGCUCCCACUCUAGCUUCCAUCGUGCAUCGGGGUGUACGCCUCAGGAAAGUCACCACCAGAAGAACCCAGACAUCACCAACGGUAGCUGCUCCCACUCUCACGCGGGCUUUCAAGGCAAUUUGUCAAAUCUUUUCCUUUAUGCUGACUAUCUUUAUAUCGGCUAUAUUUAUGCUUAUAAACUCUUGUUCAUUAUUGCAGCAAACCGGCGCAUCGGCGAAAGCCAGGCGUGAGUGUACCGAUGCCCCCCAGUCUAGCCAACCCAAGAGAAAGGGCACCACGGGUGCUAAGACUGGAACAAAGCGCCAGAAGGUAGCAAUCCCCCCUCCUCCUCCGGUAUCUCCAAUUCCGGUGGAAUCUUCUCCUUCUUCUCCAGAAGGCCAGCCACAGCAAGCACCAUCUCCCCCACCUAUGCAGGAAGCACCACAGAUAGAAGAACCCCAACAGGAAGGAUCUCAAACAGAAGAUACAUCAGUUGAGAUGGGUGAACAAACAACUGGCCCGGUGAGUCCAGUUAUACCAUCGGCAGUUCUCCCGGUUCAGACAACCGUUGUCCCUCCUCCAGGUAACAUACUUUAACAAUAUCGCUACCGAUGAACUUAUUCUUAUUUAGUCUCAUAACUCCUUUUGUCUUCUUUCAGUUGAUAUUGUUCCAUCGGCAAUCUCAACCGAUCAACCUGUAGCUCCAUCGGCAUCUUUGGCCGAUCAGCCUGUAGCUCCGUCAGUACUUCUCAGUCAAAGACAAGAGAUCGCCUUGAAGCAAGUAAGUCACCGUUUACCGUUAGCAUUAUUUGCCGAUUCUCUGAGUAUGAGCUAAUUUUGCCUUCCCUCCCAGGAACAAGAUUCUCCCGAUAGCCUGUUCUCCUUUGCCAUCGAUCUCUCUGAAGAAGAAGGUGAAGAAGCAAGCUCUUCUCAGACGGUCGGCAUCACAUCGGCAGAGAUCAGGGUCAGGCUGGAAGAAUUGUCAGCUCUCCUUCACCAAGACACAGCGCAAUUGGUUGAUGAUUCUGACCCUACCAAGACCCUGUUCAGAACUCUCAGAGGCCAAUCCCAGCCGAUGUUGAAGAAAUCCUGUUCCAAGCCGCUCAUCUGGAGAGUCGCCAGCUGCAGUACCAAAGAGCUUCUCGGCGGCUUGCCGAUAGAGCCGCUCAGACUCAACUCUCCGAUGAAAUGAGGAAAGAGAAGCUUUUGACCGAUGAGAAGCACAAGAACAUCGGUAUCCUGAGAUCUUCCGGAGACGCGCUAAGGCAGAAGAUAUCCGAUUUAUCGGCAAGAAAAGAGUCUCUGUUGGCGGAGCUCAAGGAAGUAGAGAACGCUCUGUCCCAAGCCCAACAGGAAGAGAGCCAAUUGCCAGAGACCAUCAGGCUUCUUGAGCGCGAGCGAAAUGCCCAUGGUCGCAAAGCACUCCAACUGAAGAAGAAGCUGAAGCCGAUAGAAGGUUCUGCCGAUGAUGACAUCAAGGAGAUAGAAGCAGCCAACCAAAUUCGGCUACGCGCUAUAUCGGCAAUCCAGACGCUGCUUAACACAUAGAGUUUCCAUCGGCAUUGUAUCCUCAGCUUUUAGUCUAGCCGAUAGGAGUGUUAUCGGCGCCUAAACUUUUGAAACACCAAGUCUUGUCCCCAAGCAUUUGGAUCCAGCCGAUAGGAGUGUUAUCGGCACCUAAACUUCUAUGCAUCGACCCAUAUACUGGGGUAGUACUUCUUUAAAUAUUUGCCGUUUAAUGCUCUGGGAAAUUCAAUUCCUUCGAGGGUUUCUAGAAUGUAGGCAUUACCAGGAGCCGAUCGACUUAUCCGAUAAGGACCCUCCCAAUUAGGAGACCACUUUCCAAACUUCGAACUUUUGGUCCCAAUUGGUAAAAUUACUUUCCAUACCAAAUCCCCAUCGGCAAACUCUUUAGCCUUCACUUUCUUAUCAUACCAUCUAGCAACUCUCUUCUUAUUUUCUUCUAUACUCAUUAAAGCUUUUAACCGAUGCCCUGCUAGAUCAUCCAAUUCAUCGGUCAUCAAAGUGGCAUAAUCGUCGGAAGUUAAUUGAUCUUGAAAAGAUAAUCGCCUAGAUCCAGCCUUAAUUUCCCAAGGCAACACUGCAUCAUGUCCAUACACCAAUUGAUAGGGUGAUACCUUGGUCGAUCCAUGACAAGCCAUCCGAUAAGACCACAAUGCUUCAUUUAAUAAUGUAUGCCACCGCCUAGGAUUUUCUUCAAUCUUUCGUUUAAUAAGCUUGAUAAUUCCUUUGUUAGACGCUUCGGCCUGCCCAUUGGCUUGAGCAUAAUAAGGAGAAGAAUUCAACACUUUAAUUCCCAUACCGAUUGCGAAUUCAUCGAACUCCCCUGAUGUGAACAUGGUGCCCUGAUCGGUAGUAAUCGUUUGGGGAAUCCCAAAUCGGUAAACAAUAUGCUCCUUCACAAAAUCAAUCAUAUUGGCCGAUGUAACUUUCUUCAAAGGAAUAGCUUCAACCCACUUAGUGAAAUAGUCAGUGGCAACUAGAAUGAACUUAUGCCCUUUGCUAGAUGGUGGAUAAAUCUGGCCGAUCAGAUCGAUGGCCCAUCCCCGGAACGGCCAAGGCUUUAUUAUAGGAUUCAUAGCCGAUGCGGGUGCUCUCUGGAUAUUACCAAACUUUUGACAACCUUGACAUCCCUUGAAAUAUUUAAAACAAUCUUCAAGUAUGGUCGGCCAAAAAUAUCCAUUCCUUCGAAUCAUCCACUUCAUCUUAAAAGCUGACUGAUGCGCUCCACACACUCCUUCAUGGAUUUCCCCCAUCAAACCUCUAGCUUCAUCAUCACCCAAGCAUCGGAGAAGAAUUCCGUCGAUAGUUCGAUAAUACAAUUCAUUUUCAAGGAGCACAUACUUGGUUGCUUGAAAUCGAACCCGUCUUUCAACUUUUUUGGAUGGAUCUGUUAGAUAAUCAAUAAUUUCUUUCCUCCAAUCACCGGCACCGACUGCCGAUGUCGCAUUAAUCAUUGGCUGAUAUCCCGAGGCAUGCUGAGCUAACCGAUUAGCGUCUUCAUUAUGCAAUCGGGGAACAUGCUCCAAUCGGAAAUCCUUGAAUUCCUUUAACAGUUGCAUACUUCUCUCGAAAUAAGUUAUGAGAACUUCACUUCGGCAUUCAUAGCUUCCGGCCAAUUGAUUUAUAACCAACAUAGAAUCCCCGAAUAUUUCAACAGCAUCAGCACGAACUUCUCUUAACAACUCCAAUCCCUUGAUCAGAGCUUGAUACUCAGCCUGAUUAUUUGUUGAUGUGGCAACAAUCGGCAAGGAAAACUCAUACUUCCUCCCCUUAGGGGAAACUAAUAUAAUGCUGAUUCCUGCCCCCCGGUCACAGGUAGAUCCAUCAAAGAAGAGCGUCCAGGGUACAAUUUCCAAGGUUUCCACUAGACCGCAAUGCUGAGUCACAAAAUCGGCCAUAAUCUGCCCUUUGACUGCCUUAGCCGAUUCGUAACGCAAAUCGAACUCCGACAGCGCUAAAAUCCAUUUACCGAUCCUACCACUCAUAAUCGGCAUAGAUAGCAUGUACCGGACCACGUCAUCUUUGCAAACAACAGUGCAUUCGGCCGAUAACAGGUAAUGUCUCAGCUUGAUACAUGAAAAAUAUAAGCAUAAGCAUAAUUUCUCAAUGGCCGAAUACCUGGUUUCAGCAUCAAUCAACCACCUACUCAAAUAAUAAAUUACCCUUUCUUUCCCUUCAAAUUCUUGAACUAAAGCUGAACCGAUAACCGAUCCAUCGGUAGAUAAAUACAAUCUGAAGGGCUUCCCUUGUUGAGGUGGAACUAGAACUGGAGGAUUUACUAGAUACUUCUUGAUUUCAUCCAGAGCCAACUGCUGUUCUUCUCCCCAAAUAAACUCUUGAUCGGCUUUCAGUUUAAGAAGAGGACUGAAAGCACGAAUCCUACCAGACAAAUUCGAUAUAAAUCUCCUGAUAAAAUUUACCUUGCCGAUCAAGGAUUGGAGCUCCGUUUUGUUGGUAGGGGCCACUAUUUUAUUGAUGGCAUCAAUAGAUCUUCGACUAAUUUCAAUACCCCUCUCAUGUACCAUGAAACCAAGAAACUGUCCUGCCGAUACACCAAAUGCACACUUGUUGGGAUUCAUCUUCAAUCCAUGCUUCCUUGUGCACUCCAACACUUUUUGUAAAUCGGCAAGAUGCUUUGAGAAAUCUCCAGACUUAACCACCACAUCAUCAAUAUAAAUCUCUACGAGCUUGCCGAUGAACUCAUGAAAUAUAAAAUUCAUAGCCCUUUGAUAAGUAGCACCAGCAUUCUUCAACCCAAAAGUCAUGACUAUCCAUUCAAAUAGCCCAACAUGACCGGGACACCUGAAUGCGGUUUUUGGAAUAUCUUCCUCCGCCAUGAAUAUUUGAUUAUAACCUGCAUUACCAUCCAUGAAGCUGAUGACCUGAUGACCAGCCGCAGCAUCAACCAGUAGAUCGGCGACAGGCAUUGGGUAUCCAUCCAUCGGCGUAGCUUUAUUGAGAUUCCUGAAAUCAAUGCACACCCGAAGCUUCCCGUUCUUCUUGUAAACCGGAACAACAUUGGAAAUCCACUCGGCAUACCGACACUGCCGAAUAAACUUGGCUUCAAUAAGUUUGGUGAUUUCGGCCUUAAUAUCAGGUAGAAUGUUAGGAUUACAUCGGCGGGCUGGUUGCUGAUGUGGCCGAAAUCCAGACUUGAUGGGUAACCGAUGUUCAACAAUUGAUCGGUCUAAACCAGGCAUCUCUGUAUAAUCCCAAGCAAAGCAAUCUUUAUAUUCCUUUAACAAACUAGUCAAUUGUCGCUUACUCUCAGGAUCUAAUUUAGCACUAAUAAAAGUAGGCCUAGGCUUAUCACCACUACCUAUAUCUACUUCUACCAAAUCAUCGGCCGAUGUGAACCCCUGGCCUAAUUUUCCAUCAUCGGCGAAUCUAUCCAUUAAAAACCGUCAUCAGAACCGACUGCUUGGAUCGGUGGAAUCUCAUAAUCGGCAACUUUGAGAAAAUCUUUCUCCCAAACUUCUCCUGAAAUGCACCUGGUCCUUUCGUAAGUAUCCGCUUCUGCCGACGCGAUAACAUAAGAAGAAUCUUCUGGGACAAUCUCAAUCUUGUCACCUACCCACUGAACCAAGCAUUGAUGCAUUGUAGAUGGGAUACAACAAUUGGCAUGAAUCCAAUCUCUUCCCAACAAUAAGUUGUAAGCACCUUUUCCGCUGAUCACGAAAAAAGUUGUCGGCAAGGUUUUGCUGCCGAUGGUCAACUCUGCACAUAUCGCCCCCUUGACUGGAGACACGUUUCCUUCAAAGUCUUUGAGCAUCAUAUCGGUCUUGGUCAAAUUUUGAUCCCCUUUCCCAAGCUUCCGAUAUACUGCAUACGGCAUAAUAUUAAUAGCAGCUCCACCAUCAACUAGGAUCUUGGUCAUUGGCUGCCCAUCAACCCUUCCUUUGAGGAACAGAGCUUUAAGAUGCUGCCUCUCGUCAUCGGCAGGUUUCUCAAAGAUAGCCGUCAUCGGAUCCAGAGCCAACUGAGCUAUCUGAUCAGAAAAUUCCAACUCAUCAUCACUGGCUGGUGCAAGAAACUCCAUCGGCAACAUGAAGACCAUGUUGACGCCUGCCGAUGGACCUUCCCUCUUAGUGUCUGACGGCUGCCGACUUCCAGAGUUCUCUCCCUUGUUUAGCUCUUCUUGCCUUUCACGUUGCAAUCUCCUUUUCUGUGUCUUGGUUAAUCCUCUAGGGCACCAUGGAGGAAGUGGCCUUUGCCUUGCCGUCGGGCGUCGGUUCUCCCUUGACUCCAUACGAUGCGUGUUAGCAUCCCUGCAAAAUAUGAAUUCAUUGGGAACCCGCGCAUCAGCCAUUCCCUCGAGCUCUUCUUGGUUCCUGGGAAAAUACUGGACACGGUCACUAAGUCUGUCAUGCCCGCUAUAUCUGCCCCCCAGCCGGUCAUGAACUGACACCCUUCCUCUGAUCGGCCCAUUAAAUCGCCGUUCAUCAUUAUGAUAAUGCCGAUCGAUCCUAUCGUACCGAUCAUAACCGUUGCACUCAGGGCAGUCUCUGACAGUAGGAAGCUUGAUAUUCUCCUCCCAACAAUGGAUGAAGAAUGGACAAUUCCAAUGAUCCCUGUGCCGAUUCCACUCCUGUCGGCGUCUUUCUUCUUCCCGUCGGUAAUCUUCCUGCUGGCGCCGAUACCGAUCUUCCCGUUGUUGCCAUUUUUCUCGAGGCCUUCUAUGAGUUAUGACGAUACCAGAUCGAGGAAGCCUUCCUGAGCUAGUUCCUUCCUGGACCAAGCCCUUACUUCUUGCAUCGGCAGUAGUAACUUGAUGCUGAGGAUCUACCGAUGCACUCUUCUCAGCUGUCUCCGAUGUUAAGACCUUAGCCUUCCCCUUAGCAUCCAACAUGUUUGUCGGGAAAGGAUGUUGGUCUAUCUUCAUCGGCUUCUGGGCUUUGGAACUGUCAAACUUGAUUCUCCCUGACUCUAUAGCCGAUUGCAGCUGCUGUCUGAAUACUUUGCACUCGUUGGUGUCAUGGGAAGUUGCAUUAUGCCACUUGCAAUAUCUCAUCCUCUUCAACUCUUCUGCCGAUGGGAUCACAUGGUUAGGUGACAGUUUGAUCUGACCUUCCUGAAGUAGAAAGUCAAAUAUCCUAUCAGCCUUAGCGGUGUCAAAAGCAAACUUCUCUGGUUCCUUCUGCCCAAAAGGACAAGACAUCGGCUUCUUGUUUUUUACCCACUUUGCCAAACCGAUUACUGGUUCUUCAUCAGAAUCUGAGCUUGUUGCUUCAUCGACAAAUGACACUUUCUUAUUCCAUGCUCUCUUAGGCUCAAAGGGCUUGAUGUCUUGAUCAGAAAUCCUCUGCACCAAAUGACUUAAACUUUCGAACUCCUGAGAGGCAUACUUAUCCCUGACAUGUGGCAACAAACCCUGGAAAGCCAAAUCGGCUAGCUGCCGAUCAUCCAGAACCAGGCUAUAGCAUUUAUUCUUGACCUCUUGUAUCCUCUGCACAAAUCCCUCAACCGACUCAUCAUUACGUUGUCUCAACUUGACUAAGUCGGUGAUCUUCUUCUCAUGAACCCCCGAGAAGAAGUAUUUGUGGAAUUGCUUCUCUAGAUCGGCCCAAGUAAUUACUGAGUUGGGAGGUAACGAUAUGAACCAAGUAAAGGCCGAUCCAGACAAUGAUGAUGAAUAUAGACGAACCCUCAAUUCGUCCCUGUUACCAGCCUCUCCACAUUGAAUAAUGAACCUGUUGACAUGCUCCAUGGUUGACGUGUCGUCCUGUCCGGAAAACUUUGUAAAAUCCGGUACCUUGUACCGAUGUGGAAGCGGGAUCAAAUCAUACGCGGGAGGAUACGGUGUCCGAUAAGAGUAAGUGUUGACUUUGGGUUUUAUCCCAAAUUGUUCCCUCAUUACUUCAGCAAUCUUAUCGGCCCAAUAUGCAUCGGCAUCUUGCCGAUGAGGCGGCUGCGGAUCUGGUACUUGGUGGCGAACCUCCACGUGUCUGUUGGGGACGUGAUCUGCGCGGAACAUUGUAUUGAUCACCUGUCCUCCAAUCUGCGGACCACCAAACUGCUGUCCACCGAUUGGCUGUCCUCCGAGUUGCUGUCCAAAAUUCAUUGGCUGGUUGGGAAUCCCCUGACCUUGGAACCCGGGAUAGACCUGCCCUUGCAGGAACCCUGUAGUCUGGUAACUCUGCUGGGGCGAUUGUGGAAAGGCUUGCUGUCCAAGCCAUCCAUUAUUGGCGUUCAUCGGCAUAGGUGCUGCCGAUGAUUCGUAAUUGGGUACCGUCGUUGAAUUGACAUACCCCGACUGGGCCAUAGGCCUCUGUUGCAUCAGCAUUGACUCUGCCGAUGCGUUGGGCAUCUGGAACAUUGAAUCUUGCGGAUUUCCAGUGUGAGGCCUUGCAGUAGUAGUUGUGGUAUACCGAGGACUCUGGUUCACCGGCGCAUUGGGAGGUGCCGAUGUCAUAGGAGUUUUGCCCCUCAUGUCAGUUAUUUGUGAUGUUCCCGGCGUCAACUCUGGAGGCAUACCGUAACCCCACCAGUUGGGAGGAAGAGUCAACCCUGACAUUGCGGAUGCCAACAUAUCUGUUGUCAGUUUAUGCUGCCCAACUGAAAUUUGUGGGUUGGUUGCCAUCGGCAUAGAUAGUGCACCAGUAGUCCCCGAUGUACUUGGAGGGACGGCAGAUUGUGCACUUGCAUUCGUCAAGGCAGCCGAUGGAGCCGUGACCUCUGGUGCUGUUGGCUGAUGAUGGGAGGGGCCCACAUAAUCUGGUGGGAUUUGUCCUUCCUUGAAAGUUCUUGCCACGGCAUUGAAAACCGUAUUAGACAGUACACCAGCUUGGUUAAUCAACGCUCGAUUGAUGGCAUUGUCAACCAUAUCUUGAAGCUUGCCAGGAUUGGCGUCAAAGGUGACCUGCCGUGGUGCCGGCAGUGCAUCUUUCUGGACCACUUCGCCGCUCCUGUUUAUGCUGAAAGACCUCAGGCAUUGCUGCUUGAACUCUUCCAUGGCUUGGGCAAUAGCUUGCUUCUGCUCAUCCUUGAGGUUGGCCUCCGUCACGGGGAUGACGUUAUCUUGAUCGAGGUCAGAGAUCGACAUGUUGAUCUUGAUCUUGAAUCUUGUCCCACCGGGCGUGCCAAAAGAUGUGUUGAUGCAAAACUGGUCUGCAAACACAAAGGGCUAAUACCCGAUUCAAACGUUAAGGCGUGCCAGCCGAUUUGACCUUGCUAUCGGCAAAGGUGAUAACUCGAAUACUUUAGUCCUGACAACAGCGAUGCGCCCGGAUGUCACGGCUAAGAGGUACUCACGCGGAACUUGAGAACACGCCGAGCUUAAGUCGACGAAUUCCUAAGAACUCGUAACAAAAGGAAAAAGUAUGACGAAGUCGUCGAAAAGUAAAUGCUGGAAUAUGAGUAAAAACGUGUGUUUGAUUUCUUGAUUGAUUUUUACAAGGCCCUAGGGUCUAUAUUUAUACCCUGCUCAAAGAGCUACAACCAGACACGAUUAGAAUUCGAAUUCCAAAUUACACGUAAUCCGUAUACAAAACGAUGCAAAUAAUUAAGGAAAUAACAAAACUAUCCCUCGUGACAAACCGAAACUCCUCCAUAUAACGACCGGCAGCUUCCAGACUCCUCCUUUGCAUCAUCGGCAGAUCCUUUGCCAUAGUCAUCGGCAUACUUUCUUAUCUAGCCAUCGGCACCAUAUUACUGCCUGUGGACUUAGUCACAUUCAACUUCUCCCUCAUCGGCAACCAUCCUCAUCGGCAACCCGCUUUGUAAACAUCGUACUGCCACCUUAUCCUGCCAUCCUAGACACGUGCCCAAAAACGGUGUCAACAGUUCCCAUGCUUUGGGGUUUGUCUCAUUAGCUUGUUGUUGGAAGCUGGAGAUCUUUCCACAAAGGGCGCUGGUUUUGCCCAUCGGGAAGAACUUCUUGAGAAAUGCAUUGGCGCACUUCUCCCAUGUGGUGACCUCACUUUUGUUGGUAUAGAACCAUUGCUUCACCUUUAUCAAUAGCAAGAAUGGGAAAAUGCUGAGAUGGAUGGCGUCUGCAGAAACAUUCUUGAUAGUGAAGGUACCACACAACUCCAGGAAGUGUUGGAGUUGGGCGCUGACGUCCUCAUGUGGCUUCCCAGAGAAAGGGUUGACUUGCACCAUGUUGAUGAGUGUUGGCUUAAACUCAAAAGUUGCAUCACCCAAGUUAAGCUGUGGACCCAGGGCAACAUAGUCAGCUGACGAUGUAGAGUACUCAGAGAUGGUCUUUUGGGCCAUAACCUCCUUGAAAAUUGGUGCAGAACCUCCUUCCUCGAAUAGAUUUAGGUUCGAGAUGAACCUUUGAGGUUGAGCUUGAUGGCGUCUAACUAUCCUCAACAACUGCUCAGGAUCUUCAACAAAAUUUGAUGGCAGUUGGAAACCACUCAUUCACCUUCUAGUUCCACGAUAACAAGAAACAAGAUAGGUGCGGGGUAAGCCCCUACACUAAUUGAUAACUAGACCGAUAGUAGACUCUGGAUUCACUUUUAUUAAAAUUCCUAGGCUGACGCUUUCCCCGGCAAUGGCGCUAGAAAUGCUUGCUGGCAAAUCUUAGCAUCGUCACUAGAUGUUAGCAACGAUGCAAGAAAUGCCAGGUGGGUACUUCUUGUGUCUAUUGGAUUGUUCCGCAAGCACACAGAAUAUACCGAUGUAGCACUUCACUGAGGAUGAGUAUUCCAAGGUAUCUUUAUUUAUUUUAUCCCAAGAGAAAGCAAUGCUAGGAAUAUUUAAAAAGAGAAGAGAUAUCCUUAUGUCUACUAUGAUCUACUAUCGACUAGUGAAGAAGGAGGGUAAGUGAUUGAUAGGAAGGGUAGAUAAGUAAGGUAGCAAAGAAUCUAAGCUAAAGAUAACUGGUAGAGUGUUAGCUAGGUGGGAGGACAACGAGUGAGUAAAGGACUCCUAUGUAUCCUACUUUACUUCUUUGUACUUGAUCCUAAUAGAUAGCUGACUCAACUAGACUAAUGCCAUACUCCUUGUGUGAGGGGGAUAGCCAAGAAAAUAGGAGAUAGAACCCCUGCUAAAGCAACUAUACUCUUAUGGACGCCUAGCAUUUUAAGAACUAGUUUGUACGUGAGGAGAUCCUAAUGCCGAGCACGACCUGUCACGUCCUACCAGUGCGCUCCUACCGUCCGUCCAAACCAACGACUAUCAAAGGUGAUCCUUAGUCUAAGCACCGCACUUACACUAACUCUCACGACUCUAACUACGGCGCAGAUAGCUCAAGCUCCUAUGCAAGAUAGGACGAUGAAACACACACAAGGAGUUGGUUAUAGGAAACCAAUCAACCUAAGUCAACUAAUAUUACUAAGACAAGCACACAACAAGGCUAUAGUAACUAUAGACUUGUACUAAGUAAAUACUUAAGUAAAUACUAAGUAAAGUAAAGGAAGAAUAAUAUAUUGAUAAAAGUAAACUCUUACAAAAGAGGAAAGGUAUAAGAGCUAUACCAGACUCUCUAGAAGACGACUCCAGAGACCCUGAGCUUCGCUCGACUCGACUCUAACUCCCACUCUAGACUAACUACUACUACACUACUUGAUCCUUGAAGGAUUGAGAGACUUAAUGCUCUUCUAGGGAUGCCUCUCAAGGGUGGAGGCAGCCUCUAUUUAUAGAGGAGGGAGAGGGGGUGCCACAUCAGUGAUCCGUCUGCUUCAUGCCUCUCCACCCUUAAAUGAACCGACUUAGUAACCGCCAUAGAUGGAGGGCCAUGGUAAUUUGGACAUGUGGAAGUUGUGCUUGAGUCAGUGGGGAGCCAACCGACUUGGUUAGGCACCAGGAGGGGGUCGCCUGACCCCUCUAUGGUAGGUGGGCCCAGCCAGGGUCUUCUAGAAGGUGACCCUAGUUAUCAUGUGAAGUGGCUCCACCAUUUGUGAAAGAUUUGUCAUGUUGCUUGCUUACUUGUGGGCCCAUGGAUCUAUGUGCAAUGAUCUUUCACCACUAGAAGUUGAUCUGAGGGUGGAAAUGGACUCCAGGGGUCUCCACAUGGAUUGUACUUCAUAGCACACCUCUUGGUGGGACCAUAAUGGGGUCGCCCGACCCCCUCAUUAGGUCCUUCUAUGGUGCAUUUUCUUGUUUCCAGUAAUCAAAGGCUAAGAGUACAAGUGGAACCAGUUAUGGAUAAAAUAUGUUCAUGUUUUGCUAUUCUUCUGUGAGAUCGAGGCAUGUUGACGGUGUUUUGAGUGUGAAUUUCUAUGGUACAUCCACCGUCAACAUGAUCCCCCAAGCUUAACCUUUACUCGUCCCAAGCAAACAAUCAAACUUAGCCUCGAUGGAUCAACUAUUGUUACUAUGCUCACAUUUCAAGAGUACCAUGUGUACAACAAAGUUCUUCUCUUUGAAUGAAAUAUUAGCUUAAAAACUCACCCAUAUUACCUUAGUCCUCUAUGGGGCUUAUGGCUUUUCCUUUGUCUUAGGCGGUUGAAAGAUAGAACGGUUUGACUUGAGCACUCAUUUUCUUAUUCAUAGCAAGUUUCAUACCGGAGGUUUUGUAAUAUUUUUUUUCAAAUGAAAACUUAAUGUUCCUCAUAUGGUUCUCUCAAGUCACUCGAAUGGUGUAUGAUUCCUCACCUAGGCAUAUGAUAAGAAUUACCUUCCUUAGUUCUUCCUACUUCUAAAAAGCAUAUGUGGAGUUCAAGGUAGGGAUAAAGAAAGAUAGAAUACUCACUUUGCAUUUAUUGGGAAGUCAAAGCUUGGAUCCAAGAAGAGAAGUGUCAUACCCCUAGAUCAAGAUGUGCAAGUGUGUGGUAUAUAAUGAGCUAGGUUGCUCCUUUAUUUGAUAAGAUAUCUCUCUCUAUUUUUUUUUCUAUUAAGACAUGGCUAGCUCUUUUUUUCUUUUCUUCUUUUUUCAUGGACCUUCAUGUGCCCAUAUGUAUAUAUAUGUUGCAUAGCCCUUUUGGUGUCUCAUCUAUUACGCCAUAUUUGGAGAGGUAUUCUAAUACUUAAAGCAAGGAGCAAGUUAUUUGGUGGAAAUGGAAGACAUAUUUUUGCGUACUUCUAGUGUAGAAGCAGCAUGUAUAUAUGUGGUGUGUGUGUGAUCUUGAUCUUGGGAGCAUGAUAAGUCUCUUAAACAAGGGUCAACAAGACUUGACAACACUCAACACAAAUCAAAUAGCUUAUGUGGAAGGUUUAUAAACAUGUAGAGCAUAUAUGGCCGUGGUAGGAAUUUAUCAUCAGUGAGGAACAAUUAAGGUUUUGAUCAUUUUAAGAAUAAAUUCUCAGGUAUUGCAACAUGCUUAGAACAAUACUAUAGCAGCUCUAAUCUCACUAUCUCAUAUCCCUCAACAACUUAGACUUAGUUUUAGCACUUGCAACCCACAAAGUUUUUGGGUUCAUGAUGGUUUAAGUGAGCUAAGUAAUACAUACUUGGAGAAAUGCUAGGCUGUAAACUAGGUACUAAGGAAAUAUUGACAGAGUAACUAUUCAUCAUUUCCAUAAGGAAGAUAAACAUACAUGAAGCAUAUGUGUUAAGCGAGAUAAGCAAAUAUUUUUUUGAUAUUUUCUUUUUUUGAAUGCACUAAGAUGAAUAACUAGAAUGCAAAAUGCUAAGAUAGAAUACUUACCUUAGUGGGGGAGAGGAUCUCCCCCAAGCUUGGCUUUUGCUCACUGUGGCGGCGGAUAAUGUUAGAACCAUCCGGCCCAUCAUUGUGCUUCCUUAGCUUGUAUUGCUUGUAGAAGUUGGGCAUUUUGUUGUGCCAGCUGCAGCAUUGCUUCUUAUUCAAUGUGCAUUGCACCCGUGUUGUUGAUGAGGUCGUCCAUCUCUAUCCUUGUUGGGUAUUUUAAACGCAAACAGAAAAAUCCGCAAGCGCACGGAUACCGAUGUAACUUUCACCCGGGAGUAUUCCAGAGUAUCGAUUUUCCACAGGGAACGUGAGUGUACUAAUUAAGAUCCAAGAUCGCCCAAGGAUAACUAUAUACUUAUUUUUGGUGGGAAGAGAGGAAGUUUCCUGAGAGUUCUCUAGUUGAUCUAAGAAUCAAGAUUUAUUUCAAGAUUAUCUAUAUCGGGACAUCAGAGCACUAACCACAGAAAGAGAUGAGAAGGGGGCUAGGAAGGUCUGACUACGGUCCUACAAACACCGAUCCGAACGAGGUGGAAUACGUCGACCGUUAGGGCUGUCACUACCCUAAGGCUACCACAACAAUCCGCAGGAUUGGGUGCAAUUCCAGGUAAUUGCAAGACUAAACACCACGUCUAAUCUAUUAAUUACUACUCUAAUGUUGCAAAGAUUAGAGCACUUGAUGCAAGCGGGAAUCCAAUAAACAACUUGAAUGUAAAUAAAAGUAAUUAAAGAACUCAGGAUUAUGAAUUGAAGAACCUGGAGAACGAUGAAGAACGAACCAGUUGCUGCAAAAGUACAAUGUUGAGGAAGAUCCGACAGAUCCGGCUCCUCCUCCUCCGCUCUCCUCUUCUCUCUCCCUAUUUUCUAGAUUACAACUAGAACUAACUAGAACUAGAACUAGAGGAACUAGAACUAGAACUAGAACUAGAUGAACUAGAACUAGAUCUAGAUGAACUAGAGGUAGAACUAGAAGAACUAGAGGGAUCCUCUCUACUUGGAUGAAGACUUGAAACCCUAACUUUGAUUCUGUAGAAGAGGUAUGAUCUCCAGGGGCCAGGGGGGUCUGGUUUUAUAGUCCCUUCAAGUGAAUCUGGGCUGUCGGAUCAAACCGACAUUGAUCGCAUGGUUUUCCUUGAUCCUUUAGGUCUGUGGAGCAUAAUCCGCGAAAUGUGUCCUGAUUGGGCACUGUAGCUGGGCGGGCGCCCAGGAGAGUUGGGCGGGCGCCCUGCCUCCGAGCCCGAUUUCCUUCCCAUUCGUUCCCGUGGCUUCUGGAGUCUUCUAGAUGAUAGAAAAUUGCGCGACACAUUAAUAUCUCUAUGUAAACCCGACGUGUGGGCCUUUCUUUCAUAUUUCCUGAUAACCCCCUGCAGAAAUAGACAAACACCAAAACUCGUGGAAUUCUGUCAGAUAAAACCCUAAGUCUAGGUGUUGGUUGCAUUUGGAUCCUUUUCCAUGAUUAGUUGAUGGUUAAAUGUGAGCAUUAAGGACCGUCAACAAGCUCCCCCAAGCUUAACCUUUGCUCGUCCCUGAGCAAAGCUAAAAUCAGUAAGAAAAUAGGGGUUACUAUUAUGCCUCUUACUACAGGGUUUUUAAGGUCUUAAGUGAUUGAAAAACAGAACGAUCAAGUCAAGCACUAUGUCUCAAGUUCUUCUGUCUUAGCUUUGUUCUGGAGUUUUUUUUUUAUGAGUCUGCAAAAUAAAACCGAGGCAUUUGCCUUCUUCUCGAAAGAUAUAUAUAAGUAGAGCUUUAAAAGUUUUAGCAUACUUACUUUGCAUUUUGCUAUGUCAAUGCUCGGAGCAAGGGAGAGGAAUGUCAUACUCCUAGAUCAAGACCUUUGACCUUUUUGAGAAGUUUGUCAUCUCUUACUGGCAUAUUGCUUAUUAGAGGGACCAUGGGCUAUCAUUUUUUUUUCUCUUUUUUUUCAGUCUCUUUUUUUUGAGUGGGCAGCAAGUACCCCUAAUUCUACUGUCGGACACAUGUCCAUUUUUUCCACUCAGGUGGGUAUCUUUGUACCCUUAAUUCUACUUCGGACACUUGUCCAUUUUUAUCUCUCAUCUCACUCUUUCUUUUUUUUCGAAACAAAUUUUUGCAUAGUCCCAUGCCUCUAACGCAAUAAUACUUCGGAAGAGUGAAUCUUUUAUAUUUUUAAAACAAAAAGAUCUUGAUCUUGGGAGCAUGAUAAUUCUCUCAACCAAAACUACAAGAAUUAACAAUGGCUUGAACAAAGCAAGUGCCCACAGUUUUAAUAUUUAUAUCUUAUAAGACUCUAGGUAUUAUGAUCUCAUAUAUUUUUUUUAUGAAUUUUUAGAUUUUCAAAAGAUAAAAUCUCCAGAACUCUAGCAAAACAUGGAACAAGUUAAAUAGUAGCUCAGACCUUCUCAUAUCAUGUUUGUCAAUUACCUAGACUUGAAUCAAACUCUUUUUUUUAUUUAAAACUUAGAAUUACACAAAACUAUUGUAUAUUACUCAAAAGAAAAACUUUGUUUGGUUUCAUGGUUAUGCAUUUUUUUAUUUCCGAAUACUAGUAAAUAAAACCAAGAAAGAAAAGUAAUACUUAUCUAGAUACACGUGGGGGUGCCUCCCCCAAGCUGGAUGUUGACAUAGUCGUUCACUCUUGUGGCCUGCAUGUUCGGUCUCACUCUUCUUAAGCUUCAAAAUCCUGCACAACCCAAAUAGACAACAAAACUCGUGGAACAUGUUAAGGGUUAGGUAAUUGUCUAGAGCUUAUGAGAGCUUAAUAUGAGAAUUCUAUGAACUCAAUCACAUCAAGUUCCUCUACCAGGUUGUUUUGUGGCUCGAGAUAGAUUUUCAAGCGUUGACCAUUUACCUUAAAAGUGUUACCUAUGUCAUCUUGGAUGGUAAUGGCUCCAUGAGUUGAAGUGUCAAUAACCUUGUAUGGUCCAUCCCACUUACUUCGUAGCUUACCAUGCCCAAAGAGCUUAACUCUUGAAUUGAAUAGUAGAACCUUAUCUCCAGACUUAAACUCCUUGUGCUUGAUUCUCUUAUCAUGCCAUCGUUUUGUUCUCUCUUUAUAAAUCCUUGAAUUGUGGUAGGCUUUCUCUCUCCAUUCUUCUAGCUCAGAUAGUUGCAUCAGACGAUUCUCACUAGCGAGGUGGAGAUCCAUGUUCCAUUUCUUAAGUGCCCAAUGAGCCUUAAACUCUACUUCCACAGGCAAGUGACAAGUUUUUCCAUAUACAAGUUGAUAAGGUGACAUGCCUAUGGGUGUUUUGAAUGCAGUUCUAUAUGCCCAAAGUGCAUCAGGAAGUUUGUCCUUCCACCCCUUACCCAUCUCAUCUACGGUCUUUUGUAAAAUAUUUUUGAUUUGUUUGUUAGAUGUUUCGGCUUGACCGCUAGUCUGAGGAUGGUAUGGUGUUGCGACGUUGUGUCGAACUCCAUGAUCGGCUAGGUACUUCCGGAAGAUUUUGUCGAUGAAGUGAGAACCUCCAUCGCUUAUAACUAUCCGGGGUAUACCAAAGCGAGGAAAGAUUACUUCAUGGAACAUUCUCUUGGCAUGUUUUGAAUCAGCUGAUCGACAAGGUAGGGCUUCUACCCAUUUGGACACGUAGUCCACAGCUACUAAGAUAUACUCGCAAUUCCCGGACAUAGGGAAUGGCCCCAUGAAAUCAAUGCCCCAAACAUCGAAAAGUUCUACUUGAAGAUUAUUUGUGAGAGGCAUUUCAUUUCGUGAGUUAAUAUUCCCAUGUUUUUGACACCGGUGGCAUCUCCUGACAAAGUCCUUUGUAUCUUCAUACAUCGUUGGCCAGAAAAAACCACUUUGCCAAAUUUUAGCAUGUGUCCGAAAUGCUCCAUAGUGUCCUCCAUAUGGCGAGGCAUGGCAUCUUUCCAUAAUUUGAGUAGCCUCAACCAUAGGAACACACCUUCUCAAGAGUCCAUCAGCGCAGACUCAGAAAAGAUAUGGCUCAUCCCAAAGGUGGAAACGACUAUCGUGAAGCAACUUCCUUUUGUUUGCACCAGGUGGGACAUAGCCUUUUACUAUAAAGUUUACGAUGUCUGCGUACCAUGGAUCUGCAUGUGUUAUCUUAAGCAGGGUGUCAUCCCUUAGGUAGUCAUUUAUGGGAAGCUCAUCAUGUGUUUCCUUAUAUUGAAGCCUAGAUAAGUGGUCGGCUACGGAAUUCUCAACUCCCUUCCUAUCUCGGAUUUCUAUGUCAAAGUCUUGGAGUAGAAGAAUCCACCGAAUUAGACGAGGCUUACCAUCUUUCUUAGUGAGGAGGUACUUGAGAGCAGCAUGGUCUGAAUAGAUGAUUAUCUUCGCCCCCACUAAGUAAGAUCUAAACUUGUCUAUAGCAAAGACAACAGCCAAAAGCUCUUUUUUAGUUGUAGUGUAAUUGAGCUGUGGUCCAGACAAGGUUUUGCUAGCGUAGGAUAUGGCAUAAUGCUUUUUAUCCUUGGUUUGUCCUAAAACGGCCCCGACCGCAAAAUCGCUAGCAUCACACAUGAUCUCAAAAGGAAGAUUCCAAUCAGGUGGUUGGAUAAUCGGGGCUGAGAUGAGUGCUUUCUUAAGAGUUUGAAAAGAUUCAUGACACUCAUCACUAAAGAUGAAAGGUGCAUCCUUAACUAGGAGAUUAGUUAAGGGUCUAGCAAUUUGAGAGAAAUUCUUGAUAAAGCGUCUAUAGAACCCUGCAUGUCCCAAAAAGCUACGGAUUCCUUUCACAUUCGUGGGAGGUGGAAGUUUUUCAAUAACUUCAAUCUUUGCUUUGUCCACCUCUAUACCACGUUCGGACACUUUAUGUCCUAGCACUAUUCCUUCCUGAACCAUAAAAUGGCAUUUCUCCCAGUUCAGGAUUAAGUGCUUUUCUUCACAUCGCUGCAAGACUCUAUCUAAAUUCUCCAAACAAUGAUCGAAGGUUUUGCCAUAGACAGUAAAAUCAUCCAUGAAAACCUCCAUGAUCUUCUCAAUCAUGUCCGAGAAAAUAGACAUCAUGCACCGUUGGAAAGAAGCUGGAGCAUUGCACAAUCCGAACGACAUUCGUCGGUAUGCAUAAGUUUCAUAUGGGCAUGUAAAGGUAGUCUUUUCUUGGUCAUCUGGGUGGAUUGGGAUUUGGUGGUAUCCAGAAUAACCAUCAAGGAAACAAAAGAAACAGUGGUUUGCAAGCCGUUCCAACAUUUCAUCAAUGAAGGGUAACGGAAAGUGAUCUUUCUUUGUAGCCUUAUUGAGUUUUCGAUAGUCAAUACACAUACGCCACCCAGUGACAAUUCGUUGAGGGAUGAGUUCAUUCUUCUCAUUCCUAACGACCGUCAUUCCUCCUUUCUUUGGCACUACUUGGACAGGGCUAACCCACUCACUAUGUGGCACAGGAUAAAUAAUCCCAGCACGAUAGAGUUUGAGGACCUCUUUCUUAACAACCUCUCGCAUAGCAUUGUUAAGUCUCCGUUGUGGUUCCCUUGAAGGUGUAGAAUUGGGAUCAAUAGGGAUACGAUGAGUGCAGAGAAUGGGACUAAUGCCCGUGAGAUCCUCGAGAGAGUAGCCAAAAGCUGAUCUAUGUCUUUCAAGAACAGUGACAAGUUGUUGUGUUUCAUAAUCGGAAAGCUUGUCACUGAUAAUUACUGGAGUUUUUGAGUUGUUGUGCAAGAAGACAUAUCUAAGGCCAUAAGGAAGAGGUUUUAAUUCUUUCGAAGGAGGUGAAGGUAGUUCAUUUUUGUCUAGCUCAACGGGUUCUACCAACUCUUCUUCUUCUUGAACAAAGUGUUAGUGAUUAAAGAAUGGUUGGGUCAUCUCCUCUUGAGUCACCAUUAAGACCUCCUCAAUAGGAUCUGGGUCAAGUUUGGGUUCCACUAUCGUGUUAAUUGAUCUAGCAAGAGGAACAACAAUAGUGGAAUUCCCAACCUUGAAGUCUAAAUGACCUCGUUGUGGUUGUUCCUGUAGAAGUUUCAUGAUUGGUCUGCCAAUCAAGAGAGGAAUCUCUGGUAUGUCAAAAAUGUGAAAGUCUAGACAUAUUCCAGAGUCCUUGAUUCUAACAGAAACUGCCCUUAAUACCCCAUGGCUUUCUAGAAUUAACCUAGAUGGACUUUGUAAAAGUUUUUGAGAUGGGGUUAUGGACUCGUUGGGAUGAAGAGUGUCAGCUAACUCCUUGGAAAUAACAUUUAUCCCAACAUAUGGAUUGUAGUGGACCUUCCUAGCGGACCUUCUAAUUUGGCAUAGAAGAAUGGUUGAAGGAGUGAUGAUCCGAGCUACCUCAGGAGACAGCUUUGCUUCUGUUAGCCAUUCAUAACUCAGAAUAGCUGAAAGGCUUUUGAUGUGUUCUAUGUCAACAGAUUCUACUCUUAGAACAGAUUGAGUGGUCCUUGCUAGAGGUCGUGUUUGGAUAGGAAAAUUCGAGGUGUUUCCAUAAUCUUCAAAAAGAUCUUCCUCGAAUUCAAAGGGAUGCUCUAAAGGUGGUGGUUCAUCAUCCUUUAGUUGGUUUUGCAUUCCCUUAUCAGGAGGUUUCUCUACAACCAAAAUAAUAGGUGGGUCAGGUGGAAUUUCUAACUCGGUUGCAAGUUCCUCUUCUUUUGGUUUAGGAUUAGGCUCGACUUCUUUUUCUUCUUCAGGAAACUCAUCAUAAAUGCCUGUGUAAGGGGUAUUUUCAAGAAUUCUUUCUAGGAUAGCUCUCCCCUCAUCUGUGAGUUUGUGUUUGAAUGAGCCUCCUGAAGCAAUGUCGAGGUGAAGAGCAGCCUCCUUGUUUAGACCACGAUAAAAGUGGUAGUACAGUACAUGGUCAGGCAGGGAAAGGUUUGGACCGGAAUUGGUAAGGCUUGUGAACCUAGCCCAAGCUGCUCCUAAAGUUUCCUUCUCUCUUUGUUUGAAUGUAAGAAUUUCUAUUCUAAGGUCAGCAAUUCGAAAAAGUGGGAAGAAAGCGAGACAAAAGUUGCCCCGAAGUUCAUCCCAACUUCCAUUAACGCCUCCUACAGAAUGAGCAUACCACUUUUUUUGCUCUUCCUAAAAGGAAGAACGGAAAUAAUUUCCAUUUAAGGGUGCCUUGUGUCAUGCCGGAAAUAGAUCGGCAAGAGCACAACUGCUCGAAUUCUCUAAGGUGGGUGUAUGGAUCUUCAUCUACUUGCCCAGAGAAGGGUUGCUCCUGAAUCAUGGCUAUUAGAUCAGGGCCGAGGUCGUAGCCAUCUGUAAGAAUUGGAUGUGAUGAUGGUGGUGGCUCCAAUAACUCACCCUUUGGAGCAAAGAAUUUAUAGGUAGGAGUGAAAUCCAUGUGGUAUGGUGAAAAUGGUAAGGUGAGUGUGGUAAAAGGGAAAAGAAAAAGGAUACAUGGACGACUUGGUUCGAAACUAGCACAGCUACCGUUCUCCGGCAACGGCGCCAGAAAUCUUGUUGGGUAUUUUAAACGCAAACAGAAAAAUCCGCAAGCGCACGGAUACCGAUGUAGCUUUCACCCGGGAGUAUUCCAGAGUAUCGAUUUUCCACAGGGAACGUGAGUGUACUAAUUAAGAUCCAAGAUCGCCCAAGGAUAACUAUAUACUUAUUUUUGGUGGGAAGAGAGGAAGUUUCCUGAGAGUUCUCUAGUUGAUCUAAGAAUCAAGAUUUAAUUCAAGAUUAUCUAUAUCGGGACAUCAGAGCACUAACCACAGAAAGAGAUGAGAAGGGGGCUAGGAAGGUCUGACUACGGUCCUACAAACACCGAUCCGAACGAGGUGGAAUACGUCGACCGUUAGGGCUGUCACUACCCUAAGGCUACCACAACAAUCCGCAGGAUUGGGUACAAUUCCAGGUAAUUGCAAGACUAAACACCACGUCUAAUCUAUUAAUUACUACUCUAAUGUUGCAAAGAUUAGAGCACUUGAUGCAAGCGGGAAUCCAAUAAACAACUUGAAUGUAAAUAAAAGUAAUUAAAGAACUCAGGAUUAUGAAUUGAAGAACCUGGAGAACGAUGAAGAACGAACCAGUUGCUGCAAAAGUACAAUGUUGAGGAAGAUCCAACAGAUCCGGCUCCUCCUCCUCCGCUCUCCUCUUCUCUCUCCCUAUUUUCUAGAUUACAACUAGAACUAACUAGAACUAGAACUAGAUGAACUAGAACUAGAUCUAGAUGAACUAGAGGUAGAACUAGAAGAACUAGAGGGAUCCUCUCUACUUGGAUGAAGACUUGAAACCCUAACUUUGAUUCUGUAGAAGAGGUAUGAUCUCCAGGGGCCAGGGGGGUCUGGUUUUAUAGUCCCUUCAAGUGAAUCUGGGCCGUCGGAUCAAACCGACAUUGAUCGCAUGGUUUUCCUUGAUCCUUUAGGUCGGUGGAGCAUAAUCCGCGAAAUGUGUCCUGAUUGGGCACUGUAGCUGGGCGGGCGCCCAGGAGAGUUGGGCGGGUGCCCUGCCUCCGAGCCCGAUUUCCUUCCCAUUCGUUCCCGUGGCUUCUGGAGUCUUCUAGAUGAUAGAAAAUUGUGCGACACGUUAAUAUCUCUAUGUAAACCCGACGUGUGGGCCUUUCUUUCAUAUUUCCUGAUAACCCCCUGCAGAAAUAGACAAACACCAAAACUCGUGGAAUUCUGUCAGAUAAAACCCUAAGUCUAGGUGUUGGUUGCAUUUGGAUCCUUUUUCAUGAUUAGUUGAUGGUCAAAUGUGAGCAUUAAGGACCGUCAACAGUCCUUUGGUGGCACCUUUCCCUGCCCCGUGGGUGAGGAGUGCGUUGUGGACGUGGAGGCCUUUCCAUGGACCCUCAUAUGUCCAUAGAGCUUGCCUCAUCGCCUUCUUCAACUUCAUCUCCUGCAGGAUUUGAGGGAGCACAUUGCUCCAUUUAAGCAGCUCGUGACAUUCCUCUUGUCAUUUGGCGUGGUCCUACAAUAUUUUGGCUACGUGACUCUUUGUCUAAUUUAAUGGUUAGCGUACGAAGCGCAUACAGUUGACAUUUCUCACAAGGGAGAGGAACUUCAACUGUAUAGCCCGAAUAAACCAUUUUAAGUCCAAACCUUGGACCUCUUUUGAGCACAUUAAUAUUAAUGAAGACAUCCUCAUUUAAAACAUCUCUAGCAGAGGUGAUGUACUCAAAGGUAUGUGGCUCUAGUGCAUCCGUUGAUUCGGCUAUACGAGUAAUGAAUGAUGUAAAGUAAACGGGUUUUCCAUACUCAAUGGAGUUGAGCCAAUAGUCCACUAGCAGUUUAACAGGUGAGACCUUAAUUUUGCAUACCAUUGCAUAGAGAAGUUUAAGUUCUUCAUCACUUAAGAUGUUACCUCUAGUUCUAAGAAAAAGAGUCAUACACAUCCACUAAUGAAGAAAACACAGGGUCAGGUUAUGGAUUUGGUGGGGUGUAAGAUUAGAGCAAUCGUUGGAACCAGAUAUUGCUUUCCAAAAGUCAUUUUUCUAAACCCGAUAGUGGCAUGGUCUAGAUCAAGUUCACAAUUGUGCUCACAUCCUAGGGUAGUGUUCAAGAUGCUCCAAGUUAAAUGACAUUUUUCCCUAAACAUGUGAAAGGCUACGCCAUUGAAUGUUAAUUGUAAAGUACACAAAAAAUCUUGGGUGAUCACUUCUAUGCCAAGUUCAGGAACCAUCCAAAAUCCUCCCCAACCAAUUGUGUUAAAAACAGCAUUAAACUCUGCACUCAUACCUGUGUGGUCCAAGAGAACCGGAUCGAUGAUGCUUGUGCAGCGGAAACUGCUUGAUCGUAGGGUGUUGUAUUUCUGCAGCUCUUCUUGGGUUAGCAUGAGGCCGCUCCCGGGCUCUCUUACUCUUGGUGGAGGCUCAUAGAGUACCACUUGGUGGUGACUCUCUUCCUCAUCCCUCCUCUCAUGGGUUCCUUUGGUGUGGUGAGAGUUAUGGGAAGAGCUCUCACCCUUCUUGGACUUCUUAAACCGGGAGGUGAGUAACUUCUUCAUCUUGCUACACAAGUGAGACAAACCAAGCUCCUACUAUUCCUACUAUGCAAGGGAUAAAGGGCAAAUCUUUUUGGGUUUUUGUUUUGGUAUGCUACUACUAAGCUAAACAUUGAGAGAGAACUUGCAACAAGACAGAAGAGAAGAAUGCUUGUGAGCUCAGGAUAUUCUAAAUGGUUGGGUGUGGAGUUGAGCUCACAAUGCAUGGGUAUUUAUUGGGGGAGUGCCACACCCUGGUUUAAAAAAAUAAACCAGAGUCAUCAUAUGUGUGCCCAAGAAGUCCACACAUAUAACAAAAGAAUAGAAAUAUCAGAAACAAUGUUAUAUAUAGCGGAAAACAUAUUUAUAAUAACAGUUACAAACAUCGGGCCCAAUAUAGUUGUUAUGGUGCUUAAUCUGUAGACAGAGUAUGUGGAAACAGUAGCUAAACUUCUUUGGCUCCAUUCUUCUCAGGGACGGUUGACUGGGGGCUGUGUAUGCCAAGCACUUCUCAUAAGCUUCUAGAAAUCUCCAUGACAUCUUAACCUUCUUCUGAGCAGCACUUUGCUACGCACUGGGGGUGUGGGGGAAAUAGCAAGGGUGAGUUCAUGUCGAACUCAACAAGUACAGGUAGAAAGUAUAAUGACAUGCAAGGCUUAAUCAAAGGAAAAGCUGACACUGUUUAACUACAGGUGAGCUUUUAAGUUGGUAAACUUUUGUUACGAUUCUUAUAUUAAAACAACCUAUUACUAAAUAUGAGUGAAGCAUCCCAACCCUUAAUUAGAUGAAAGUAAAUUAAUAAUACUAUUACUCAUCAUUAUAAUUAUUAUUAUUGUUAAGAUCUCUGAGGUAGCAACCUCAAAUAGUAACUCGGGGUAGCAACCCCAUUAAGGUCAUGGGAUAGCAAUCCCAAUUAAGAACACAUGAUAGCAAUCCUGCCAACACGGAAUAGCCAUUCCGCCAAAGCACGAGGUAGCAACCUCAACCAAAUUUCGCCUCCAAGUUUCAUGUUAUUCCAAUUUGCUCAUCAUGUGAGAGUCUGGGCCGCUCGUGACCGUGAGCCCGGCUGAUAUAUCAGUUUUACACUCUGCAAAGGUGUGCACUUUCACUCCAAGUCAUGAUUCCCAUUCGCCCGGGGUCGCGACUCCCCAAAACACUACCAAGGUGAGCAGGUAGGGAUUCACUACGAGACCUUUCACAGGUUCCGACUAAUAAGAUGCCACUCGUAAGUUUUUGCCAGGGCGCGCAGCAGCCGUGCCCAUAGCAAUGGGACCCCGCACUGACCGACCUCUUAAUAUGAAUACCCAAGCUACUUCCUUACGCCUACCUGGAAAGUAACACCCUACCAGCGGAGGUCCUGAUAAUUAGUCAUGCCAGAGCCAAAUGGCUUGGAGCUGCACUGUAUGUCCCAGGGGGCCGCUCCAUGACUAAGUCCUUACGGAGAGCAGAGACGGGUACGCUCGGCAAUCGGGCCAACCAACAGUACCCGCUCCCCCUUUCCUCAACAAACUACGAUGCUCACAAGCACCGCUACAUCUUCGUCACCGAAGUGACCAUUAUCCACCAUUGGAGCAUUAUUUAUCAUUAAAGAAUUCAUUAGGCAAGAUUAUUACUUUUAUUAUUAUAUAAAUUAGAUGAGCAGAGCAGCUAAGCAUAACUACUGUUCACUAUUCUACCCAUAUAUAAAACCCAGGAGUACAAGGAAUACAAUAGAAGGCUAGUCAGGUCCUUAGGGUUUGCAGUAUUAAUACACAUGCAGUUAAAGUGAAUAUAAUUAAAGUUCAUAGAUACAAUAUGAUCAAAGGGUGCCUGCACUUGCCUUUAUUCCCAGUGUAUAUCUGCUCAGAAUUCUUUGACUUCUUUCUUGUGAUCUUUAUCUUCUACUGCAACUAAACGACAUGGCUUGUUGCUAUGAUCGAGACAACGCGAGAACGAUUAAGAACAGAGCUAUCGUUAAACGGACACGACUUUCAAGGUUUAAAGUGUAACGGAGAAGAGAACUAUACGCUGGUAGUAUUUUGUGAACACAGGUCAUGGAUUAUUCAAAGAAAUAUCUGAAAGUUGAGUUGACCAAAUUAUAAAGAAUUAUAAAAGGUUAGGGUUAAAUGUUAGUCAUAUUCUAUUUAAUAAAUAAUUAUAUACCACUGAAGCCAAUCAAGCAUUUAUAGAAUAUAUGAAAGCAACUAAUCGAGUGAUUAUAUAUCAUGUUUAAACUAAUCAAGUUGUAAUUAAUAAAGAAACAUUAAGGUUGAUAUUAAUAACAUGGGCAUUUAUUUAUUUUCAAAAGAUCAAAAUUAUAAACAUAAUUUACUUUUAAUUCAAAAUGACUUUAGAUAGAUAUUACUAAAUUAUUUAUGUGCUUCAUGUUUAAAUAAGCAAAUUAUAAUUAAGAAAGUAUUUAAGUUCACAUUUGAUUAUAAAGAUGCCGAAGUGUAAUUCUAAGUUGUUUUUAAAUUAAUUAAAUAGAAAUGCAUUUAAAACAUUAAUCAGAUUAAUUAUACUCAUAAACAUGAGACAAUGAAAAUAGCAUUGCUAAUAUGUAGAUUACACCAACAUAGUCACAACGCAACGAGAAACAAAUUACAACCCUAGAUUGUUCUUUAAUUUAAAAGCUAUUUAAUAGAUAUUAAUCAAAUUAUAUUUAAAUCAAUAAAUUCAAGAAUAAGAUACAUGAUAAAUAUUUAUACUACUACGUAAAGCGCGGCGAUACGAAACUAACUCGACAAGAACGGGCUUAAUCGGAGUUAAAACGCGGAUUCUAUGGCUAAAACUAGGUCGGUGGCAAGAUAGUGAAUAAACAGAACUAUUUUUCGUAUUUUAAAUAAUUAAAACUGAAUUUUAAAAGCGUUUUGGACUAAAUCUUUAAAUACCAAUGGAUCCAGGUGCUAGAUUGCUAAAAACAGGACUUAAACCUAAUUAUUUCCGAACUACUCAGAACUGCGGGUUAAUUUAGAAAAACCGCAGGGGCUUUUUCGCAAGAUGGCCAGGGUGAACCGGGUUUUGGCCGCGUUGACGGCCACGCGGCGCGGCGGGGUAGGUGGGGUGCAGGAGGCGCGCGCGGGGUGAGCCGCGCCCUAGGUUGGAGCGUGGGCGAGCUGGGCCAGGAGCGCUGGCGGCCCACGCGGCAAGAGUGAGGGGGGGAAGGGAGCUGGGCCGGGGAAGAGGGGGGACGGCCCAGGGAGAAAGAAAACCCUUUUUCUUUUUUUUUAAAAAAAAAAUUGAUUUCUAAACUAUUUUACUAAACCAAUUUCAAAACCAUUUUGAAUUCCUAAUUUGAGAUUAUUUAGGAGCUUGUUUUCUUUAAUACUUUUGAAAACCAAGCACAUUUUCCUUAGAUCAUAUCUUUAAAUCAUUUUUCAACUCAAAAUGAAUUUAGUUUUCGAAUAGGACUUUUAGAUUUUUAUUUUUAUUUUUCUUUUCAAAAACCGAAAAGGGCCGAAACGGGCUCGAUAGAAAUUUUGAAAUUUAUUUUUUUACACAAGCCAAACAAAGCUAGGGCACAAAGCACACAAUAACAAAACAAAACACCCUUCACUUGUCUUUAUAAAAGUUUUAAAAUUCCAAAUUUUUCUCUUUUUAUAAUAACAACAAUUAAUAAAAUCUUGCAAUAUUUUAGAAAAAAUUGAAAUCCUUAUUUAAUUUAGUGUUUUUCAAAUAACAAUCCAAAAAUUAAAAAUUUUGGAGUGUUAUAGAUCUACCCCACUUAACAUAAAUCUCAUCCCGAGAUUUGAAGAAACUAGAGAGAAAGAUAAAGUAGAUCAUCAAAGUUGUUUCGAGACUUUCAAGACAUGAUCAAAGAAUUAAAUAUAGACAUAAAGGGUAGAGAGUAUGGUAAAGAUUGAAGACAAGGAAAGAUAAUCGUAUGAGAUUAGAAUUGAUCUUUGGAUCGUGUAUUAUGAUAAGGUGCAAGGGCAAGAAGCAAAUAUUAACAAGAGAUGAUACAUAGGAGAUGGAUAUAAUAUUGCUCACAAUUUCCUUGAUUCCGGGUAUGUAUAAGAUAGUAGACGAAAGGAUAAAGAAUUAGCAGAAGUUGACAAAGACUUAGAUUUUUUUUAAGUCUUCACGCUUAAUCAUUUGUAGUCCUAUGAGACGUAGGAUCAAAGAUCGUCGAUUGGCAAACAUGAUAAGGGUUCAUCGCAAGAAUGAUAAAGAUUCUUAUAUAGUUCUCCAUGUCUUUCUGAUUAGAGAUUUUCGAGAGUGAUGAUCGUAGCGAAUGCUGCCCCACUUAGACCAAGUGUUUGCUCAUCUUCAAAACUCCUAUAUAAGAACACUCAUCUUGUCCGUAGAUAAUCUGCAAAGUUUUCCUUUGGAGGUUACUAGUUCGACAAUACACUGCACCUCUUAAGAUUUGAGGGACACGAAGAGAAACAAAAAGAUGAUUAGAAAGAAUAGAUUGAAAUAAUCUCAGGUAUCUCAAUAAAGGUGUGAGACUUAAACCAAAAGUCGAUAAGGUUAUCUAGUAGAAGGUUCUUGAACAGUAUCUAGAAAAGCAACCCAAGGGGUCUGUUAAGAUUGACCAUAUAUCGGUAUGGUUUUCAUCUGACUUUCAGGUUAUGCAUUUUGUCACGUGAUAGUCCAUCAUAUAUUCCAGGGUGAAAAAUAAGUCUUAUCUUAGGACCUCGGUUUCUUAAUGCCUUGCUUUGAUAGGUCAACAGGCAUCACACUUUCUAUGAUACUUGGUGCUUCUUUGUGGUCUCCAUAGAUGAGUUCUAAGCAGAUUUGACCUACUACUUGCAGUGUUGGGAGAAUGAUGCAAGAAAGAACUACACAAAGGAUGUUGACUCAUUCUAUAAGGAGUAUUUAAGAUCGCUUCAUAGGUAAGCACUACCACUUGAUGUUGGGACAACACUAGGUGCUUCGCCCAAGGUUCCGUCGGUUACCAUAAAAAGACUGAACAUCUGGUCAAACAACUCAUUACUCAUACUAGAAGCUUAAGAAUGAUAAGGUCUGAUGAAAUAGAUGUCUCACUUUACGAAGAGGAUUACAAGUUGCUUGAAUGCAAAAAAUCUUUAUAAGCUAAAAGGCAUAACUGACUUUAGAUUUCAUAGACCAUUAUUGACUAGCUCAAAACUAUCUGGGUCCCUUAAUAUAACUUGCUUCACAUAAGAUGUUGAGAAUAUAUCGCCUUUGUAUAAGGUCCACAUUUCUUUCAAACUGCCUCGUUGUCGAUACAAUCAUUACAUUAGUCCUUUAAACCUUGGGGUGAGGUCGAGGUGCCUUCAUACACAAACCUGUCUCCUGAUGGGGUGAUUAGGGAUACUGAGUGUUGGGUACAAUCAAUCUCUCCAUGACAAGCAGUUAACCAUCCUCUUCCAAGAACGACAUCAAUCUCCAUUGACUCUAGGACUAUAAGAUUUACCUCAAAAAUUACACAUUUUAUGUCGAGACAAACUUUUGGACACAUGUAGGUUGCUCUUAUUUUCCCUCUUGGUGAUUUGACCAGUAUGAGUCUCUUCAUUUCCAACAUAAGCAUCUUAUGAUCGGCAACACAUUUACUCGAGAUAAAAGAAUGUGAAGAACCUGAGUCGAACAAAACAGUGGCAGGAGUUGAGUUGACUAGAAUUGAUCCAAACACCACAUUUUGUGCUUCGCAAGCAGUACACAUAUCCACAUGGUUCAAUCUACCAUUAACAUAGUCACGAACUGGGUACUUCUUUGGACAAUGCUUCUUGUGAUGUCCCUCUUCGUGACACUGGUAACAAGCAUUGCUAACAGUUUUAACAUAGGUGCCAUCCUAACAUUGAGCUCCUUGAAUUGAUGUGCUAGGAGUAACUAAAGUGCUACUAACUUGUUGGUUCUGAGGGUUCACUUUCAAUGGAGUCUCUUCACUAUUUCGCUUCUUAGCUUGAUUACUUUUUCGAGGAUGAAGUUCUAUGUAGGUGAUGGUCCAUCCAUCUAGGCAUAACUCUGGCAUAGCAAGUGUAGCUGAAGGGGCAUCUAACUCUUCAAGAUAUGAAUGUGUCUGAUGAGAGUUUGGAGCUAAAUCUAACUGCCAUGUAGAACUCAGAUUUGGCUCAACACUUAACAGUGGCUCUAGGGAGAUUGCCUUCUUUUCUUGUUACCUUCACUCUGUUGAUCCUAGGGUACUUCUACCUUUCCUUCGCUUGACUUUUUCUAAAGGCACGGUAAACCAUAAUAUCUGCAACAAUUACAUGGCUCUUGAAUCCCAAGCGCCUCAUUAAUACCAUCUGUUGACGGUCCUUGAGUAUCAAAUUUAAUUAUCAAAUAAACAAAGAAAAGGAUCCAAAUGAAAUCAACAUCUAGACUUAGGGUUUUAUCUAACAGAAUUCCACGAGUUUUGGUGUUUGUCUAUUUUUGCAGGGGGUUAUCAGGAAAUACGGAAGAAAGGCCCACACGUCAGGAUUACAUAGAGAUAUUAACGUGUCGCGCAAUUAUCUUACAUCUAGAAGACUCCAGAAGCCACGAGACCGAAGCGGAGGCGAAACGGGGCCAGAGGCAGGGCGCCCGCCCUCCUGCCCUGGGCGCCCGCCCCCUCCCUGAGUCCAAUCAGGACUCUGCUUCGUGGGAGAUCUCCACCGACCUAAAGGAUGAAUCUAAACCAUACAAUCUAUGUCGGUUUGAUCCAACGGCCCAUAUUCACUUGAAGGGACUAUAAAACCAGACCCCCUGGCCCCUGGAGGAGAGAGCCUCUCAACCCUAAUUCAUUGUUCUUCAAGGGAGAAGAAGUCUCUGAUCAAGAUUAGAGCCACCACAUCAAUUAGAUAUCUAGAUUAGCAUAGCUACAUAGGAUUGGAGUCAAUCUUCGAUUGGUUUCCGGAUCUAUCAAGAGGAUUCUUGGUAAUUCUCUAAUUGUGCUUCUAAUUACUUUCUAAUUAUCUUUGUUCUUCAAUAUUAUGAAUAUGACUUUGUUCUACUUCAAUAUAUUGCUUAUGACUUUGCUCUACUUGCUUAUAUUCAAGAUUAUAUUGUUCUUAGUUUAUCAUAGUUAUGUACUUGGCUUAGUUAGAUUGGAUCUAUAUACAUGCUUAGGAUCGUAUAGCGUUUAUCCAUCGAAUCCUUGGGUAAAUGAUAGAUAUUGUGUAGGCGUGGUGCUUAUACCGUAUUUAUCUGCGAUUGUACCCAAUAUGCCAGAUCGUGGGGUGGUUCAUGAUAGUGACAGCUUCAUUGAUUCUUAUAUAGUCCCCCUCUUGUGUAUUGGGCUGGCAGAGCAACAUUAUUACAGGGGAGUGAUUGCUAUGUUUCUCAUAUUCCUUGCUAAUAUCACUAUGCAUGGGUGUAGUCUUGUCUCGCAAUGAUUGCUAAGUAUGCUUGCACUAACUAUGAUAAUGCUAGACUAUAUAGUUAAGAAUAACUUAGGGAAUAUUCUUGUAGUUCGUUCUAAUACCAUGCUAAUGACUUUCUAGAGUAUCUAAUUGAGGUGCUUAUCAUAUUUAUAUGUGGCUGAUCACAUUAAUUACCUUUGUCACUAUUCAUUAUUUCAUAUAUCUUUUAUGUGACACUUAUCCUUGUAUGAAGAGUUAGAUAAAUGUUCUCAAUUAUACAUGCAAUGAUAGAUGCUCAAUCUCAUAUUCUAUUCUGUAAUCAAUAUUGAUGAUUGCUAAUCUCUUCCCAGUGGUAAAAAUAUAAAUAACGAUACCUGGAAUACCUCCCGGUUAAAAUGCUACAUCGGUAUUAAUCUGUGCGCUUGCAGAUCCCAUUCAUUAUUUAUUUAGAAGAGCAAUUGCAUUUUUCAAUACCGCGUCUCUCAUGUCAUGCUGGGGAUGACAACUUGGCUUAAGUGGUAUGAGGGAUAGGUUUGGCAUUUUUGGCACCGUUACUAGAUUUAGAGAACUUAGUCUACUUUUGGUAAUGAUGUUAAGAAUACCCAACACCAUCUUUCCUAGUUUCCAUGUUCCUCCAGACUUCUACUAUUUGUCUCUUCAUUGCUCUUUCCUGAGUUUUGGUCAUUGUCUUCUCUGAAUGUAACUGAGAAUCUUUUUGUGGUCCCACUACACUUAGUACUUGAUCCUGUGUAAACAAAGGCUUCUCCUUGUUUACUAGUGACAAGGGUAACAUGGUUGGGUCUUUCUGACAUUUGAUGUAAGCUUCUUCUAUGUCACCUUGGAGAAGUAGAGCUUGUACAAUCAAAAGUUUCUAGAGUCUGGCCAUCUGAUCAGCUGCCAUCUUUAGGAUCUGAGCUUGCCAGGCUAUCACCUAUUCACCACUUAGUUGUGUUGUAGAAGGCAUUUGUUGACUCUGAUCACUGGUAUUAAUUCCUUUGACAUCAUCAUUGGUGUCGAUCAUCUGACAUUAGGCAAUAGUAGAACGAGCUAGGGUAGUAUGGACAAAGAGCAUGAUAUGAAGUGAGAGAAAAUAGGUGGAGAGGAUCAAGAUUGACAAUAGAUGGAUAGGAUAAGAGAGAUCACUACCCCACUUAGCAAAGAUCGAGCUAACCCUCAAACAACUUCUUCUAGACCUCCUUCAAAACACUAGAACAAAGACAACACACAAACAACAAACCAAGCAAAACAAGCACGCAACACAUCAACAUACUACACGUGCUUCUUCAACAAUGGUGGUCAUCCUAAAAGGUAGGUCUGAGAUGAUGAAGGGCCAUCGACAUUGGGAAAUAAAGCAAGUUUUGAAAACUUAAGUAAAACACAUAAUAAACAAAAGCCAAGGAGAUAAAUAGAAAUAGCUCAAAGGAAGCUAUUCAAGGAGGGGAUACAACAUGACAAGGAUGAAGAAAUAGUCAAGGGAUGAGAAAAUAGUUUUAUAUCAAAAUAAGCUUUAGAAAUCGACCAGUGCUAUCUAGGCAUACGUCCUACAGUCAACAUUGCUUUGAUACCAUUCCUAUCACACCCUGGUUUAAAAAAAUAAACCAGAGUCAUCAUAUGUGUGCCCAGGAAGUCCACACAUAUAACAAAAGAAUAGAAAUAUCAGAAACAAUGUUAUAUAUAGUGGAAAACAUAUUUACAAUAACACUUACAAACAUCAGAGUAUGCGGAAAUAGUAGCUAAACUUCUUUGGCUCCAUUCUUCUCAGGGACGGUUGAGUGGGGGCUCCGUAUGCCAAGCACUUCUCAUAAGCUUCUAGAAAUCUCCAUGACAUCUUAACCUUCUUCUGAGCAGCACUUUGCUACGCACUGGGGGUGUGGGGGAAAUAGCAAGGGUGAGUUCAUGUCGAACUCAACAAGUACAGGUGGAAAGUAUAAUGACAUACAAGGCUUAAUCAAAGGAAAAGGUGACACUGUUUAACUGCAGGUGAGCUUUUAAGUUGGUAAACUUUUAUUACGAUUCUUUUAUUAAAACAACCUAUUACUAAAUAUGAGUGAAGCAUCCCAACCCUUAAUUAGAUGAAAGUAAAUUAAUAAUAUUAUUACUCAUCUUUAUAAUUAUUAUUAUUGUUAAGACCUCCGAGGUAGCAACCUCAAAUAGUAACUCGGGGUAGCAACCCCAUUAAGGUCAUGGGAUAGCAAUCCCAAUUAAGAACACAGGAUAGCAAUCCUGCCAACACGGAAUAGCCAUUCCGCCAAAGCACGAGGUAGCAACCUCAACCAAAUUUUGCCUCCAAGUUCCAUGUUAUUCCAAUUUGCUCAUCAUAUGAGAGUCUGGGCCACUCGUGACCGUGAGCAUGGCUGAUAUAUCAGUUUUACACUCUAUAGAGGUGUGCACUUUCACUCCAAGUCGUGAUUCCCAUUCGCCCGGGGUCGCGACUCCCCAAAACACUACCAAGGUGAGCAGGCAGGGUUUCACUACGAGACCUUUCACGGGGUCCGACUAAUAGGAUGCCACUCGUAAGUUUUUGCCGGGGCACGCGGCAGCCGUGCCCAUAGCAAUGGGACCCCGAACUGACCGACCUCUUAAUAAGAAUACCCAAGCUACUUCCUUACGCCUACCCGAAAAGUAACACCCUACCAGCGGAGGUCCUAAUAAUUAGUCAAGCUAGAGCCAUAUGGCUUGGAGCUGCACUGUAUGUCCCAGGGGGGCGCUCCAUGACUAAGUACUUACGGAGAGCAGAGAUGGGUACGCCCGGCAACCGGGCCAACCAACAGUACCCGCUCCCCCUUUCCGCAACAAACCACGAUGCUCACAAGCACCACAACAUCUUCGUCACCGAAGUGACCAUUAUCCACCAUUGGAGCAUUAUUUAUCAUUGAAGAAUUCAUUAGGCAAGAUUAUUACUUUUAUUAUUAUAUAGAUUAGAUGAGCAGAGCAGCUAAGCAUAACUACUAUUCACUAUUCUACCCAUAUAUAAAACCGAGUACAAGGAAUACAAUAGAAGGCUAGUCAGGUCGUUAGGGUUUGCAGUAUUAAGACACAUGCAGUUAAAGUGAAUAUAAUUAAAGUUCAUAGGUACAAUAUGAUCAAAGGGUGCCUGCACUUGCCUUUAUUCCCAGUGUAUAUCUGCUCAGAAUUCUUUGACUUCUUUCUUGUGAUCUUUAUCUUCUACUGCAACUGUUGGUCCUCAGCUCCUGGUCUUUACUGUUGACGAACCACACUUCUUCUACUCGAAGCAAACAAGCAACACAAAUAGACAAACAACAAUCACGACUAAGAUCAAACGACACUCAAAAGAAAAGCUUAGAAAGAGGGCACUAAACGACAUGGCUUGUUGCUAUGAUCGAGACAACGCGAGAACGAUUAAGAACAGAGCUAUCGUUAAACAGACACGACUUUCAAGGUUUAAAGUGUAACGGAGAAGAGAACUAUACGCUGGUCGUAUUUUGUGAACACAGGUCAUGGAUUAUUCAAAGAAAUAUCUGAAAGUUGAGUUGACCAAAUUAUAAAGAAUUAUAAAGGUUAGGGUUAAGUGUUAGUCAUAUUCUAUUUAAUAAAUAAUUAUAUACCACUGAAGCCAAUCAAGCAUUUAUAGAAUAUAUGAAAGCAACUAAUCGAGUGAUUAUAUAUCAUGUUUAAACUAAUCAAGUUGUAAUUAAUAAAGAAACAUUAAGGUUGAUAUUAAUAACAUGGGUAUUUAUUUAUUUUCAAAAGAUCAAAAUUAUAAACAUAAUUUACUUUUAAUUCAAAAUGACUUUAGAUAGAUAUUACUAAAUUAUUUAUGUGCUUCAUGUUUAAAUAAGCAAAUUAUAAUUAAAAAAGUAUUUAAGUUCACAUUUGAUUAUAAAGAUGCCGAAGUGUAAUUCUAAGUUGUUUUUAAAUUAAUUAAAUAGAAAUGCAUUUAAAACAUUAAUCAGAUUAAUUAUACUCAUAAACAUGAGACAAUGAAAAUAGCAUUGCUAAUAUGUAGAUUACACCAACAUAGUCACAACGCAACGAGAAACAAAUUACAACCCUAGAUUGUUCUUUAAUUUAAAAGCUAUUUAAUAGAUAUUAAUCAAAUUAUAUUUAAAUCAAUAAAUUCAAGAAUAAGAUACAUGAUAAAUAUUUAUACUACUACGUAAAGCGCGGCGAUACGAAACUAACUCGACAAGAACGGGCUUAAUCGGAGUUAAAACGCGGAUUCUAUGGCUAAAACUAGGUCGGUGGCAAGAUAGUGAAUAAACAGAACUAUUUUUCGUAUUUUAAAUAAUUAAAACUGAAUUUUAAAAGCGUUUUGGACUAAAUCUUUAAAUACCAAUGGAUCCAGGGGCUAGAUUGCUAAAAACAGGACUUAAACCUAAUUAUUUCUGAACUACUCAGAACUGCGGGUUAAUUUAGAAAAACCGCAGGGGCUUUUUCGCAAGAUGGCCAGGGUCAACAGGGUUUUGGCCGCGUUGACGGCCACGCGGCGCGGCGGGGUAGGUGGGGUGCAGGAGGCGCGCGCGGGGUGAGCCGCGCCCUAGGUUGGAGCGUGGGCGAGCUGGGCCAGGAGCGCUGGCGGCCCACGCGGCAAGAGUGAGGGGGGGAAGGGAGCAGGGCCGGGGAAGAGGGGGGACGGCCCAGGGAGAAAGAAAACCCUUUUUCUUUUUUAAAAAAAAUUGAUUUCUAAACUAUUUUACUAAACCAAUUUCAAAACCAUUUUGAAUUCCUAAUUUGAGAUUAUUUAGGAGCUUGUUUUCUUUAAUAUUUUUGAAAACAAAGCACAUUUUCCUUAGAUCAUAUCUUUAAAUCAUUUUUCAACUCAAAAUGAAUUUAGUUUUCGAAUAGGACUUUUAGAUUUUUAUUUUUAUUUUUCUUUUCAAAAACCGAAAAGGGCCGAAACGGGCUCGAUAGAAAUUUUGAAAUUUAUUUUUUUACACAAGCCAAACAAAGCUAGGGCACAAAGCACACAAUAACAAAACAAAACACCCUUCACUUGUCUUUAUAAAAGUUUUAAAAUUCCAAAUUUUUCUCUUUUUAUAAUAACAACAAUUAAUAAAAUCUUGCAAUAUUUUAGAAAAAAUUUAAAUCCUUAUUUAAUUUAGUGUUUUUCAAAUAACAAUCCAAAAAUUAAAAAUUUUGGAGUGUUAUAGGGAGAAGGGCAAGUGGUGGAAACCCUAUGUAGGGAUCAACCGACCCCCCUCCUAGCACUUUAAUUCAAAAUUUGCUUUGGCCAGGGAAUCUUACAUCAAAGUAUGAAAUCACUUUUCAGAGAUGGUCCAAAGUGGGGUCGUCCGACCCCCACCCUAAGCCCUCUUUUGCUAGGUGUGGACCAAAGGGCUAGGUGUGGACCAAAAGUAGUGAUCUUUUUUAGAGAUUCCCUUGCCUAGUGCUUAGUGAAAGAGAAAAGAUGAUAGGCUAAAGUGGAGACAUGUCAUAAGAUAUUCCCAUGGACCAUGGAGACACUAAAGCAUGCCUAUGUGACCACUUUGCAGGAGUUGAGCAUGGUGGCAUGGUCCCAACACUUUAAAGAUGAAAGCAACAUCUUAUGUUUAAAGUGAUAAAGCAAAGGACCAUUUCUUUUCAGACCUUGGUUAGAGUGGUAUGCAUAGAUUUAUGUGUUAAGCAUCUGGGAGACAGUAGAGUGCAGGUGACCCAAUAUGGGGGUCAGGUGACCCCCCACUUUGGUCCUCCACUUGCACCCAAGUCCUGGCAUCAUAUCACUAUACUAAGCCAAGGUGAAAGAAUGGUCAGUGGGCCCAAUGGUGCGGUCAGGCAACCCCACUUUUGGUGGUCCAACUGCUCAAAAAUUAUUGCAAGUUGUUCUCAAGUAUUUAUUUAUUGGGGUUAAGUAUUUUGUCAAAAAUAAAAUAUGCAAGAUUAUAACUAAGAAUGCAAUUGAAAAGUGCAAGACAAGAAUGCAGAAAGCAAAUAUGAGAUAACUAUUUAUUUACAUUCCAGCAGGGGCUCCAUGUUUUAGGUCCAUAGAGCAGGACCUCUCCAUUUUGUUCAUGCUUUGGGUGCCUCGGAUGGUCCUAGAGAUGGGGACCGUGAUUGCACCUUUCUCCCGCCAUACUGGUUUGAUUUUGGCCUGUGGUUCAGCGGGUUCUUCCUUCUCUAGUUUGACUUUGUUGGCCGACUCACCUUUCUUAUUCCUUCGGCGCGGGUAAUAGCGAGGUUUGUUCUUCGGUGCCUUGUCCUUCACUUGCAUGUUAGUUUUAUAACCAUUGAAUGGACACUUUACCUUUGCUCCUAGGAAUUGAAGAUGAAUUUGGCCGGACCCCACAUAGAUGAUAAUGUUGGCUGUGUUAAGGAAGGGCCUUCCCAGGAUGAUAGGAUUAUCAGCUCCCAUGUCUAGGAUGAUGAAGUCGGCGGGGGCGUAUUUGUCUUGUACUUUGACUAGUAUGUCCCUUGCUAGUCCCUUAGGGAACCAGAUCGUUUGAUCGGCCAUCUGCAAUUGAACAAAUGUUGGGAGCAAAGGCCCCCCUAAUAGGUUCUCAUAAGUUACCUUGGCCAUGAUGUUAACACCUCAUCCAAGGUCGCAUAAGGUGUUGUGGAAGAUUUGUGGUCCAAUUUCACAGGUGUUGGUUGGGUGGCUUCGAUCGUCCUUCUUGGUGAUUAAUGGUUGGUCAAGGAGAUAACUCUAGUUUGACUGCAAUGGAGGCUUACUGAACCUUAUGUUUACUAAUUUAACACCUUCAAUUGGAUCCUCAGGUUUCCCUAGGAUCUUACCUUGCUCGAUGGAUGGGACACCUGCUGCUAGUUGAGCUAAUUGUGUUUCUAGCAUUUUAUUGAAGCUCAAUUGAUUUUUCACAGCAGAGUUAAAGCUAUCCAUUUUCUCACUUAAGUUUUCAAGAAUCUUAUCAUUAGCCAUCAUUUUCUUAUUUAUGCUAUCAUUUAUUUUGGACUAGCCUAAGACAAGAUCUUUAAUGAAGGUUGGUUACCAUAAGAAUUAUUGAAAUUAUUGUUGUAACUAUUUCCUUGGUUUUGGUAGAAGGGACGCGAGUUCCAUCCUUGUUGUUGUUGUUUGGGCCCGUACCCAUUGUUGUUGUUGUUGUUGUUGUUGAUGAUGAUGAUGAAGCUCACUUCCUCCUUUGUUUUGGGACAAUUAUUUCCCGAAUGAUCUUCUCCUCCACAUACUUCGCACCAUGGACCAGCUUCGACGACUCGUGCGGUUGCGUAGGGUUGAAUGACCUCUUGUUCCUUCUUGGAACCUUUUUCUACCUUUUUCAUCAAGAGGUCCAUUUUAGCGGAGAGCAUGUCCACCUCAUUGAGGGCGUGGACACCUCUCUUCUUGGGCUGGAGGCGUUCCUCAUUCCAUUCUUGAUUUGUAACCAUCUUCUCUAUGAGGUCUUUGGCAUCCAUGACGUUGUGUUGCAAGAAUGCGCCUCCAGUAGCAGCAUCAAGGUGACUCUGGGCCAAACCGGUUAGGCCAUGGUAGAAACCUUGAAUGAGGAGCCAUUCCUCUAUCCCAUGAUGAGGACAGGCACGAAUGUACUCCUAGAUAUGUUCCCAUGCUUUGGGGUUUGUCUCAUUAGCUUGUUGUUGGAAGCUGGAGAUCUUUCCACAAAGGGCGCUGGUUUUGCCCAUCGGGAAGAACUUCUUGAGAAAUGCAUUGGCGCACUUCUCCCAUGUGGUGACCUCACUUUUGUUGGUAUAGAACCAUUGCUUCACCUUUAUCAAUAGCAAGAAUGGGAAAAGGCUGAGAUGGAUGGCGUCUGCAGAAACAUUCUUGAUAGUGAAGGUACCACACAACUCCAGGAAGUGUUGGAGUUGGGCGUUGACGUCCUCAUGUGGCUUCCCAGAGAAAGGGUUGACUUGCACCAUGUUGAUGAGUGUUGGCUUAAACUCAAAAGUUGCAUCACCCAAGUUAAUCUGUGGACCCAAGGCAACAUAGUCAGCUGACGAUGUAGAGUACUCAGAGAUGGUCUUUUGGGCCAUAACCUCCUUGAAAAUUGGUGCAGAACCUCCUUCCUCGAAUAGAUUUAGGAUCGAGAUGAACCUUUGAGGUUGAGCUUGAUGGCGUCUAACUAUCCUCAACAACUGCUCAGGAUCUUCAACAAAAUAUGAUGGCAGUUGGAAACCACUCAUUCACCUUCUAGUUCCACGAUAACAAGAAACAAGAUAGGUGCGGGGUAAGCCCCUACACUAAUUGAUAACUAGACCGAUAGUAGACUCUGGAUUCACUUUUAUUAAAAUUCCUAGGCUGACGCUUUCCCCGGCAAUGGCGCUAGAAAUGCUUGUUGGCAAAUCUUAGCAUCGUCACUAGAUGUUAGCAACGAUGCAAGAAAUGCCAGGUGGGUACUUCUUGUGUCUAUUGGAUUGUUCCGCAAGCGCACAGAAUAUACCGAUGUAGCACUUCACCGAGGAUGAGUAUUCCAAGGUAUCUUUAUUUAUUUUAUCCCAAGAGAAAGCAAUGCUAGGAAUAUUUAAAAAGAGAAGAGAUAUCCUUAUGUCUACUAUGAUCUACUAUCGACUAGUGAAGAAGGAGGGUAAGUGAUUGAUAGGAAGGGUAGAUAAGUAAGGUAGCAAAGAAUCUAAGCUAAAGAUAACUGGUAGAGUGUUAGCUAGGUGGGAGGACAACGAGUGAGUAAAGGACUCCUAUGUAUCCUACUUUACUUCUUUGUACUUGAUCCUAAUAGAUAGCUGACUCAACUAGACUAAUGCCAUACUCCUUGUGUGAGGGGGAUAGCCAAGAAAAUAGGAGAUAGAACCCCUGCUAAAGCAACUAUACUCUUAUGGACGCCUAGCAUUUUAAGAACUAGUUUGUACGUGAGGAGAUCCUAAUGCCGAGCACGACCUGUCACGUCCAACCAGUGCGCUCCUACCGUCCGUCCAAACCAACGACUAUCAAAGGUGAUCCUUAGUUUAAGCACCGCACUUACACUAACUCUCACGACUCUAACUAUGGCGUAGAUAGCUCAAGCUCCUAUGCAAGAUAGGACGAUGAAACACACACAAGGAGUUGGUUAUAGGAAACCAAUCAACCUAAGUCAACUAAUAUUACUAAGACAAGCACACAACAAGGCUAUAGUAACUAUAGACUUGUACUAAGUAAAUACUUAAGUAAAUACUAAGUAAAGUAAAGGAAGAAUAAUAUAUUGAUAAAAGUAAACUCUUACAAAAGAGGAAAGGUAUAAGAGCUAUACCAGACUCUCUAGAAGACGACUCCAGAGACCCUGAGCUUCGCUCGACUCGACUCUAACUCCCACUCUAGACUAACUACUACUACACUACUUGAUCCUUGAAGGAUUGAGAGACUUAAUGCUCUUCUAGGGAUGCCUCUCAAGGGUGGAGGCAGCCUCUAUUUAUAGAGGAGGGAGAGGGGGUGCCACAUCAGUGAUCCGUCUGCUUCAUGCCUCUCCACCCUUAAAUGAACCGGCUUAGUAACCGCCAUAGAUGGAGGGCCAUGGUAAUUUGGACAUGUGGAAGUUGUGCUUGAGUCAGUGGGGAGCCAACCGACUUGGUUAGGCACCAGGAGGGGGUCGCCUGACCCCUCUAUGGUAGGUGGGCCCAGCCAGGGUCUUCUAGAAGGUGACCCUAGUUAUCAUGUGAAGUGGCUCCACCAUUUGUGAAAGAUUUGUCAUGUUGCUUGCUUACUUGUGGGCCCAUGGAUCUAUGUGCAAUGAUCUUUCACCACUAGAAGUUGAUCUGAGGGUGGAAAUGGACUCCAGGGGUCUCCACAUGGAUUGUACUUCAUAGCACACCUCUUGGUGGGACCAUAAUGGGGUCGCCCGACCCCCUCAUUAGGUCCUUCUAAGGUGCAUUUUCUUGUUUCCAGUAAUCAAAGGCUAAGAGUACAAGUGGAACCAGUUAUGGAUAAAAUAUGUUCAUGUUUUGCUAUUCUUCUGUGAGACCGAGGCAUGUUGACGGUGUUUUGAGUGUGAAUUUCUAUGGUACAUCCACCGUCAACAUGAUCCCCCAAGCUUAACCUUUACUCGUCCCAAGCAAACAAUCAAACUUAGCCUCGAUGGAUGAACUAUUGUUACUAUGCUCACAUUUCAAGAGUACCAUGUGUACAACAAAGUUCUUCUCUUUGAAUGAAAUAUUAGCUUAAAAACUCACCCAUAUUACCUUAGUCCUCUAUGGGGCUUAUGGCUUUUCCUUUGUCUUAGGCGGUUGAAAGAUAGAACGGUUUGACUUGAGCACUCAUUUUCUUAUUCAUAGCAAGUUUCAUACCGGAGGUUUUGUAAUAUUUUUUUUUCAAAUGAAAACUUAAUGUUCCUCAUAUGGUUCUCUCAAGUCACUCGAAUGGUGUAUGAUUCCUCACCUAGGCAUAUGAUAAGAAUUACCUUCCUUAGUUCUUCCUACUUCUAAAAAGCAUAUGUGGAGUUCAAGGUAGGGAUAAAGAAAGAUAGAAUACUCACUUUGCAUUUAUUGGGAAGUCAAAGCUUGGAUCCAAGAAGAGAAGUGUCAUACCCCUAGAUCAAGAUGUGCAAGUGUGUGGUAUAUAAUGAACUAGGUUGCUCCUUUAUUUGAUAAGAUAUCUCUCUAUAUUUUUUUUUCUAUUAAGACAUGGCUAGCUCUUUUUUUUCUUUUCUUCUUUUUUCAUGGACCUUCAUGUGCCCAUAUGUAUAUAUAUGUUGCAUAGCCCUUUUGGUGUCUCAUCUAUUACACCAUAUUUGGAGAGGUAUUCUAAUACUUAAAGCAAGGAGCAAGUUAUUUGGUGGAAAUGGAAGACAUAUUUUUGCGUACUUCUAGUGUAGAAGCAGCAUGUAUAUAUGUGGUGUGUGUGUGAUCUUGAUCUUGGGAGCAUGAUAAGUCUCUUAAACAAGGGUCAACAAGACUUGACAACACUCAACACAAAUCAAAUAGCUUAUGUGGAAGGUUUAUAAACAUGUAGAGCAUAUAUGGCCGUGGUAGGAAUUUAUCAUCAGUGAGGAACAAUUAAGGUUUUGAUAAUUUUAAGAAUAAAUUCUCAGGUAUUGCAACAUGCUUAGAACAAUACUAUAGCAGCUCUAAUCUCACUAUCUCAUAUCCCUCAACAACUUAGACUUAGUUUUAGCACUUGCAACCCACAAAGUUUUUGGGUUCAUGAUGGUUUAAGUGAGCUAAGUAAUACAUACUUGGAGAAAUGCUAGGCUGUAAACUAGGUACUAAGGAAAUAUUGACAGAGUAACUAUUCAUCAUUUCCAUAAGGAAGAUAAACAUACAUGAAGCAUAUGUGUUAAGCGAGAUAAGCAAAUAUUUUUUUGAUAUUUUCUUUUUUUGAAUGCACUAAGAUGAAUAACUAGAAUGCAAAAUGCUAAGAUAGAAUACUUACCUUAGUGGGGGAGAGGAUCUCCCCCAAGCUUGGCUUUUGCUCACUGUGGCGGCGGAUAAUGUUAGAACCAUCCGGCCCAUCAUUGUGCUUCCUCAGCUUGUAUUGCUUGUAGAAGUUGGGCAUUUUGUUGUGCCAGCUGCAGCAUUGCUUCUUAUUCAAUGUGCAUUGCACCCGUGUUGUUGAUGAGGUCGUCCAUCUCUGUCCUUUGGUGGCACCUUUCCCUGCCCCGUGGGUGAGGAGUGCGUUGUGGACGUGGAGGCCUUUCCAUGGACCCUCAUAUGUCCAUAGAGCUUGCCUCAUCGCCUUCUUCAACUUCAUCUCCUGCAGGAUUUGAGGGAGCACAUUGCUCCAUUUAAGCAGCUCGUGACAUUCCUCUUGUCAUUUGGCGUGGUCCUACAAUAUUUUGGCUACGUGACUCUUUGUCUAAUUUAAUGGUUAGCGUACGAAGCGCAUACAGUUGACAUUUCUCACAAGGGAGAGGAACUUCAACUGUAUAGCCCGAAUAAACCAUUUUAAGUCCAAACCUUGGACCUCUUUUGAGCACAUUAAUAUUAAUGAAGACAUCCUCAUUUAAAACAUCUCUAGCAGAGGUGAUGUACUCAAAGGUAUGUGGCUCUAGUGCAUCCGUUGAUUCGGCUAUACGAGUAAUGAAUGAUGUAAAGUAAAUGGGUUUUCCAUACUCAAUGGAGUUGAGCCAAUAGUCCACUAGCAGUUUAACAGGUGAGACCUUAAUUUUGCAUACCAUUGCAUAGAGAAGUUUAAGUUCUUCAUCACUUAAGAUGUUACCUCUAGUUCUAAGAAAAAGAGUCAUACACAUCCACUAAUGAAGAAAACACAGGGUCAGGUUAUGGAUUUGGUGGGGUGUAAGAUUAGAGCAAUCGUUGGAACCAGAUAUUGCUUUCCAAAAGUCAUUUUUCUAAACCCGAUAGUGGCAUGGUCUAGAUCAAGUUCACAAUUGUGCUCACAUCCUAGGGUAGUGUUCAAGAUGCUCCAAGUUAAAUUACAUUUUUCCCUAAACAUGUGAAAGGCUACGCCAUUGAAUGUUAAUUGUAAAGUACACAAAAAAUCUUGGGUGAUCACUUCUAUGCCAAGUUCAGGAACCAUCCAAAAUCCUCCCCAACCAAUUGUGUUAAAAACAACAUUAAACUCUGCACUCAUACCUGUGUGGUCCAAGAGAACCGGAUCGAUGAUGCUUGUGCAGCGAAAACUGCUUGAUCGUAGGGUGUUGUAUUUCUGUAGCUCUUCUUGGGUUAGCAUGAGGCCGCUCCCGGGCUCUCUUACUCUUGGUGGAGGCUCAUAGAGUACCACUUGGUGGUGACUCUCUUCCUCAUCCCUCCUCUCAUGGGUUCCUUUGGUGUGGUGAGAGUUAUGGGAAGAGCUCUCACCCUUCUUGGACUUCUUAAACCGGGAGGUGAGUAACUUCUUCAUCUAGCUACACAAGUGAGACAAACCAAGCUCCUACUAUUCCUACUAUGCAAGGGAUAAAGGGCAAAUCUUUUUGGGUUUUUGUUUUGGGAUGCUACUACUAAGCUAAAUAUUGAG